CUUGACCAACUUGAAUUCGUCUGAGUAUUCUUGAUUUAAGCUGAAUAUUUCUUGUCUAGUAUCUAUUUGUCUUUGUUCACCCCUUAAGGGUGUAUCUAUGUAAAGUAACUUAGUUGAGGUAUAUUGUUGGUAUAUUUUAUUUUUCAAAAUCCUGGGCCCUAGGAAGCCCUUUCUUAUCAUUGAAACUAGACCUUGGGUAAAUUAUUGGUUUAUUUAAAGGAUUGGGGUAUAUUUUUAUAUAAAACCAAACUGAAUUGUGAAUGCCGUUUUUACUGCCUUAUGGCCUAAGUUGCUUAUUCGUUCUGAUUGCAUGAUGUGAAGAAUUUUUUUUUUUUUAACUUCAAUUAUUUUCUCUGCUUUAUUUGAAACCUAACCGGAAGAGAAUAUCUUCCUUUUUUUUUUUUUUUCAGUUCUCCAGGUAACAUAAUGGGUCAUGCUUCUACUUUGAAGAGUAACUGAGUAAGGAUAAUUUACUUGAGUUUCUUGUCUAUUUUAGUGCGAGGAACUGUGGUUGGGGAAAGCGCACAUACCUCGUUCAGCUGUAGUCCAGGGGUUACCAAAGCUGGCCGCAUAUUCGUAGUCUGUCACGGAUGGCAAACGCGUGAGUGCUGAUCAAUCUCCCUUUGUUCUCCUGUCUCUCUUUUGAAUCAGUCACUUUCCAUAUGCACGUUUGAGCAAGCUAUCACCAACUAUUCUGUUCUUUUUUUUUUUUUUUUUUUAAUUUUCUUAGACUCGUAUCAUGAAAGAAGACCUUUGUGAUCAUGUUUGGGAGUUUCAUUUUAACAAGGUAUGUAAUUUUAUUGCAGUGCUUCUCAUACGUUAUUAAUUACUAGUAAGGUCUGGUGAGUGGUGACUCGCCUCUUGAUUUCAGUCUGGCCUUGACGUGGUGCCAAAAUUACUAGAACUUGCAUGAGUUUGAAAUGUGAACGUAUAAAACAUUAAUGUUUUGACGCUUUAAAAGUUUGAUCAUGUGUAGCCUUGGUAAUGAAAUUUCGGACCGUGAGGAACGAAACUCAUGAAUUAUAAUCUGCCUAUUUUGUAAGGCAUUGCUCAUAAUUUAGGCACUCACUCAUGUAACUAUUCCCUGGACUGGUCACAAGUAAAUGAUAAUCCUGGUAAUCCUAUAUUCAAACAUUUCUUAGCAUGCAUCCAAGCAUCCAAGGCAUUUGUUGUGUGUCCUUUCCUUUACUCUGCAGCUUUCUACUAUUUUGUUAGAAACUGAAAUGAUCAAUUGAUCGGAUGAAUGCCUUUGAAUGCCAUUUUGCCUUCAGGUCGUACCAGAGUAUUGGCUUAAUCUCGAUCCCUACUGGAAGGGUACUAGCCCUCUAAUGCACCGUUACUUUCAUGAAACUGAGAAAGAAGAGAAAUCGAGAGGAAAGAAAAGAACAACUCAAAGAAGAGAAAUUGUUUUUCUUAUUUGUACUUUACCAAAACUAAGGAGGACAAUGGUUAAUAUCCCGAAAAAAGAAAAGUACAAGACGGCGUGUCGCGUUGCUUACAUUCAUCAUCACUGUUGAGCACACCUGAAGAAGGUCGAGCUCUAUUCCCCAUCCUCUUCCAGUCACUCUCUCGCUGUCUCUGUCUCAGUAUCACUGAAUGGAGCUGCAAGAAAUAGAAGAAAAACUGCAAAACGGGGACGUUUUACUUGAGGUGAAGAAGAAGAAGAAGAAGAAGAAGAAGAAGAAGAAGAAGUUGAAUUAUCGCAGGACCCACUUGAGGUUUUGGGUAGAGACAUAAUGUUGAUGAUACUUAAGAACCUCGACGCACGCAGCGUGGCACUAUUUCCCCUCGUGUCCGGUGCUUGGCACGGUGUCGCUUCCAGCGAUUCGAUUUGGUCAGCCAAGGUUAAAUUUCUUCUUUCUUUUUUAACCCUUUGGCUUGUAAUUUGUAUUUGAACUUGGGAUUAGUUUAUUUUGUAUUGAUUUAGUGCUUUCCUCGGAGAAUUUUGAUCAUUGGGUUGCUCUAAUUUCACAAAUGGGUUUUUGUUUUGGGAAAAUUGCAAUGGUUAUUUAAUGUAAAUGUUUGUCUAAUUUGGCAUGUGUUUUGAGAAAGUCUUGAUUAAGCUUGUUAAGUAUUUGAUUGGUGUUUUGAGUAAAUUAGUUUAAUUAAUUUAAUUCAGAUCUUUUUUAGUAUUUUAAAGAGUUUAAAAAGUAAAAUUUAAUUUUUUAAAUUUAGUAUAUGAGUGUAUAAAGUAAUAGAGUGCUCAGAAUAUUUUUUAGAGUGCAAAUAGUCCCAUCCUAGUCUUAAUAGGAAUCCAAUCAGUUUUGUAGUCUAAAUUUCAAUUAGGUUCCUACUAAAUUGCCGGCUCUUGGAUGACCAUAUGGGUAUCAUCACCACGAAUUUAGCAUACCGACAUUUAACCAACAUAUGACGUUCUGUAAAUUAUUGUCUGUUGAAUGACCAUGCAUUUGGUUUGGAUUGUAAUUCAGAAUUGGUAGUAUUACGUUGUGAGUGAGAAGGUAAUAAAUAGCUACAAAUUUGGUAGAAGAUAUGGGAUUGUUGAAUGUAUGGGAAAGUGAAUCUGUGCAAUCUUCAGAUUUUAUACAAGUAGUCCUCUUGAUUUUUCUGCUUCCAAAUAUUAGUAUUAUUUAGUCUAUAAUUAUUAAUUUGUUCUAUUCAAUUGGAUUAAAAUGAUAGAAAUAAUAAUUAUUAUUUUCUGCCAUAAUAAUUUUCAAAUAAUUAUAUUUAGUUGGUCACUAAAUUCAAAUCCUAGAGGGUGGUGGUGGAUAAAAACUCAAUUUGAAUUAUAAUUUUGUUUAUCUUUUGGCUCUGUACACUCAGAAAUGGAUUAUCGUGCGAUUCAAAAUUUUUUUAAAAAAAGGAAGUCUGAUCAAAGAAACAGACCAAUAUUUGUGGACUCCAAUUUAUUACGCUGCAUAUCAUAAUCAAUAUCAACAGAUAUAUGUGCUAUUAGAAAUUGAUCCAACUGCUUCAAACAUUGUUGACAAAGAUCAAAAGAUGACAGCUCUUCAUUUGGCAGCGGCCCGAGGGCUUGCCAGAGCAAAUGAAAGAAUUAUUUCUCUCGCAGCAAAAUGUUAUGAACUAGUCGAUGACAGGGGAUGGAAUUUUUUUCAUUAUGCAAUGGUCAUUUUUUUUUAUUUAAAAACUUUCCUAAAAAAUCCCGUUAGCGGGGAGUCUUAUAAAUGAGGGGGAUGCCAAGGAGAACUCUAUAUCAUUAGGAAGACUCAAGCCAACGAUCACACUGUCAACGAGCAAAAUGUUAGUGUUAGACAUCUUUUGAAAUAUGGCUAUCCUACGCUCUAAGAUAAUUAAUUUGUUAAUUCUUUCAACUUAUAAUCCAGCUUUCUUUUUCAUUACUUUUUUUUUCUUUUUUUGAGUGGGACUAUUAGCACCCCUUUAAAUAUCUCUUAACACUCCUUUUAAUCCAACUUUCUUUUUCAUUACUUUUUUUUUUCUUUUUUUGAGGGGUACUAUUAGCACCCCUCUAAAUAUCUCUUAACACCCAUUUUCUUAAUUAACCCCAUUAAAAUGUGUUAAACAAAUUAAAUAAUUCUUUGAACACCUCCAUUAAUAAUAAAAAUACCCUUAAUUAAAACUUAUUGUGUAAACCCCAUUCUCUAAUUUUUAUUAUUAAACAUCAUUUCAAUAAUAGGGUCUCUCCUAUUUAAAGAAAAAAUAAUAGGUUUUCAUUCUCUCCAUAGUAGCUAUCAGUGGUAAAUUCCUUACUCGAAAAUUAAAGGAAAAAGCAACCUUUUUAAUUUCUAAAAUGUUAGAUUUUAUAAGGAAAAAAAAAUUAUUUGACUUUUGAGUGGAGAUUUUUCUUAAAAAUUAGCCUAUUAUGUAAUUUUAAUAAAGGUUAAAAUUGUAAAAUAAUUAAAGAGAUUUUAAGAGCUAUUUGGAGGGGUGCUAAUAGUCCUACUCUUUUUUUUUUUUUUUUUUUCCAGUUUAUGCAAUUAAUUCAUAUUCAAAUUCAAAUUACAGGAGGAAAUCCAAAAGUUGCCCAAAGAUGUUGGCAGAGGACAAUAUCCAGACAGUGCCAUAUUCAUAAGAACAGUGAUAUAUUGCUAAGACCAGAUCCAAAUGCAGUGGCACGUGCUGUGUUUACUUGACAGGGCUAGUCCGAAUAAUUAUUCAACAUGCCUUAAAAUUUUAUGGUUUUUUUUAUUUUUUAAAUCUUUUUUUCUCAAGUAUGUCCUUAAAUCAAUCUUUAUUAAAAUAAAUAAAAUAAUAUUUAUAGUUAAGUUAUUCUUUUUUGGAACCUUUAAAAUUCAAAAUUAAAAUAGUAAUUUAUCUUUUUAAUUACUUUCUUUAGAGCAAGUUUCUCGAUGUUGCAAUAUCUUUUGAUAUCUUUUGAAUAUAUUUUUUUGUUACGUUCACACAGACAUAUACAAUAAAUUCAUAAAUUCAUAAUCUAACCCUGCCUGGUCAAAAGAUUAUCUUGACGAUCCUAAAUAUGAUUACAAAGAUAUGACAGCGUCCAAUGUUGUAGUAUAGUGAAAAUUACCCUUUAGGACAAUGCUUUGCACCCCGCUUGAGGAAUUUUCUCUGAGUUCGUAUUCGUUGGUCGGAUAACAAAUUCUUAGAUGUAGGAAGCAACUAUUUGGUUUCCGGCUGCAGCCACAAGGUUAUGAUUGUAACUUUCUUUUUUAAAUAACAAAGAAUACUGUUGUCAAGCUAUUGUCCAUCACCGUUGAGUUUUUUGAUGGAUGUUGUUGUUCCGGCUGAGCUGAUCCUUCAAAAAGUUAUUUUGCCUCAUAUUUCCAACGUAAAUGGCCCAACAAAUUUCUGUCAUUCUGUAUAUUUAUUAAUAUGAAUACGUUUCAUAAUUGUGCGACUUAUCUUUCUGUCUUAGUUGAUAUGUUAAAAAAAUUAACCGGAGAAAAAGAAGAUCUAACAUUUUUUUUUCUGGUCAAGGCAGCUGCUUCUCGAAAAAAUACUGUCGCUGAUAUCUUAGGUUUCUCGGAAGGCUCUUUUCCUUUUGUUUAUCUUGGAGUUCCAAUUUUCAAGGGUUGUAUUUUGGCCCAUGCCGGGCGAGUUGAGCUAGUAAAUACUCUUGGCCAUGGGGAUUGAGUUAAUAAUUUAUUUAUUUUUUCCAUUGAAAACACUACAACGUUUUGCCUUUGUUUUUCUCAGCGGGCUCUCACCCCACGAUUGAUUUUACAUUUCUCUCACCAAUUAAAAGAGUAAGUAAACAAUAAUUAAAAAAUUAUCCAGGUCAGCAAAAACUCUAUUCGCCUCCACAUAAACUUGUAGCAUUUAGAUGCAACCCUUAAAUAAUAAAGUUACUGCUUCCAAGUCGUUUGUUCAACACCAUUGUGUUUGCUAAUUGUUACCAUUGUUCUGACUGAUUGAAGCUUUUAACGAAACUAUAUUGAAUCAUAUCAAAUGGACCCUGAUUUCAAAGCUGCAGUUAAAAUACUGAACCUUUCAAGGAUAUGGGAAGAGAUGUAACUUUGAACUAGAGGCGUCAGUGGACUUGACACAGCUGAAUGUGUAAAUAUUUUUUGCACAAACUAAACAAUUGUAAAACUUUGAAGUUGUCCGAUGGGAAUUGCAUAAUAAGAUUGUCCCACUGGAACCAUUGUGAUGCUCGUAUUAAAAAGCUAAAGGGAAGAAAAAAAAUGAUUUUCAUUUAUUCUUUAUUGUCUAUUUUACGAUGAUAUAAAUACAUGUCAAAGCCGGUGGCUGUCAAUGACAGCCGCCAAAGAAAGAAACAAAAGAGAGGUGGCUGUCAAUAACAGCCGCCCAAAGAAAGAAACAAAAGAGAAAGAAGAAAAAGAAGAAAGAAAGAAGAAAAAAAAUAGGAGGAAAAUAAAUGAAAAAGAGUUGUCGGUGUCGGUAGGAAGAAAAUAAAUGAAGUGGGGAUAGUGGCAAUUAUUAUGUCUAUUUUAAAAUUCAUCGUUGCAUCUCAAAAGUCACCAUUGCCUACGCACCAAUAGUGUGAAUCAAUUAAAGGUUCGUGGAGGAAUAAAGAACAUAUGUUAAACUAAGGUAAGAAUUUUCAUAUACAUAAAUAAUAGUUAAUUAAUUAAAUCAUUUUAAAUCAUUUAGAUGUUUUUCUGUCAUACAAAACGUAUAAACGUCUAUAAUUAGUUAAUUAAUUGAGCAAAUCCCCAUAUUAAUUUGGCUUGGCUCGGAACCACCUCCACUCUCAUCCGGAUGGGCCCGACCCGUAUUUUUUCGGUGUCGUUAGUCGUUACCCUGUCAAAAAAGCAAGAAUUUAAGACGUGUGAAAAAUACUACACUUUUCAAGUCAUAUAUACAUACAUGUAAGGUUUAGAGGAAGAUCUAUGAGUACCUCACCCUUAUCUAAUAGAUCAACUUCGCCAAAAUGAAUCCUGUUUCCAUUGAGACUGAGGAAGCUCCGUUAUUGGACAGCAAUGGUGAAAUUAAGCAGCAAAUGGACCCAAUUUUUUUCAACGCUGCAGCUGUGGGCAAUUCGGAACCGUUCAAAGACAUGCCAAGAGAGGUAAUUGGGAUCUUGUUUACAGCAAAGACCAAAAACACAAUCCUACAUAUCAACAUCAUAUCCCAAGAAAGAGAAAACGCGUCAACGAAGUUCGCAGAAGAAAUACUUGAGAAAUGCCCAUCGCUGCUACUACAAGUCAAUGCCAAAGGCGAUACUCCACUUCACGUUGCGGCAAAAUUCGGCCAUUCUGAUAUAGUGAGGGUUCUUGUCGAAAGAGCAAAAUUACUUCAACAUGAAAAUGAAGAGCUAGAGAGCGGGAUAAGAACUGCCAGGUAUAUGAUUAGGAUGACAAAUAAUGAGAAGAAUACAGCACUUCACGAGGCAGUGUGUCACCGGAACGUCGAUGUGGUGAAAAUACUGACGAAAGAAGACCCUGAUUAUCCAUAUUCUGCAAAUAAUGACGGCAAAACGCCACUCUACAUGGCUGCUGAUUAUGGGUCUUCUGAUAUGGUGCUUGCCUUAUUGGAAAACAGCACAUCAGCGUCUCAUGAAGGCCCCAACGGAAAGACGGCUUUGCAUGCUGCAGCAAUGAAAUCUUAUUUCGGUAAGUUUAGUUAUACCAUUUCAAUAUUGAUAUCUUUCUAUUAAUAGAUUCUUUCAUAAUGUUUAAGUAAAUACACCCUUUUAAUUCAUUAAUAAAUUAUUAAUUGCCAUAAAUUUAAUCAGGAUAAAUUGUCGGAUAUAAAUUAGUAUUUUAAAAUACUAUAAUAUCCCACAUUAAGGAGAAGUAAGAGCAGUUGAAUUUGGUUUGAAUUAAUUAUUUGGUUGAAUUGCUUACAAAUUAGAAUUGAAUAAUUCAAUUCUAUUUAUGAUUGAAUCAAAUUGUGAGACUCAUGAUGACUAAUUUAAAUUAAAUAAAAAAAGUAGAUAAUAAGUCCAUAUUUGAGUUAGGAAAAAGUUAAACAGUUUUGAUACAUGUGAAGCCUUUAAGGUGGGUUAGAUAGUUCAAUUUUUUUAAUAAUGUUCUUUACCGCUAUCUCAUCUUUCUUCACCAAUUUAUUUUCUUUUACUAUUCUGAAUUGUUGCCCUUGAGUGCAUGUAACCACCUGCCCCGAAUUCCAAAGGUGAAUCUAACUACGGCUGACAUAUAAACUUAGAUAUCUCUUUACAAUCGAUAAAAACUCAAUUCUCAAAAAGAAUUAUUAAACUGCAUCGGAAGAAAUUUAAAAUUUUGUCAAAUCAUCUACUAUCUUCAAUUUCAAUUUUUCUCCUCACUCAUCAUGAAUCAAUCCUUCUUUUCGGGAAUCACAAUAAAUUAUAUUGAACAUAGUAAACAAACUUAUUUUUCAUAUACGAAAUUACAUACUUGGUUAUAUAUAAUGCAAACCAAUAACAUGCCAUGGUAUUUUAAAAAUAUUGUAAAACAAAUUCAUUAAAAUUUCUUUUGCCACAUUCAAACUUCACAUUUCCUUUCAAAUCACGUAUUUCAAUUAUCUUAAUUCAAUUACUACUCAGUAGAACUCUCACUUAACAUUCAUAAUUUUGGUCUUCAUGUAAACGUCCUUCACUCACAUAUCUCUUAAACAUUACAUUUACAGUGUCCACUAAGCGAGUAAUGAAUUCAAGAAACUAACCAAAAUCGAAAAAUUUACUUUCUUUCUUCAAAAUCAAUUUGCUAAAAUUCACUUUCUUAUUUUCUAGAAAACAUGAUGCAUAUUCAUAUUUAUGCCAAUGAACUUUCACACAUACAUAUAUCCAUGCAUAAAUCAUACUUGACACAUAAUAGCACAUCACAUAAAUAUAUGGGCAAAUCAUAUAAAUUAACAUCCGUACAUAUUAAAAUAAGCUUUUCAAACACGUCAAAUAUAUACUUGUUUUUUAUUGUAAUUUACUUAUUUAGGACUUCCUCAAGUAACAAAAGUGUAUUGAUAUUAUCUAUGGGUGGGCACGGUUCGGUUCGGAUCGAAAUUAAGUAGAACCAAUUUAAAUCGGUUAUUUUAUAAAAAGAACCGAAUAAGAACCGAACUCAAACGGAUCUUUUCGGAUCAGUUCGGUUCGGUUCGGUUUUUUCGGUUUUGGGCCUAUUGGGCCUAUUUUGAAAUUUCAAAUUUUUAGCCCAUUGGGCCUCAUGAAUAUAAUAAUUUUUUUCAACAAUUAGUUCAUCCUAAUUUCACUACAAAUAUUAACAAUAAAUACAAAGUAUUCAAAAAUAUUUUAUCACUAAUAUCUUACUAAUUAUUAAUAAGGUACUCACAAAAUAUGAAAUAUUAAAAUUUCAAAAUACAUAACCAAACUCCAAUACUUCAUCUACAUAAACAUAAUCAUAAUGUUGUAAAGACAAAUAAAAAUAACAACAAUUACAACUUACAACACAAAAUAAAAAGAAAAUUUAGAAACAAACGCCAACGACAUUCUCCUAUCUUCACCAAAAAAAAAAAAAAAUUACAAACAAACGCCAACAACAUUCUCCCAUCUUCAUCAAUAUCAACAUCAACUUUAGGCAUUUUCCAACUCAAUAUUUGGAUCUAUAAAAAAAAAUUUAACACAUGUCAAUUUAAAUAAAAUCUAAAAUUAAUUCGAUUUUUUGGUUCGGUUUUUCGGUUCAGCUGAGUGAACCGAAUACCGAACCGACAUUUCGAUUUUUUUUACAAAUGAUAUAUUUCGGUUUUUUUUUUAAAUAAAAACCGAUCCGAAUUAGAAAAAACCACCGGUUCGGUUCGGUGUUUUUAAGACCACGAUUUUUUUGCCCACCCCUAAUAUUAUCGGUCUAAAACUAAUAAGAAAACUCUCAUAAAGAUAUCAUUAUGUCCUUAUUUGUAAGUUACUAAAAUAUCCCAAAAUUUUAAAUUACCAAAUUACCCUUGAAAAUCAUAAAUUACCAAAAUGCCCUCGUCGGUGAACGGUGACCGGAAUUCAAGCGGCGAUGAUCGAAAAAGUCAAAGCAGGAACUUCAGCUCGCUCUGAAUCCAACGGUGGAAGCGGUGUGCUCCAACGCGCAGCCAUGGUGCCGGAUCGAGCUUCGACAGCCGUGAAACUUCAACGGCUGAUCGGCGACAAAUCGGCUACUCUGUUUGAUGGUCAGAAAUUGAAGUAACUGCCAUAAAGAACAAAUCCCCGGUGACGACAUGACCCAUCCGGUAAAAACUCACCGAUUUGAGUCGUCGUCCUCCAUGACUUAACACGGCUUCGUGGGGUGGUCAUAGGCUGUUUUCCGGCAACAACGAUGAUGGGGAAAUGACCGGCGUCGUCUAAGAGUUCGGUUGAUACCCUCCAUCGGCGGAGAUGUGGCCGGAAUCGGAAGCAGCGAUUCAGGUUUAGUGAACAGGUUGACCCGACCCGUUUCUCUCUCCUCUGACCUGAUCGCGCACAUUCUAUCUCUCACUUAAUUCAGUUAAUCCGGUUAAUGACUGAAUAGCUUUAGGAGAAUUAAUUUUCGGAUUAAUGGCAAAAAUACUCUUAAUUUAUGAAGAAAUUAAGCGUUGUUAUGAAGGCAUUAAUUUUUUUACUGUGAAAUCUUCCUAAAAAAAAAAAUUAGUCUUUAGAAUUGUAAAUGUAAUGAAAAUUGGUCUUUUGGAUAACUAAGAUAGGGAAAGUUGGUUUUAGGAUAAUUAGAUUUACCAAAUUAGUCCUUAGAAUAGUGCUUCAAACGUGUCUUAAUGAAUUUUGCAAAAAUUGUUAUUUGAUUAUAUUUGAUUAUAGGCCAAAUAUAGGCCAUUUCUGAAUAUUUACCUAUAUUAAAAGUUUUCAUUAUUAUUUGAUUUAUCUUCUGUAUUCUCAGUUGAUGCUGCAUUACGAAAAUUACUUGAGAAAAAGAAGAAUCUGAUCAAAGAAACAGAUAAAUAUGGGUGGACUCCAAUUCAUUACGCUGUGUAUUAUGGAAAUUACGGGACGGUAAAUUUAUUAUUAGAAACGGAUCAAUCUGCUUCGAAUAUUGCUGACAAAGAUCGAAAGAUGACAGCCCUUCAUUUGGCAGCGGACCGAGGGUAUGUCGGAAUAGUUAAAGCAAUUAUUUCCAAAAAUCUAGAAUGUUACGAGCUGGUCGAUAACAGGGGAUGGAAUUUUCUCCAUUAUGCUAUGGUUAGUUUUUAUGUUGAAGAAUUAGGAAAUCUUCUUGAAAAUAAUCCGUUAGUGAGGAGUCUUAUAAUUGAGGGGGAUGUCAAGGGAAACACUCCUCUUCAUGUGCUGGCUGCUGUACGUCCAGAUGAAUUCGAUGUCCGUAUGAUUAGGAAGAUGCAAGCCAACUUUGACGCUGUCAACAAACAAAAUGUUAGUGUUACAAACAUUUUACUUAAUGGCUAUCCUGAGCUCAAGGUAAUUAUUUUAUUUGUUCUUUCAACUAAAUUAUUAAAAAAAAAUUUAUGCAAUUAAUUAAUAUUCAAAUGUAAAUUAAUUACAGGAAGAAAUCCAAAAAUUAUCCAAAGAUGUUGGCAGAGGACAAUAUUCAGAUGGUGUUAUAAGGGGACCAAAAUACCUUGUAGGGCAAAAUGAUGAUACCAAAGAUGAUUACAAGGAUACGAGAGCAUCACAUUUGGUAGUGGCUGCACUCAUAGCAACAGUAGCCUUCGCAGCAGCUUUCACCAUUCCAGGCGGUUAUAGAAGCGAAAAUGGAACUGCAAUCCUGAGGAGAAAUACAGCUUUUCAAGCAUUUAUAGUAGCAGAUUCCAUUGCCAUGGUCUUUUCUCUUUCUGCCGUCUUUACUCACUUCUUGAUGGCUCUUAAAAUUGAAGCAACUAAAGAUUUCGAUGAGGCUCUGUUUGCUGCUUCCAUUUGGUUCACCUUAUUUUCCAUGGGAGCAAUGGUGAUUGCAUUCGUUACGGGAACGUUUGCAAUGUUAGUACCUUCUUUAGGCCUUGCUAUUAUCACUUGUUUAAUUGGCUUGAGCUUUUUCUUCCUUGCGUUUUGGCUCAUCAAAUUGUCUAUUUUUUUAAGUAGGACAAAAGUAAUUGAUUGUAGUAAGUCACCAUCUUUGUUUAUCAAUAAAAUGAUUGAUUUUCAGUUUAACAUAAACAUUAAUUAAUUUACUCAAUCUUUGCUAAUAAUGAAUAAUUACUUUAAUUGUACAUUGAUCACUGAUGUUUUUAAUGAAAAUAAAAUUUGAGAUCCAGGCCGAUCUACUUUAUUGUUAAUGAUUAGAUUGAAUUGGUGAGAGGGAGUCAAAAUCAAAUUUAAUAUUUCAAAUUGUUUGUAUUUUCUUAUGUUGAUGGAAUAAAAUCUUGAUUACUUUGUCAAAAAAAAUUGAAAAAAUUUAUCUCUUUGUAUAAUGCGUCAUUAGAAAUCUUCAAUUAGACAUGAGUAAAGAAAAUCCAUGAUGCAUGUUUAAGAGUAUAUAUUUGUUUUUUUUAUAGGUUAAUAUAUUGCCAUCGGAAUUUUAUUAAUAUUUACAAUAAAAAAUCUAUCGAAAUUAUUCUUAAUAAGUCUAGUACGGCACAAUUUGAAUUUCUACCCUCACAUAAUAUCAAAGGGAUAUUUGCUCUACUAAUAUUAAUAGAGGAAAAAUCUACUCCUAUCUAAUUUAAUUAGAAGGAAACCAAGUCCAAUAAUAGUUAAGACUCAAAGGUUGUACUAAUGGGCUCAUGAUUACUUAUAUAGGUAAAUAAAAUUUUACCAUUCAACAGAGAUAAUGACACAUCACUUUAAAGUUAAAUCCUAGGACCUGUCUAUGGUACAAAUUCUGUAACAAACAUCUCCCGUCAUCCCACCAUCCGAUCUUCUAUUGUUUAGUUUCUCACUCCACAUCCAACUACAUCCAACGGCUGAUGCUGCAGUCUGUAGCUUACAGAUUCUAUCCUAAAUCCUAUAUCACCAAAUGAGUUGAAUCAAGACCGAGAAAGACAGGGGGACGUUACUUUGAAGGAAUUAUUGCAACCAUUGAAAACUAAUAAAUGAAAUGAUUGAGGCUUCGGAAGCUCAGGCACAUGAUGGGCUAGGUUCUGUUCAGCCCGUCCAUACUUGGAAGGGCUUUUAUGAGAUUAGGCUGGAGCCUGGACUUGUCCAAGUUCAGCCCAUUUUCCAUCCCCUUUUGGUCCCACCACUGAACAGAAAGGAAUCCCAACUCCGAAUUAGCCUAAUCAUCUGCUAUCUGCUGAAUUCCGUGGAAAUAUGUGUGAACCAAAAACAAAAUCGACUUUGGAUUCCUAAAGACUGUGCAAAACACGCACGUGAGCCGAUCCAUGGCCCAAAAGGCGAUUUUUGGACGAUGAUAAAGCGGGCAAGGCAAAAUGCCAAUUCUUAUCAGUAGAAUUGAGGUAAAGUCUCAGUAUGUCUCGACCUUGGUCGUGAGAUUUGAUCAAUUAAAAUUAUAAUUUAGGUGACAUUUUGAGAUAAUAUUACAACAGUUAUUUUUAAUUGAAAUUAAUUAUUCUCAAAAACUACCAAAUAUAUGCUUACAAAUUCAAUAUUCACAAAUUCAAAUGAAUUAGGUUGUAUGAUAUAUAUCACAAACAAAUCAUUUCUAUAAACCAUUUAAUCUAUCACAUAUCGUGUCAAUUGCACUUGAUUUGGUUUGCCUUUGCCAUCUGCUUAUACAUACUAAUUUUAAUAGGAUAAUCGAUCACUAAAUCCUCAAUGUUUAUUUAAUUAAACUACCUCAAAGACUUAGCUGAGUAAUUUUUAAAUAAUUUUACUUUAUUAAUUACCCGAAUUCAAAUCCAAUAGGAGGUUGAGGAAGAAAAAAUUGAAUUGGGCUAGCUGAGGUAGAUUCUUUUUAAGAAGCUCUAAUUAGAAAAAAAAAUUUAAUAUAUUUAUGUAGAUUGCAGCUAGUUUUGUCGGUAAAUUCUUAUUGAAAUAUCUUUAAUAAAUUUCAACAAGGUAUUCAAUAUGUGAGAGGUUUGAGAUGAAUUAGAUUGAAACUAAAAAACAGAGUCUCUUUGACAAUAUAUUAAUAGUGCGUUUAUUAACUAUGAAUCCUAAUAGGCAAGGAUCAUAAUGGGUUGGAAUCAAAAUGUAGAAUAAUAAAUUGUCUACUUCAACUACAAGAAUCGAGAUAAAAAACAAUAGUAUUUUCAAAUUUGAUGUGUUUAUUUUAUCUUAAAAUUAGAAUAGAUGAUUGUAAGUUACAAAAAUAGAGUUAAAAAAAUUAAUUUUCAAUAAAGAUAAAUAAUUUUACUCUUUAUUCUCAUUUCUCCAUUCUUAUUCACGUCUCUUCUAUCUAAAUGAAAUUCCUACUCAUUCCCAAAUUUAUGAGAUUCACUCAAAUUUUAUUUAUAUUUCUUUGUAUUUUUAACAAAUAAAUAUUAUUAGUAAUUCUCAUUCCUCAUUUUUUUUCUAAAUCCUAAAAAUAAACAUAUUAAUGACAUUCAUUGCAUCGAAAAAAUCAUGUGGCUAUCCUAAAAUUGAUCUAAGAACCCACAUUGAGAAUUUGUUUCCUUCUAACUUUAUUUUGACUUUCAAAAGACACGACUUCACUCCCGCAUUCAACCAAUGAAAAGUGGAUAGUUGCUGGUUGUGAGGAAGCCACUUUGGAUUUGGUGAUAGUCACCCUUAUUAGUUAUGACCACCAAAAUGGGAAGUGGCUUAAAAAGCAAAUUACUCUUUCUUAAAAAAAAAAAAAAACCAAAGUUGGUUAGUGUGAGUGAUUUGACACUCUCACUCCUUAAGAGAGGUUAGGGGUUCAAGCCCUGCUCUCGUAUGUAGUCACCACUUUGGCUAGCACUUUACCUCUUACGGGCCGAUCCGGUGCGAGCGGGGAUUAGUCUAAGUUGUGGUACGAGCUUAAAGGUGCCUUCCACAGUUGGGGUCCACUCAGGACCACCUCGUGGUUCAGACAAAAAAAAAAAAAAAAAAGAAUUUUGACUGUAGACUCUCUUGUAUCUACUCAUUGUGAGUUAGAUUCUCUCAUUAUUAGAAAUGUCACCUGUAACUGUAAGUUGUAUAAGGGGAGCCAAUCUCCCUAGCAAAUAACCAAAACGCACAAUAAAAGAAAAGAAAGACAUGUAACUGUAAGUCGCAUCAAGGGGCCUAUCUCCCUAAAAAAUAACCAAAACCCACAAUAAAAGAAAAGAAAUAGAGAGGGGGAUUCGUGAAAUACUGAAAAUUACGGUGAUAAUAAAUUUUAAUUAAUAUAUGUACCACAACUGCUAUAAACAAUAACAGAUAAAUUAAGAAUUUUUAUUAGAUAAUGAUUUUUUUAUCAUUCUAAUUUUGACUAAUAGACGAAUUUAGUGAUUUUAAUAAAUUAAUGAGAUAUUUAAAAAAAACCAUUAUACAACUUUGUAUUCUCAUUCAUAUUUUAAAUGAACAAUUUAUUGAAAUUAUAAAUAUAAUUAUUAUUAAUAAAAUAUCACUCCAUUGUUAGUCUACUGAUCUUUUGUUCAUCAGAAAAUUCCAAAGGAGUGGUUGUAAAUCCCCAUCUUCAAAAGGGAAAAAAAAAAGGUCCAAAGCAAAAUUAUACUACUCGUACGUCCCAUUCAUAGAAUUAUUGCUUCUCUUUUUCGUCACUUCAAAAUUAAGCGUACUGUGCAUCCGAGAUACUAUUCACCCUUGCCUAAUGGAUCAACUUCGCCAACAUGAAUUAUGUUUCCAUUGAGACUGAGGAAGCUUCAUUAUUAGACAACAAUGGCGAGAUCAGUCAGUCGCAAAUAGACCCAAAUUUGUUCAAAGCCACAGCUGCGGGCAAUUCGGAGCCCUUCAAAGAUAUGGCAAGAGAGGUAAUUAAGAGCCUAUUAACAGCAAGACCAAGAACACAAUCCGGCAUAUCAACAUCAAAUUGCAGAAGAAAGAAAAUGUGUCAACCAAGUUUGUAGGAGAAAUACUUGAGAUAUGCCCAUCGCUGCUACUGCAAGUUAAUGCCAAAGGCGAUUCUCGAUCACUUCUCAAUGCGACAAAAUUCGGCCAUUGUGAUAUAGCGAGUGUUCUUAUUGAAAGAGCAAAAUUAGUUGAGCAUGAAGAUGAAGAGCUCGAGAGCGGGGUAGGAGCCUCCAGGCAGACGAUUAGGAUGACGAAUCAAGUGAAGCAUACGGCUCUUCACCAGGCAGUAUUUCAUAUAACUGUCGAUGUGGUGAAAAUACUGACGAGAGAAGACCCUGAUUAUCCAUAUUCUGCAAAUAAUUACAGCAAAACGCCACUUUGCAUGGCUGCUGAGUAUAAGCAAAGAUUGCUGACAAAGAUCGAAAGAUGAGAGCUCUUCAUUUGGCAGCGGGCCGAAGGGAUGCCAGAGUAGUUGAAGCAAUUAUUUCCAGAAAUCCAGAAUGUUAUGAACUGGUCGAUAACUGGGGAUGGAAUUUUCUUCAUUAUGCUGUGUUUAGUUUUGAAGUUGAAGAAUUAAGAAAUCUUGUAGAUAAUAUGUUAGCAAGUAGUCUUAUGAAUGAGGGGGAUGCCAAGGGGAAAUCUAAUGUCCAUUUUUUUGCUGCUGUCCGUCGAAAAUAAUUCUUUGACGAUUUAUCUGGAAGAGUAAAGCCAACUAUGAGGCCAUCAACAAGCAAAAUGUUAGCGUUGCAAAAUGUUGCACCAUGGCUAUCUUGAGCUCAAGGUAAUUAUUAUUAUUAUUAUUUUUGGUUUCAAAUUGUAUAUAUUGAUUUAUUAAUUAAUAUUCAAAUGUAAAUUGCAGGAAGAAAUGUUGAGAUAUAAUUAGUAAUCUAGUAAAUUGAGCAAGAAGUUUGAAGGGUUAUUUGGUUUGUUUUUCAACGUGAAGUAAAGGGUAGAAUUGAUGUUUGCAAUGUGGCUUUGGAAAUGUAAAGCAUGAUUAAUGUAAUCUCUAGAGUUGUCUAUAAUGCAUAUAAAUAUAGAACUCUGGUUGUAUGAAAAGAAAGAGAGAAAAGAAAAAAUGAAUUAAGCAAUAAAGUUUCAGGUAAUUUCCAGCAAAAUACUCUGUUCUUAAAUAAAAAAUUCUCUGCACUUCCGCUUGCACCCAACAAAUUUGGUAUCAGAGCUUUUCCAAAACACCCUCAAAAUGACAUCAAAUACCCUACCCACAUUAUUUUCAUAUGCUCUCAGUCAAGUUCCAAUAUUUGAAGGGGUACAUUAUGAAUAUUGGAGUAAUCAAAUGGAAACAUUUUUCCUCUCUCAAAAUUUAUGGGAUGUUGUUGAAGAUGGAUAUGCUAAACCACCAGAAUCUGCAAGUUCUUCAGAUUGGACUCCAGCACAUCAACAGCAGUACAAAGAAAACAUACAGAGAAAUGCCACGGCACUUCGAUAUAUCCAGCAAGGUGUUAGUAAGUCAAUUUUCCCCAGAAUAUUUGGUGUCAAAAAGGCCAAAAAUGCUUGGGAAAUCCUAAAACAAUAAUUUCAAGGUUCCGAAAAGGCAGUCACCAUCAAGUUACAGACUUUGUGGAAAGAGUUCGAUAAUUUAUCAAUGAAAGACAGUGAAGGAGUUCAGGAUUUUUGCAGCAGAGUUACUGAGAUUGUGAACCAGAUUAAAGGUUGCGGGGACUCCAUUGAAGACAAGAAGGUGAAUGAAAAGGUGUUGAGAUGUCUUCCUCCAAAGUUUGAUCAUGUAGCAGCAGCCAUUGAAGAAUCAAGGGAUUUGUCCAAGAUGACUUUUUCAGAUUUGUCAGGAUCAUUACGGUCUCAUGAGCAAAGAAUCAAUCGACCUUCAAGUCAGCCUACAGAGCAAGCUUUUCAGUCAAAGAUUAAUAAUUCAGAUCAGAAUAAAAGCAGCAAGAAAGACCAGAAGAAUGGAGGCUCGUCUCAAAGAAAUGGACAGCGUGGCAAAGGGCAAAGAGAACAGAACGACAACCCCAACAAGUGGAAAAAUGACAGCGGGAAUUCACAGAAAAAUUCAGAUUCUCAGUGCAUCAUUUGUAAUCGGUCUAAUCAUGAAUCAAAAGAUUGUCGUUAUAAAUGCACAAGGUGUCGCAUUCCUAACCAUUCGCAAAGGGAUUGCUGGUAUCAAAAUAAGACAGGCAAAAAUGAGGCAAAUUUUACAAAAGAAGGUGAUGGAGAUUACUUGUUUUAUUCAAGUAAAGGUGUUGAACGUGAAUCAUAUAAUUUGUGGUACUUGGAUAGCGGCUACAGCAACCACAUGACUGGAGAACGUGACAUUUUCAUCAGCCUUGACCAAAGUUUUAAUUCGCAAGUGAAGCUUGGAGAUGGAAAGAUGCAGAAAGCUGUGGGAAAAGGCAUUAUUGCUGUCCAUACAAAGGGAGGUAACAAAAAGCUCAUUUCUGAUGUUCUUUAUGUUCCAAAUUUAACUCAAAACCUCUUGAGUGUGGGGCAGCUAAUUCAAAAGGGUUUUCCAAUUUAUUUUGAUGAUGAAAAAUGCAAAAUUAUUGAUAAAACUAAUAAUCACACAGUGGCCGUUGUUGAAAUGUCAAAGAACAAAGUUUUUCCUCUUGUUAUGCCACUUGAUGAGAAUGUUGCUCUCAAAACUGAAAAUUCAGAUUUGUCAAAUUUAUGGCAUCUCAGAUAUGGCCAUUUAAACUAUAAAGGGCUGAAUUUGCUCAAGCAAAAGAACAUGGUGAUUGGCUUACCUGAUGUUGGAAGAUAUGAAAAAGUUUGCGAGGGCUGUAUAUAUGGAAAAAUGCAUAGACUUCCAUUUCCUAAAAAUUCAUGGAGAGCCAAAGCUCCGUUGGAGUUGGUGCAUGCUGAUAUUUGUGGUCCUACAAGGACUUUCUCUCUCAAUAACAGAAGAUAUUUCAUUCUUUUUGUUGAUGACUAUACAAGGAUGAUGUGGAUUUAUUUUUUGAAUGAAAAAUCAGAAGCUUUCUCAACUUUUCUUCAGUUUAAAGCUCUUGCAGAAAGGCAAAGUGGAUGCAAAAUGAAGACCUUGAGAACUGAUCGUGGUGGUGAAUUUAUCUACACUCCAUUCAUGAAUUAUUGCAGGGAUAAUGGAAUUCAAAGACAACUUACUGUCAGCUGAAGUCCACAACAAAACGGAGUCGUAGAACGGAAGAAUCGUACCAUUGUAGAAAUGGCAAGAAGCAUGUUAAAAGGCAAAGGCAUUCCUAACAACUUAUGGGCAGAAGCAUGUCAUACAGCUGUGUACAUUCUUAACAGGUCUCCUACAAAAGCUGUUAGAGACAAAACUCCAUUUGAAGCUUGGCACAACCGAAAGCCAACUGUUGAUCACUUGAAGAUUUUUGGGAGUAUUGCUUAUGCUCUUAUUCCAGCUCAAAACAGGGAGAAGUUUGAUGAAAAAGGUGAAAAAUAUUUGUUUAUUGGCUAUAGUGAUGAGUCUAAAGGGUAUCGGUUGUUGAAUCCUACAACAAAUAAGCUUGUUAUCUCAAGAGAUGUUGUAUUUGAUGAGGCAUCAGCUUGGCAGUGGGAAAAAGAUCAAUCUCAAGCAUCUAGCUUUUUUUAAGCUCCUGUAUCUCCACCAAAUUCUUCACAGCAAAAUAAUUUGGAACCAAAUUCUCCAAAUUCGGCAACAGAAAGUUCUUCGGAUGAUGAAAGUCCUCCAAGGAAGAUAAAGUCAAUGAGAGAAAUUUAUGAGUCAUGUGAACUUGCUUUAUUUUCUUGUGAGCCUCAAGACUUUGAGGAGGCCUCAAGAAAUGAAGAUUGGAUCAAAGCAAUGAACGAGGAAAUGGCCACCAUUGUGCAAAAAUAAAACUUGGGAGAUGGUUAAUUUGCCAAAUGGAAAAGAAACAAUUGGGCUGAAAUGGAUCUUCAAAAUCAAGUACAAUGAAGAUGGUUCAGUUCAAAAAUAUAAGGCGCGGCUCGUUGCCAAAGGAUACUCUCAAAUGCCUGGAGUUGAUUUUACAGAAACGUUUGCUCCCGUAGCUCGAAUGGAGACUAUUCGAACUGUUCUUGCCUUGGCAGCCCAAAUGGAAUUAAAUGUGUUUCAGCUAGAUGUAAAAUCAGCAUUUCUAAAUGGUGAAAUUGAAGAAGAGGUUUAUGUUGAGCAGCCUAAAGGAUAUGAAGUGAAAGGUGAAGAAAACAAAGUUUAUCGACUCCGAAAAGCCUUGUAUGGCUUGAAGCAAGCCCCUCGAGCGUGGAAUAGCAGAAUUGAUAGAUAUUUCGUUAAAAAUGGAUUUGACAGAAGCUCAAGUGAACCUUCUCUUUAUGUCAAAAAGGAAGGUACUGAUUUCCUUAUUGUUUGCCUUUAUGUUGAUGAUCUAAUUUAUUGUGGCACUAGUCUGAAAAUGGUGCAAGAGUUUAAAAAAAGCAUGCUAGAUGAAUUUGAGAUGACUGACUUGGGCUUAAUGAAGUAUUUUCUUGGCAUUCAAGUGAAGCAACCCAGAGGAAAAAUCUUCUUUUGUCAAGAAAAAUACGUAGAAGAUUUGUUGAAGAAAUUCCACAUGUUCAAAUGCAAACCAGCACCUACUCCUAUGGGUUUGAAUGAAAAAUUGAAACAUGAUGAAAAAGAAGAAAAGGCUGACGCAAGAAUCUAUAGAAGCUUGGUUGGUUCGUUGAUUUAUCUAACCAACUCAAGACCUGACAUUUUGCACUCAGUUAGUGUUCUUUCUAGAUUUAUGAAUGAUCCAAGGAAGUCCCAUUAUAUUGCAGCAAAGAGAAUCUUAAGGUAUCUUCAAGGAACAAAAAAGCAAGGGAUCAUGUAUGAAAAAGAAGACAAUUGCAAGCUUGUUGGUUUUACAGACAGUGACUGGGCUGGUUCCCUUGAUGACAGAAAAAGCACAUCAGGUUAUUUAUUUUGUCUUGGUACAAAUGUGAUUUCAUGGAGCUCAAGGAAGCAGAAGUCAGUAGCUUUAUCCUCAACCGAGGCAGAGUAUAUUGCAGCAACUGAAUCAGCUUGUGAAGCCGUUUGGCUUGGAAGAAUUCUCAAGGAUUUGCAGUUCAAUCAAGAUGCUGCAACAACAAUUUAUUGUGACAACAUGUCAGCCAUAGCUCUAACAAAAAACCCCGUCUUUCACUACAUCCGUGACUUAGUAAGCAAAGGAGAAGUUAAUAUGGAGUUUAUCAGCACUAAUGAGCAGCCAUCAGAUUUUCUGACCAAAGCAAUCAUCAUUGAGAAGUUUGAAAAAUUCAAGAAGCAAUUGAAGAUUACUAAUUAAGAGGGGGUGUUGAGAUAUAAUUAGUAAUCUCGUAAAUUAAGCAAGAAGUUUGAAGGGUUAUUUGGUUUGUUUUUCAACGUGAAGUAAAGGGUAGAAUUGAUGUUUGCAAUGUGGCUUUGGAAAUGUAAAGCAUGAUUAAUGUAAUCUCUAGAGUUGUCUAUAAUGCAUAUAAAUAUAGAACUCUGGUUGUAUGAAAAGAAAGAGAGAAACGAAAAAAUGAAUUAAGCAAUAAAGUUUCAGUAAUUUCCAGCAAAAUACUCUGUUCUUAAAUAAAAAAUUCUCUGCACUUCCGCUUGCACCCAACAAGAAAUUCAAAAAUUAUGCAAAGAUGUUGGCAGAGGACAAUACUCAGAUGCUGUUGUAUCGAUAAGAAAACCACAUGUAUUUCAAGAGCCUGUGUUUCCUGAAGAUGAUUUCAAUGAUGCCAGAGCGUCACAUCUGGCAGUGGCUACACUCAUAGCAAUGGUAGCCUUCGCAGCAGCUUUCACUAUUCCUGGUGGUUACAAAAGCGAAAAUGGCACUGCAAUCCUGAGGAGAAAUACAGCUUUUCAAGAAUUUAUGGUAACAGAUACCAUUGCCAUGAUCCUUUCUCUUUCUGCCGUCUUUACUCACUUCUGGUUGUCUCGUAUGACUGAACUAACUAAAGAUUUCGAUGAGGUUCUGUUCAGCGUUUCCGUUUGGUUCGCCUUAUUGUCCAUGGCAGCAAUGGUGAUUGCAUUUGUUACGGGCACAUAUGCGAUGUUGGCACCUUCUCUAGCCCUUGCCAUUAUUACUUGUUUAAUUGGCUUAAACUAUUUCGUCCUUGCGUUUUUGGUCAUCAAAGAUAUUUCAGUGAAAAAUCAUGGGUAGGAAACUGUUGCUGAAAGAAGAUUUACACCGUCUUUUUAGUAAGGUUUGAAGUCGGGACCUAAGUUUUAGGGAGGCUACUCCUCAUCGGAUGUUGCUUUGGUGGAAUAAUAAACUUACUAAUGUUAGCACCUUCCUUAGGCCUUCCCAAUUUCCCAUUAUCACUUGUUUAAUUGUGUUGAGAUUAUUCUUCCUUGUGUUUUGCUUUAUCAGAAGAUAUAUCUGUAAGAAAUCGCUAAAAAGAAAAUUGCUUCUUUUUCAUAAAAUAAAGAUAUUAUUCAUAAACGGUUUUCUUACUCACCGCUUUUUUUUUUUUGGUUAGCCUCCUUAAAGGCAAUCUUUAUGUCUUGAAAUUUAUAUAAAUUUAAGCAAAUCUUAAUUAAAAAAGAGAGUUAGUAAUGAAUAAUUUUGCAAUUUUGGAAGAAAUUAAAUAUAAAAAUUUCAUUGUUAAAUGCAUUCCGUGGAUUCUUCGUUUUCUUGGAUGGGAAUCGAGGAUAGUAGAAUUUUUUAAAUAUUCUUAGGCUAAAGCCAUAUUGAUAAUAUUUCAUUUUUUUGUUUUAAGAUUUCUUUAGUAUACACCAACUUAAAAUUAAAAUAAAAAAAAAUUUCAACUUGUCACUAGCUAAUUAAAAAAAAAAAUGUUUAUUAGUAUAAAUUUUAUCCCAAAUUAUCAGAUUAUGAUUUCAACCUAGGAUGGCCUCUUAAAACUUGCUUGAGCUUCCUUUUUAUUGGAUGAACUCCCGAUGUGGACUUCUCAUGUUGUGCCUUUCAUUUUCAAGUUUAAUUUUGCUCAGUUGAAAUUUCUUCAAAGAGAUGUCCACUUAUUUAGUGAUGAAAAUGAUCUUGAUAAGAUAAUGCCCUACAAACAUAAGAAAAACAGUCAAAGGGCCAGCUUUAACGACGUGGACACUCUAGCGAUCAAGUUAAUCAUCGAAUUUUUAAAAAUCUAAUGUUCAGAGUGUGAAAAUUUAGAGAAAUAAAGCCUAGAGAGAGAAAGUCUUCUCUAGCCACUCUCCCCCAAGAUCUUUUUGUCUAAGGUCAUUUUCUUCCAAGCAGUCCCUAUACCUCUCUAGAGGAGCCAGAAUCAACUUCAUCGUCACUAGGAUCAACUUCAUCGUCACUAGGAUCGCUUGAGUUCUCCCUUUCCUCAACUUGAGCUUGGAACUAAUAAAAAAUUCUAUCAAAGUUCGAAGCUAAUGAAUCCACUUUACUUUGGAUCAAGCUUGCCCUUGUCGUUAGGCUUCAUGAUGUGGAUUAGGAAAAGGAUAAACGAGUACCAUGGCUUCAAAUGAUGAAUCCAUCAGUGGUCUUCUUCGUUGAAAAUGGGCUUCCUUAACCCUAGAACUCAAAGAUUCAAACACAGGGUCAUGAUACUCGUAGCUCAAAUCCAUGCUCACAGUUCCAAGACUUUUAGUCGGGAGUUCUCGUAGACAACGCCAAUUUUGUUGGUAAAAAUUUUGUCCCAAUUUAUAAAAUGAUAAUUUCAUGAGCUUCCUCUUUAUUGGAUCAAACUAUGUUGAACUCUCAAUGUGGGCUUCUUAUGUUGUGCCUUUCAUUUUCAAGUUCAAUUGUACUCAUUUGAAUUUUCUCUUAAGAGUUUUCUGCUUCCUUAUGUGACGAGGAUGACCUUAAUUAGAUAAUGCUCUAUAAAUAUAAGUAAAAUAGUCAAAGGCUUGCCUCACCAGCGUAAACCCUUUGAUGAUCAAGUCGAUCACCAAAUUUUUAGAGAGAAAAGUUUAGAGUGAGAAAAUUUGGAGAUAUAAAGCCUAGAUAGAGAGAGUCACUAUUUAUCCUCUUGAGUGAUUUUUGGCUUAUCUUUGAAAAAAGAUGGGAACUUAUAUUUGUAAAUGACUUUGAUUUGACUUGAGUCCUUAUUGUAUUGACGACAAACGUCAUUGUCUUUAUAACACCGGGCAACACUUGUCUUCUUGCGACCAUGCCAAGUAACACUUGGACAUACAACUUUGUCCUCAGAUCAAAAGAGGAAGUUUCUCCAUCCUUUUUGUUUGGUAGAGGAUAUAGUAUCAUUAUGCUUAGUUUUCAAAGGAAGAUAUGUUUUUAUCAUAGGUUUUCAACCUAGAAGUUUGUCUAAGGAGGUUUAUCUUUAGGAAAUUUGUCCUAAGAGGUUUUUUUCUAGAUAAAUUGUCCUAUGAUCAUGGGAUCUUAAGAACCUAAGAGUUUAUUCUAGGUAGCAUGUCUCCUAAAACCUAUAAGACUUAUCUUAAGAGGUUUUUCCCAUAAUCUAGGAAUCUAAAAGGUUUAUUUUGUUUCCUCUUAAUUAGUUGGUAAAACUAUAAAUGAAAGAGUGAGACAGAGAACAUUGAAGCAAAACCAUCCAUCCAAUUACACCAACAGAACAAGAACCUUUCAUUGUUAAAAUGUGAGUUGCUAGUGUUAUAUAUAUAUAUAUAUCUUCACUUUUAAUUCAUUCAACGUAUAAGAAUAUAAUAGUGAGUCUAUCACGAACAAUUACACAAAUAUUUGGAUUAAUGUACAGAUAACCCAUUGCAGUCAACAGAUAAACAAUCAUUGAUUUCUUAUUCUGAUGUGUUGUGAAUAGUAUCAGUAUACUAAAGAAUCAUGUAAUGAUACAGUCUUUUAAUGUCGUACACGAUCAAUUCAAACGUCGCCAGGAAAAUUUUAUUCUUGCUAGUUAAAUUAUAAAUUUGUUUCCAUAAGACUAAUUAAAUACAUUAAAUUUAGGUCCAAAAAACAACCAACAAUGUAACAGAUCAAUGAUAGAAAAUCAUUUACAAUCUCUUAUUGUCAAAUCUGAUCCUUGUAGACAUAAAAUCUGAAAGACAACCAACACAGCAACACAAACAAAGCCAAAUGAACACAAGUCACCACAGAGGGUGGUGGGAACACAGUCGCCAUAUCCGUGGAACCAAAAAUCCACAGACCUAGAUCUAUGGAUAUAUUGAAUUAUACCACUAAGGGCCCGUUUGGGAUUGCUUUUAGGAGAUUUAAAAGUGAUUUUAAAAAUCUAAAAGUUAGUUUUAGUGUUUGGUAAAAAAAAUCAAAAUCACUUUUGUCAAAAUCAGCCCCUCCUACAGCUGAUUUUGAAAAGCAGUGAAGGAGUAGCUUUUAGAUUCUGAUUUUGAGAAUCAAUUUUAUCAUUUAAUACAAUUCCAUGAAUAUCCUUAAAAUUAUUACCUAAACCCAAAAUUAUCCUUAUUCAAAUUGGAAACAAAAUAAAUAUUUUAAUAAAUUUGUAUUAUAAUUCAUCAAUAUAAAUUUAUUACUAUCAAUUUGUUGGUCGAAUUAUUAUUGAAUUUGUUUCACUAUAUUAUUAAUUUAAUUAUCAAUUGUUUUAAGAUAAAAAAUAAAAAAGUAAAAUCAAUAUAUUAUAAAUUUUAUUUUUAAUAAAAAUUAUUAUAAUACACAAUUAAAAAUAUUAUAUGUACAUAUUUUAUAUAUAUAAAUAAAUUUUAUCUUAUAUUAUGUAUAUUUUAGUCAUUUAUUUUCUCGUAACAGUUUAACAGUAAAAUUUACCAAACGUCCAUAAUUGCUUUCAAAACUCACAGUACUUUUUAAAACAAAAUUUACCAAACACUUAACUGAUUCUCUUCACAGUUGAUUAUUUCUACAGCACAGCUAACAGCAAUUAUUUUAAAAGCUACAGCAUUCCCAAACUGGCCCUAAGUCAUUUUACAUAAUUAUACUCAAAAGGUAAAAAUAUUCUCCACUUUAUUGUCAAUUUUCAUAACAAAGUUGAAUAAUAAAUCGAAUUUAAGUUUGUAGGCUUAUAAUUCAAUAGUGCUUGCAAAUAUAAUAUAAAACUUAUGAAUCAAUAUUAAGUGUAAAAUAAAAAUAAAAUAUAGGACUUGUAAAUAGAAGGUAAAACAUGUAAAUUAAUAUAAGAAUUAUUGAAAAAAAUAAAAACUAAAAAAUGUAAGAUCAAACCUCAUUUUAAUAAUGAUUACCUUAUACAUUUGUUGAUUUAUUUUUUUUCUAAACUGAAGAAUGAUAGUUUUGGGUUUAUGUAAUAUAUAUGAUGAUAUAUGUAGAAAUUUUAUUAAGGAUAAAACUUAAUUUUAAAAUCGGAUUUUGAAAAACUCUUCUUUUCAUAUUUUUCAAAGUUGCUCGUAGGAUAAGGUGAUUUUUCAUCAUUUUAAAUCUUCUUGAUAGCAACCACAAAUGAUCUUUAAAUACAAGUAAGAAGCAAAGUUUAAAAUUACAUAAAAUAUAUAUAAAACAUAAAAUUAGAUACAAUUUUAUUGAUAAUAUAUAUAUAUAUAUCUUUUUAUUUUGUUUUGACUUAAUGCAUUCAAGAAAAAUAAUUUGUUUAAUUAACCUCUGUAGUAAACAAUACUAUGAUAAAAAAUAAAAAAAAAUAAUGAAUGUCAUAGAAUGAAUCUAGAAUUUAUAGUUAAAUCAAUUCAAUAAAACUUAUUCUAAUUGUUUUCAAUACAAUUUUUUUUAAUUGAUGACUCACUUUGUUCUUUAUUUAAUUAAGUUAAAUAAAUAAGCUAAUUUUAUUUAAUGAAAGAUUAAUAUUGAUUUCAAAGUUUUAUGUUAUUUUAUAAGUGUUUGUUUUGUUUGUAAUUUGAAAACACUAAUUUACCACUCAUAUAUUAAUAUACUAAUUUUAUCUUUUAUUUAAUAAUUUUAUAUGUAAUUUACAAAACUUAUAUUUAUCAUGAUAAUAAUGCCGUAAUUUUAAUCAUAGUAUCAUAGAAUUUUUCAAAUUUCAGAUAGUAUAUUUUUUGGUUAUUGUAAACAAUUUUUUAUAAAAAUUAAAUAGGGGCAUUAUAGUAUUAACGUACUUUUUUAUAUUUUGAUGUUAUUUGGAGCAAACAAGCUACGUUACAGACUGUAUGUAACAGCUCAGUACAAAUUGAUCUUGUAUCAGCUAACUUUUCCCUCUCCUGCAACACGUGGAUGCUCCCCAUUUGCUACGUUUCAGACUCUAUAAACAACAAAGUCAUCGACUUGCUGUUUUUCCAAGCAAUCACUCAGCAUCUUGCCGCAUAUUUGAGUCAGAGCCCAAACGCCCGAUUUUCAUCCUUGAAUUGAAGGAUGAUUUUGUUUUGGAGCUCGGCGUGGCAAGAAUGCAUUAUCGAACCAUUAUUACAUAUCAUCAUUACAGAGCAGUACCUGAACCACGUGAUCUCCCACCGCAAUUUUUUUAAUAAAAUAUAUAUUUAUUUCUUUUAAAAGACCAAUAACACCCGGACUGUCUCAUAUUACAUAAUCAUACUCUAAAAAGGCUAAAAUAUCCUAAAUAAAAAAAUAUUCUCACUAAAUAAAAAAAUAUUCUCAACUUUAUUAUCAAUCUUCAGCGAUCAUGCUAUGUUACCACAGCGGUAACAUACCGCACUUUUUUGUUCUUUUAAAUUAAUUACACUACAAUCCCUGUUUUAUGCUAAAAUUAGAAAAAAAAUCGAUAAUCUUAAAUUUUGACUCAUUAGCCCUACUUGUUUUGAUUUUUUGAAACUUAAAUCAAAAUGUGAGGGUAUUUUUUAAUUAUUAAUUCACACACCCAUCAUCAAAGUUGUAAAAAGAAAAUUUACUCCAUACACCUACUUAAAUGUCAAAUAUAUCCUUGUUAAAACUAAUUUCAUAUUUUUACUAAAUUAAUUAAUUAAAAUGAUAUAAAAAAAUGAUUGAAUUAUUUACAUGCCCACUAGUUUCAAUUCCAUAUCUCUAGCAAUUAGCAACUGAAUUUUAUCACUAACUCAAGAUUAUCAACCAUGAGAUGUGAAAAAAAGGUUCUCAAAUAAAUGUGGAGUAUAAAAUAACUUUGCCUUCAAAUUCUUUUAAAAGAUUCUAAACUUAUUUAUUAAGCUCGUAGAUGUAAGAAUAAACGACGAGAAAGUUGCCACCCUCCCUCACACUUUUUGAUACCUUCUUAUUAAACAAUAAAAAAUUAUUAAUUGGUAAAUUAAUAUAUUUUUAUUGCAUAUUGAAAUUAUUUACUAUAUAUUGAAUAAGUAUUAUGAAAAAAAUAUUAACUACAAAUUAAGAACAAGAGAUCAAAUUCAUACUAUAUUUAUCAUAAAAUAUUGUUUGUAAUUAAUACAUGGUUUUACUAUAUAUUAAACUAAUUAAUUAAUAAGAAAGAAUAUUAAUUUAAACAUAUUAAUUCAAAUAUAAGAAUAAAUUAAUUUAUUAGUGAAAUUAACUGGGUCAUUUGACACAAUAUAUUGUAUUGCAUUAGAUGCAUUAUAUUACAGUGUGUGUCAUUAAUGUGUAUUGAAUUGUAAUAUUUAUAUCAUUAUUUAGAUUGCUAUUAAUUUUAAUUUAAUAUUAUUCAAAUUUAUUAAUAUUUAAGUAUUUAUUAUUUUUAUAUUAAAUAUUUAAAAAUAUUUAAUUUUUAUAUACUAAUUAUUAUAAUAUAAUUAAAUAACGUAGUAUUAUACUAUAUUAUAUUUUUAUUUUUAUAUAUUAUUUAAGUAUUUAUUGUUAGUUCUAUUAAAAUUUUAAAUAAUAAUCAAUUUUAUUUAUUAAUUAUUAUAAUAUAAUUAAAUAAUAUAAUAUUAUGUUAUAAUUUUUUAUAUAACAUUUAAGUACUUAUUAUUAGUUAUAUUAGCUUAUUAAAUGUUAUACAUUAAUGUAAUAAUCUGUUUUAGAGCAAACAGAGGAAGGUUACUGUUGGGUUAGUUUUCUGUAUUACCCAUUUGGCAGUUGGCCAUAUCUUCAAGUUCGUUCCUCCAUCUGUCAGUCUGUUUUGGAGCAAACAGAGGAAGGUUACUUUCAUUAAGAGGAAUGAGAGAUUUAAAAUACAAUAUUGCACUCCAAGACUCGAUGCCUAUUAACAAACCAAGGGUUCCCUUUUAUAGGCACAAGGGAACCACUAUUACAUACUGUAGACAUUAUUAAACCUUAUCACAAAGGAAUCUACUUUACAACUCACUCCUUUACUUUAUGUCACACUCACACCAAACCUUAUCACAAAGGAAUCUACUUUACAACUCACUCCUUUACUUUAUGUCACACUCACACUCUUAUCCUUAUCUCUAAGGAUGGUACAUAAUACAUACGAAUACAAAUACACUAUAUUAUUAUCACCAAUGCUUCCACUGUAGGGUCCACUAAGCUUCCGCUAUAGUCCAGAGUUGCCACUGGUUGGCGUGCUACGUCCUGACCGAUGGUUCCAUCGUUCUUCAGAUGCGGCGUCCAUGUCUUCUCCCAUAUUGGGCCACAUUGGGUCUGGCUGUGGGUUUAGUUCUGGCUGGGGCCAUUCUUGGAGGUCUAGCCAGUUGGCCAUAUCUUCAAGUUCGUUCCUCCAUCUGUCAAUAUCUGGGGUAUCCAGAUAGGUGAUGUCUUGUGGCCUGCCAUGUCGGGAAAGGUAGUCAUUAUACUUAUGCUGCAUGUCGGCUGCCUCGUCUUCGUCUCCAUAUAGUUUGAGAUUUCGUAUCUCCUCUCUGUAGUAAAGGUCUGGAGUACUGCAGACUUGUGGGGAUACUGGACUGUGGGUGUUGUACAUGGGAACAGUCCCGUAUACCUCUGCUAAGGCUUGCCUAGCGUUCCAGCAACCAGUCCACAUGGAAUCGAUUUCUUCAUGGGAGUGGUCAUGUUGGACUACCUGUAUAAAAGGCUCUUUGUACCGUCCCCAAAUAUCUGUGAGUUUCACGAUCACUAUUGUAGAGCGGGUGAUGUGAUAACCGUUGAUGAGCUUUAGUGUGAGGACAUCUUCAAAGAUGGGGGCGAACAUUCGAUCGAACCAUCUUCCUUUACCGUAUCUUCGGCUGGUAUGGAUCAGGUUUGGUUCGAAUAGUAUUGCCACGGGGUAUAUGUUGAGCCAGUACCAUGUGAUGUAGUAAGCUUGAGGGGUUAUGUCGCAAAUGACAUAAUGACCCCAAUUGGAGUUCUCAUCUAUCACAUAGUGAAAAGUGCAACCAACCUUGAAGAUAGUUUCAUGCAUCUGGUCCGGGUUUGGAUGCGGAUCGAAGGCUCUUUGGCACUUCUUGUUAUGGGCAGGUCUGUGUUCUUGCAUGGCCAUGAGCUGCCAUACCCGCCAUGCAGAGCCUGAUCUUCCGGAUCUCUCUUGUGAGAGAUGAUUUUCUUAAAGAUGUCUUCCUGUACUUCAGAAGGAAGCCAUGCAAUAAAAGUAUUGAGAUCUUUGAGAAAGUGUGAUAUGUUUUCAUGAGCACUGGAGCUGCCUUCUUCCCAUCGUCUCGGGAGGCUUCUUCUUGUGAUCAUGGUGAUUGGUCUAGAAAGGAAAUCCGCUACAGUAUUGGAUUCUCGUUUGAUGUGUCUGGCUUCGAACUUAAAUCUCGAUAGAGAUUCGGACCACCUUGCUAGUUGUGGAUCUGGGAUUUCUCCUUCUUUUCUUCUGAUCAAUCCCAGGAAGUACUUGUAAUCUGUUUCAAUCACAAAGGGGGUUAGAGAGAGAAAGAAUUGAAACUUCUUGAUCCCAUUGGUGACUGCUAAGACUUCUUUCUUUGAGGAUGGGUAGUGGCUUUGAGCGUCGUUGAACUGGCCAGAUUUAUAGCCACAGACUCUCCUGUUUCCCUCGGAUUCCUCUAUCAAUAGUGCUCCCCAAUAAUGGUCACUAGCAUCUGUCUGUAAGAUGAGCUGUCCUUUGUCAGGUAUCUUUAAUGGUGGAAGUGAUUGGCACUUUUGCUUUAAAUCUGUCACAGCCUUUGUCGCUUCUUCCGACCAUUGUGGGGCACCCUUCUUUAAGUGCUUUGAUAUCUGACUCGUCAUCUUUGACAAGUUCUGCACAUGGUCUGCUGCAUAAUUGAUUAUCCCGAGGAAUUGUUGGAUUUGCUUUCUGGUUGACAGCUGGUCUGGGAACUGGGAUAUUUUUUCAGCAAUAUGUGGCUGAGGAAUGAUGAAUCCCUGUUUGAUGUGUAGUCCCAAAAAGUCUACCUCAUCAAGUCCUAUCUUCAUCUUUGGUUCUGACAAAGCCAACCCAUGUUUAUAGGUAAGAGCUUUGAAUUGAGACAGGUGUUCAGCAUGUUCUUCCUCACUGUUGCUGAAGAUAAGGGCAUCAUCGAUGUAGAUAAGGCAGAAUUCUGAAAUGGAUUUAUACACCUCAUCCAUGCUGUUUUGGAAUUCUGACGGUGCAUUCUUUAGGCCGAAAGGCAUCACAUUCCAUUCAUAAUGCCCAUGGGGGACCACAAAUGCAGUCUUGUGUCUGUCUUCUUCCUUGAUUCCAAUUUGCCAAAAGCCUGACUUCAUGUCAAACUUUGAGAACACCUUUGCUCCAGCAAUGCGUUUCAAAAGAUGUGUCCUCCGUGGAAUCGGGUACCUUAUGUCUUGCAAGCAAUCAUUUAGCUUUCGGUAGGCUAUCACCAAUCGCUUCUUUCCACGUAUUUGCUCUGAAUGCUUGUUGACAUAGAAUGCUGGGCUGGCCCAAUGAGACUUAGAGGGCCUGAUGAGCUUUAGAUCCAUAAGGGCCUGGAUCUCUGAUUUGCACAAUUCUUCGUCAUGGGGCAUGCCUGGAUGAGAGGUUGUCUGGUGAGGCAUGGUCCAUUCAUCUUUAUAUGGUAGAGACACAAAGUGUUGUUCUCUAGCCCAGGACUGGUUUGGUACUUCGGCACAGCAUUCAAGGAGUUCCUUAAUUUGGGGUUCAUAUUUAUGGAUUGGGUAGUUUGUUAGUUUUCCACCCUCUCCAAAAAUGGAUUGCUUUUCAACCCAAGGAACUUGAAAAGUAUGCUGAGAACCAUCGACUGGAUUGCGGAUGGUGUAAGAGAAUCCUUCAGGAAAGAAGGCAAAAGGGGCAACCAGACGGAGAAAGUCGGUGCCAAGGAGGAUAUCUUCGCCGGAGUAAUCGAAGGCAAAGAACCCAUGUUGGAUCAUAAAAGGUUGGAUCUCGAUAGGACGAGUAACCUUUUUGCUGUAGAAGUCCCUGCCACUGGCGGAUCCGAAAGAAACCUUAGUAGGAACAUAGAAUUGUCGGGGAACACAGGCUUCUCGGAUAAAUGAGCACAUAGCUCCUGUGUCAAUGAGAGCAGUAAGAGCUACCUGGCUAUCUUCAGAGGGAUUGAGGAUGACUUUGAUGUGUGGCCGGAAGUGGGAAGACCGUUGUACGGCAGAAGUAACUUGUAGAGGUUCUCGAACAGUGAGAACAGUGUCAUCAUCAUCAUCAUCGGGGGAAUCACCGUCUGAUGUAGAAGCAAUAUCCUCAGAAUCAGAAAGAGGAUAUUCAUCAAGAGUAUAGACAGCACCAAAGGGGCUAUCGGACCAGGUAUAAAUGUCGUCAUCAAAAUCAUCUUGCUGGAUCAGCUGGAUGAGUUUGGCUGGGAGUUUCUUUUUGGAUUUACAUUGUUUAGCAUAGUGGCCUUUCUUGCCACAGAUGAAACAUCUGCCAGAGCCUUUCUUGUGUUUCCGUUUUUUGAUGAAACGGUAUUUUUUCCCUUUGUAUAGUUUCCAGGGGCGUUUUGCUUUCUUUUGUCUGCCAGGAUUACAAGAGCACAUUUUGUCUGUAUGUUGGCAACCAAAUUUGUUUGGUUCCUCAUUACAGAAUUUUUGCAGAGAGGAUUUCUCAAUCUGCUUCAUGUGUCUUCGUAAAUCUUGAGAUCUGCAGUGACUUUGAAUAAGCUCCAUUGCAAUCUGGUAGAGCUGUGCAAGGCUGAGCUGUGCUAAAUCAGUAAUUGCAUCAGCUUUGAAUUUGGCCUCCAUCAUUUCUGCAACUGGGCCUGGCAUGUUUAGCACAAAUGUCCUGUGUAUGGUAUCGGAUUGUUUGUCAAAGAUGUAGUACAACCUUUCCUGCUCCAGGUAGUACUCUUCUAUUUUCCGAACAUCACAACACUUGUUUUGGAGAAAUUGCUUUUCAGCAACCUCUUCUUCUCUUGUGAAAUGGCCUAGAAAAUCCAAGGAUAGAUUUUCAACUAGGCUUCCACAAGGAUCUUCUCUGCUGAAAAUGAAUUGUCGUUGCUCACUAGUAAGCUUUCGUCCCCACCAUCGUCUUAGCGAUCUAACAAAUCCUGCUACCAGCCGUAAUGCGGCUGAUCUUCUACUCAACUGGGGGGCUCUUUGACAUUCUCCUUCGUACCAAGCUACCAUUUUUUCAAAAUAAGCCAGCUUUUCUUUAGGCUUCAUUCCAUCAAUGUUCCAGAACAUCUUUCCGGUUGUGGAAUGUCCGAGUUGUACUCGGGUUUCCCAUUCUUCUCCUUGACUGACUUCAUCUAUAUGAGGGGCACGAUCAGUAGGUGCACCAGCCGGAUUGGAGGAGGCUUCUGUAGCUGCUGGUUCUGUGAAUUCAGGGGCAGUGAAUUGUGUUGUCCUUGAUGGGUUUUGAGUUUGCCUUGUAGGAUCAGAGGUUUGGCCAGGUGUUGUUGUUGAAGCUGCAAAUCUGGUACGUGUAUCCACAUAAAAUGAAUUUGUAGGAUUAGCUCUCUGCAUUAGAAUAGGAAUUGGAGGGUUCUCCAUAGAAGAGAUGCUUGAGCUAUCAUCAGUAUCUGUUUCCUCGUCCCACCCAGUAGCCUUCUGGGGCCAUGGGUACUGAGGAGGAGGAGCAUAGCUUCUCCAAAAUGCUUUCUGGCAAUUCCCAUAUGCAUUUUCCUCCUAGAUGUGCCAUGGUUUUGUAGGCUUGCUCUUCCAGUGCCUGGACACCUUUGGUUGUUGAUAACUCUCCCUUGUCCUUCUCAUUUCAUCUUCGUCUGCUGCUCCAGUCAUCACAAUCAUAUUGACUGACCUGGAGGCACUAUCAUGUAGUUGAGAGAACUGUUGGGUGGUCAUCUUAUGUUGUUUCUUGUUUUUCUUUAGCUAUUUUCUGAUUACAGCUAAGUCAGCAAGAAUCUGUUGUUGAGUGACCAUGAUGUCUCCCAAGGCUUGGUUUUGUUCCACAGCAUUGAUGUUUGACCAGUUGAUUGCCUUCUCAAUUGGGCCGAACUCUGUUGGGUUAGUUUCUGUAUUACCCAUUUGGCAGCAUACAUUCCUCCGGGGAUAUCUUUUAUGAACUCAUUAUCAAGAUCCGGAGUGGUAAUCAUGUUUACUGGACCCAUGAUUCUGCAGGAGGUAGUUCUUCUUGGCAUAUGUGUGCACAAGGAGAGAUGCUUUCCUUCAAGCUGGCAUUUUUCACAUGGAUAUAGAGCUUUAGUCUCUGUGGGGAAAGAGAUUGAUACUCUUCCUUCUUGUAGCCUGCUUAUUUUUGGGACCUCAUGGAUUUGUUGAGGCCUGUUGUUUUUCUCAUACUCAUUAAUCCAUUGAGGAGGAAACAUGAGUUGAUUUUGCCUAUAAGUCCUAGGUUGAAAGACUCUGCCAUCACCAGCAAGAAAUCUGGUAAUAGGCCUGCCAGAGCUACUCAUAGAGAACAGAUGGGUUUGGACCUUAUAGGUCAUAGUGUGGUGGAUUGCCAAGGCAGAUUCAUCAGGUUUCAUGGUUAGACCAUUGACCUGAAUUAAUACCUUAAUGGCAUCUGUGAGGGAUGGCUUGUGUAUAUCAAGGGUAAAAUUUGGCUCAACUUGGAGAACAACAUGGCCUUGGUUGAGUCCUGCUUCAACAGCAGUAAUUAAAGCCUUUUCAAAAGUUUGCCAUCUAGUGUCUAAAAUGACAAUGAAACAUGUGAUAUCUUUUCCAGCUAGGAAUAAAGGUUGUAUCCCUAUCUGGAUUGCUCCAAGGUGUAAUCCCUUGUAUCCCUGAAGUUUAUACCUUGUAAUCUCGCUGGAAGAGAUUAUGGGAAGGUAUGUUUCUUUUGAGCUUGAGGAGAUUGACUGGACAGUGAUUUCAGAGGAUUUGAAGAUGGUUUUAAGCUUAGGUUGUCUUAUGGGGAUUAUGGCUCUUAGGUGGUUAAGAGUAGGGCUAAUAUGGUAGUAUCUGUAAGGAUCUAACGGAUCAAGUCUGAAGGACUGAACCGCUCUCUCACUGUUUUCAUCCUCUUGGGUUUCAUAAUAGAAGUUUACAGAGGGUGAACUAUCAGUUGGUACUCUGAUGGCCGAAGUAGAUGGUUGGUCAGAAAUUGGUUGGUUACUGGAUCUGUUACUGUUUUGGGUUUCCAUGGCUAAAAGAAAUCAGAGGGUUUUCUUUAGGGUGAUAAGCCCUAAAACACGGCACUUCUUGGCCUUCUCAAGGGGGCGCCACACCUUACAGAAUUUACUCUGUAGUGUUUUAGUAUGGAAAGUUUAGACAGGCAGACUAGUAUCCAACAACUUUCUGAUGUGGAGGAUCCGAAGUAUUUCGGCAACCACAGAGCAUAGUAUUGUUGCACACCCAGGGGUUUCCUUUUGGGAAAUAUGGCUCUGAUACCAAUAAAUCUGUUUUGGAGCAAACAGAGGAAGGUUACUUUCAUUAAGAGGAAUGAGAGAUUUAAAAUACAAUAUUGCACUCCAAGACUCGAUGCCUAUUAACAAACCAAGGGUUCCCUUUUAUAGGCACAAGGGAACCACUAUUACAUACUGUAGACAUUAUUAAACCUUAUCACAAAGGAAUCUACUUUACAACUCACUCCUUUACUUUAUGUCACACUCACACCAAACCUUAUCACAAAGGAAUCUACUUUACAACUCACUCCUUUACUUUAUGUCACACUCACACUCUUAUCCUUAUCUCUAAGGAUGGUAUAUAAUACAUACGAAUACAAAUACACUAUAUUAUUAUCACCAAUGCUUCCACUGUAGGGUCCACUAAGCUUCCGCUACAGUCCAGAGUUGCCACUGGUUGGCGUGCUACGUCUUGACCGAUGGUUCCAUCGUUCUUCAGAUGCGGCGUCCAUGUCUUCUCCCAUAUUGGGCCACAUUGGGUCUGGCUGUGGGUUUAGUUCUGGCUGGGGCCAUUCUUGGAGGUCUAGCCAGUUGGCCAUAUCUUCAAGUUCGUUCCUCCAUCUGUCAAUAUCUGGGGUAUCCAGAUAGGUGAUGUCUUGUGGCCUGCCAUGUCGGGAAAGGUAGUCAUUAUACUUAUGCUGCAUGUUGGCUGCCUCGUCUUCGUCUCCAUGUAGUUUGAGAUUUCGUAUCUCCUCUCUGUAGUAAAGGUCUGGAGUACUGCAGACUUGUGGGGAUACUGGACUGUGGGUGUUGUACAUGGGAACAGUCCCGUAUACCUCUGCUAAGGCUUGCCUAGCGUUCCAGCAACCAGUCCACAUGGAAUCGAUUUCUUCAUGGGAGUGGUCAUGUUGGACUACCUGUAUAAAAGGCUCUUUGUACCGUCCCCAAAUAUCUGUGAGUUUCACGAUCACUAUUGUAGAGUGGGUGAUGUGAUAACCGUUGAUGAGCUUUAGUGUGAGGACAUCUUCAAAGAUGGGGGCGAACAUUCGAUCGAACCAUCUUCCUUUACCGUAUCUUCGGCUGGUAUGGAUCAGGUUUGGUUCGAACAGUAUUGCCACGGGGUAUAUGUUGAGCCAGUACCAUGUGAUGUAGUAAGCUUGAGGGGUUAUGUCGCAAAUGACAUAAUGACCCCAAUUGGAGUUCUCAUCUAUCACAUAGUGAAAAGUGCAACCAACCUUGAAGAUAGUUUCAUGCAUCUGGUCCGGGUUUGGAUGCGGAUCGAAGGCUCUUUGGCACUUCUUGUUAUGGGCAGGUCUGUGUUCUUACAUGGCCAUAAUUUUUACUUAUUAAAUGUUAUAAUAUAAUUAAGUAAUACAUUAUUUAAUUAAAAUUAUAAUAUAAUUAAAAUAUUUUAAUAUUAUUGAAUAAUAAAUUGUAAAUUUAUGGACUUAUGUGUUAAUAUUUUAAACUUUAUUACUUUUGUAAUUUUGUAGCAAACAUUGGGGAGUAUAACGUUAAUAACCCAACAAAAACAUCUUAGCCAUUACCCUUGUUCUGAAUAAAAUCUAACGGUGGAUUAGGAAAAGACAAAAGAAUGUGGUAUGUUACGACUGUAGUAAGAUAGUUGGACCCCAAUCUUAAUAACAAAGUUGAAUAAUAAAUCAAGUGAUAUAAAAAAAUCGAGUAAAAUAAUAAUUCAAAAGUAUUAGCAUUUUAACUUAUAGGCUUGUAGUUCAAUAAUAUCUACAAGAGAAUGAGUUUGAGCCACGUAAAAUUUAUUAUAUUUAAAAAAUAGUAAAUUUGUCGAUUGUAUAUUUCUACAUACAGUAAAUAAUUUUUUUUAAAAAUUAAAUAUGGGCAUUUUAGCAUUAACUUAUUUUUAUAUUUUGAUGUUUUUUGGAGUUAUUGCAAUUGCGGCUUCGGGUGAUUCCUUUCAUUCGCUUGCUCUGUAGUAAUAGCUACUACCAUGCAGAAUGGAACUGCGAGAAAUAGAAGAACAGGAAAACGAUGUCGUUUUACCGAAGAAGAAGAAGACGAAGAUGAAACUGAGAAAGAAGAGAAAUCGAGAGGAAAGAAAAGAACAACUCAAAGAAGAAGAAACUGAAGAAUUAUUGCAGGAUCCACUGGAGGCUUUUGGUGGAGACAUAAUGUUGAAGAUACUUCAAAACCUAAAGGCACGCAGUGUAGCACCGACUCUCCUUGUAUCCCGUGCUUGGAACGGCGUUGCUUCAAGCGACACGCUUUGGACUCCCAAGGUUCAUUUCCUUUCCUAUUCUUUUUUUUUUCCCAAUCUUUUUGCCUGGUACUCGAAUUUAGGUUUGUUUCCUUUUUUAAAAUUAAUUAAUUAAUUUAGUGUUUUCUUCGGAGAAUAUGAGAAUUGGGUUUUUUUUUAGUUUCACAAUUGGGUUUUUGUUUUAAGUAUUUUUGGUUGUUUGAAAUAAUCAUAUCAUGAAUACAAUUGAAUUUGAAUUUAAGCUUUUCAUGUGAUCAUCGAGUUUUAUGUUCCUAGUUUACAGGAAUUUGUAUUCAGCGCUGAGCUGAGGUUUUUGUUAAUCUUUUAGAAAGAUAAGAAUAUAAAAUUAAUUAAAUAUUCAUCUUAAAUUGUUAUCCAUGCAUGUGUGGUAGAUGUUUACGAAGAGAUGAGCACAGCUAAGCUCAGUACUGGAUCUAAAUCCAGCUUACAGGAUUUCUUGUCCACCAGGAGCAUUAUAUGAAUACUCGACUUAUUGUUUGACUCAAUUUACUACUCGACUUGGCUUUCUUGACCAACUUGAAUUCGUCUGAGUAUUCUCAAUUUAAGCUGAAUAUUUUUUGUCUCGUAUCUAUUUGUCGUUGCUCACCCCUUAAGGGUAUAUCUAUGUAAAGUGACUUAGUUGGGGUAUAUUGUUGGUAUAUUUUAUUUUAAAAUCCUGGGCCCUAGGAAGCCCUUUCUUAUCAUUGAAACUAGACCUUGGCUAAAUUAUUGGUUUAUUUAAAGGAUUGGGGUAUAUUUUUAUAUAAAACCAAACUGAAUUGUGAAUGCCACUGCACGUUUUUACAGCCUUAUAGCCUAAAUUGCUUAUUCCUUCUGAUUGCAUGAUUUGUGAAGAAUUUUUUUUUUAACUUAACUUCAAUUAUUUUCUCUGCUUUAUUUGAAACCUAACCGGAAAGAAUAUCUACCUUUUUUUAUUUUUUAUUUUCAGUUCUCCAGGUAACUUAAUCGGUCAUGCUUCUACUUUGAAGAGUAACUGAGUACGGAUAAUUUACUUGAGUUUCCAGCUGAUGGCAAUGCUGAAUCCUACAAAGAUAUGGCAAGAGAAAUAUUUGAGAGCUUAUUAACAGUACCGGCCAGGAACACGAUCCUGCAUAGCAACAUCAUAUGCCAAUGAACAGAAAAUGCAUCAAUCAAGUUCGUAGGGGAAAUACUUGAGAUAUGCCCAUCACUACAAACACAAGUUAAUGGCAAAGGUGAUACUCCACUUCACGUUGCGGCAAAAUUCGGCCAUUUUAAUAUAGCGAAUGUUCUUAUGAAAAGAGCAAAAUUAGCUCAACAUGAAGAUGAAGAGCUAGAGAGCGGGUUAGGAGCUGCCAGGCAGAUGAUUAGGAUGACGAAUGAAAAGAAGAAUACUGCAUUGCAGUCUGCACGAGGCAGCGUUUCAUGGCAAAGUGGAUGUGUUGAAAAUACUGACGAGAUAAAUACCUGAAUAUCCAUAUUCUGUAAAUAAUUGCGGCAAAACGCCGCUCCACAUGGCUGCUGAGUAUGAGCACUUUUCUCAUAAGAUGCUAGCCUUAUUAGAAAACUGCACAUCAAUGUCCCAUGAAGGCCCCUACGGAAGGACAGUUUUACGUGAUGCAGUAAUGCAGUUGGAUUUCCGUAAGUUUGAUUAUACCCUUUCAGUGCGAAUUUGAAUAUUUAGAUCUUUUCCUGCAGGUUUUGUUCAUGCUCUUUCAUGCCCACGGGUCUGACAGAAUGAUUCUCAAGUAAUUAUAUUUAGUUGGUCACCAAAUUUAAAUUCUGAGAGGCUAGUGGUGGAUAAACAUUGAAUUUGAAUUAUAAUUUUAUUUAUCUUUUGGCUCUUUACACUCAGAAAUGAAUUAUCAUGCGAUGCAACAAUUAUUUGAAAAAAGGAAGAGUCUGAUCAAAGAAACAGACCAUUAUGGGUAGACUCCAAUUCAUUACGCUGCAUAUCAUAAUCAAUAUCAACAGAUACAUGUGCUAUUAGAAAUUGAUCAAACUGCUUCAAACAUUACUGAACAAAGAUCGAAAGAUGACAGCUCUUCAUUCGGCAAAGGGCCGAGGGCAUGCCAGAACAGUUGAAAGAAUUCUUUCCCUUACACCAGAAUGUUAUGAACUGGUCGAUAACAGGGGAUGGAACUUUUUUCAUUAUGCAAUAGUCAUUUUUUUUUUUUAAUGAUUUAAAAACUCUACUAAAAUAUCCGUUAGCGAGGAGUCUUAUAAAUGAGGGGGAUGCCAAGGAGAACUCUAUAUGAUUAGGAAGACUCGAACUAACUAUAGGCAAAAUGUUAGUGUUAGACACAUUUUGAAAUAUGGCUAUCCUAUCCUGAGCUCAAGGUAAUUAAUUUGUUAAUUCUUUCAACUUAUAAAUCCAGCUUUCUUUUUCAUUACUUUAUUAUUAUUAAUUUUUUUAGUUUAUGCAAUUAAUUCAUGAGUGAUGCUACACAUCCCAAAUUUUUUAUCCCAAUAAGUUAUCCCAAAUGAUGUGUCAUUUAUCAAUUGGUUGGUGAAAUAAUACAAUUAAUUCACUUGAAUUUUAUAAAGAAUUAUCAACCACUCAAUUAAUGACACAUCAUUUGGGAUAACUUUUUAAGAUAAAAAAUUUGGGAUGUGUAGCAUUACUGUUAAUUCAUAUUCACACUCAAUUUACAGGAGGAAGAAUUUUCCAAAGAUGUUGGCAGAGGACAAUAUCAAGAUGGUGCUAUAUUCAUGACGACAGUGCUAAAUUGCUAGGACCAGAUCCAAAUGCAGUGGCACGUGGGGUAGUGGCUCGACCGGGUUAGCCCAAAAAAUAAUUCAAUAUCCCUUAAAUUUUAUGGUAUUUUUAUUUUUAAAUCUUUUUCUUUCGUGUCCUUAAAUCAAUCUUUAUUAAAAUAACUUAAAUAUAUUUAUAGUUAAGUUAUUCUGGUUUGGACCCUUUAAAAUUCAAUAUUAAAAUAGUAAUUUGUCUUUUUACCAACUUUCUUUUGAGCAAGUUUCUUGAUGUUGCAAUGUCUUUUGAAUUGUUUUUUUUUUUUGGUUACGUUCACACAGAUAAAUACAAUAAAUUCAUAAUCUAACCCUUCCUGGUCAAAAGACUAUCUUGACGAUCCUAAAUAUGAUUACAAAUAUAUGACAGCGUCCGAUGUUGUAGUAUAGUGAAAAUUACCAUUUAGGACAAUGCUUUGCACCCGCCUUGAGGAUUUUUCUCUGAGUUCGUAUUUGUUGGUCCGAUAACAAAUUCUUCGUUGUAGGAAGCAACUAUUUGGUUUUCCGGCUGCAGCCACAAGGUUAUGAUUGUAACUUUUUUUUUUAAAUAACAAAGAAUUCUAUUGUCAAGCUAUUGUUCAUCACCGUUGAGGUUUUUGAUGGGUGUUGUUGUUCAGGCUGAGCUGGUCUUUCUAAAAAGAAAAUUGUUUUUUUUUUCAUAAAAUAAAGAUAUUAUUCAUAAACGGUUUCUUACUUACCGCUUUUUUUUUUUUUUGGUUAGCCUCCUUAAAGGCAAUCUUUAUGUCUUGAAAUUUAUAUGAAUUUAAGCAAAUCUUAAUUAAAAAAGAGAGUUAGUAAUGAAUAAAUUUGCAAUUUUGGAAGAAAUUAAAUAUAAAAAUUUCAUUGUUAAAUGCAUUCCGUGGAUUCUUCGUUUUCUUGGAUGGGAAUCGAGGAUAGUAGAAUUUUUUAAAUAUUCUUAGGCUAAAGCCAUAUUGAUAAUAUUUCAUUUUUUUGUUUUAAGAUUUCUUUAGUAUACACCAACUUAAAAUUAAAAUUAAAAAAAAUUUCAACUUGUCACUAGCUAAUUCAAAAAAAAUUAUGUUUAUUAGUAUAAAUUUUAUCCCAAAUUAUCAGAUAAUGAUUUCAACCUAGGAUGGCCUCUUAAAACUUGCUUGAGCUUCCUUUUUAUUGGAUGAACUCCCGAUGUGGACUUCUCAUGUUGUGCCUUUCAUUUUCAAGUUUAAUUUUGCUCAGUUGAAAUUUCUUCAAAGAGAUGUCCACUUAUUUAGUGAUGAAAAUGAUCUUGAUAAGAUAAUGCCCUACAAACAUAAGAAAAACAGUCAAAGGGCCAGCUUUAAGGACGUAGACACUCUAGCGAUCAAGUUAAUCAUUGAAUUUUUAAAAAUCUAAAGUUCAUAGUGUGAAAAUUUAGAGAAAUAAAGCCUAGAGAGAGAAAGUCUUCUCUAGCCACUCUUCCCCAAGAUCUUUUUGUCUAAGGUCACUUUCUUCCAAGCAGUCCCUAUACCUCUCUAGAGGAGCCAGAAUAAACUUCAUCGUCACUAGGAUUUCUUGAGUUCUCCCUUUCCUCAACUUGAGCUUGGAACUAAUAAAAAAUUCUAUCAAAGUUCGAAGCUAAUGAAUCCACUUUACUUUGGAUCAAGCUUGCCCUUGUCGUUAGGCAUCAUGAUGUGGAUUAGGAAAAGGAUGAACGAGUACCAUGGCUUCAAAUGAUGAAUCCAUCAGUGGUCUUCUUCGUUGAAAAUAGGCUUCCUUAACCCUAGAACUCAAAGAUUCAAACACAGGGUCAUGAUACUCGUAGCUCAAAUCCAUGCUCACAGUUCCAAGACUUUUAGUCGGGAGUUCUCGUAGACAACGCCAAUUUUGUUGAUAAAAAUUUUGUCCCAAUUUAUAAAAUGGCAAUUUCAUGAGCUUCCUCUUUACUGGAUCAAACUAUGUUGAACUCUCAAUGUGGGCUUCUUAUGUUGUGCCUUUCAUUUUCAAAUUCAAUUGUACUCAUUUAAAUUUUCUCUUAAGAGUUACCUGCUUCCUUAUGUGACGAGGAUGACCUUAAUUAGAUAAUGCUCUAUAAAUAUAAGUAAAAUAGUCAAAGGCUUGCCUCACCAGCGUAAACCCUUUGAUGAUCAAGUCGAUCACCAAAUUUUUAGAGAGAAAAGUUUAGAGUGAGAAAAUUUGGAGAUAUUAUGCCUAGAUAGAGAGAGUCACUAUUUAUCCUCUUGAGUGAUUUUUGGCUUAUCUUUGAAAAAAGAUGGGAACUUAUAUUUGUAAAUGACUUUGAUUUGACUUGAGUCCUUAUUGUAUUGACGACAAAUGUCAUUGUCUUUAUAACACCAGGCAACACUUGUCUUCUUGCGACCAUGCCAUGUAACACUUGGACAUACAACUUUGUCCUCAUAUCAAAAGAGGAAGUUUCUCCAUCCUUUUUGUUUGGUAGAGGAUAUGGUAUCAUUAUGCUUAGUUUUCAAAGGAAGAGAUGUUUUUAUCAUAGGUUUUCAACCUAGAAGUUUGUCUAAGGAGGUUUAUCUUUAGGAAAUUUGUCCUAAGAAGUUUUUUUCUAGAUAAAUUGUCCUAUGAUCAUGGGAUCUUAAGAACCUAAGAGUUUAUUCUAGGUAGCAUGUCUCCUAAAACCUAUAAGACUUAUCUUAAGAGGUUUUUCCCAUAAUCUAGGAAUCUAAAAGGUUUAUUUUGUUUCCUCUUAAUUAGUUGGUAAAACUAUAAAUGAAAGAGCGAGACAGAGAACAUUGAAGCAAAACCAUCCAUCCAAUUACACCAACAGAACAAGAACCUUUCAUUGUUAAAAUGUGAGUUGCUAGUGUUAUAUAUAUAUAUAUAUAUAUCUUCACUUUUAAUUCAUUCAACGUAUAAGAAUAUAAUAGUGAGUCUAUCACGAACAAUUACACAAAUAUUUGGAUUAAUGUACAGAUAACCCAUUGCAGUCAACAGAUAAACAAUCAUUGAUUUCUUAUUCUAAUGUGUUGUGAAUAGUAUCAGUAUACUAAAGAAUCAUGUAAUGAUACAGUCUUUUAAUGUCGUACACGAUCAAUUCAAACGUCGCCAGGAAAAUUUUAUUCUUGCUAGUUAAAUUAUAAAUUUGCUUCCAUAAGACUAAUUAAAUACAUUAAAUUUAGGUUCAAAAAACAACCAGCAAUGUAACAGAUCAACGAUAGAAAAUCAUUUACGGUCUCUUAUUUGCCAAAUCUGAUCCUUGUAGACAUAAAAUCUGAAAGACAACCAACACAGCAACACAAACAAAGCCAAAUGAACACAAGCCACCACAGAGGGUGGUGGGAACAGUCGCCAUAUCCGUGGAACAAAAAAUCCACAGAUCUAUGGAUAUAUUGAAUUAUACCACUAAGUCAUUUUACAUAAUUAUACUCAAAAGGUAAAAAUAUUCUCCACUUUAUUGUCAAUUUUCAUAACAAAGUUGAAUAAUAAAUCGAAUUUUGGUUUGUAGGCUUAUAAUUCAAUAGUGCUUACAAAUAUAAUAUAAAACUUAUGAAUCAAUAUUAAGUGUAAAAUAAAAAUAAAAUAUAUAAAUAAAAUAUAGGACCUGUAAAUAGAAGGUAAACAUGUAAAUUAAUAUAAGAAUUAUUGAAAAAAAUAAAAACUUAAAAAUGUAAGAUCAAACCUCAUUUUAAUAAUGAUUACCUUAUACAUUUGUUGAUUUAUUUUUUUUUAAACUGAAUAAUGAUAGUUUUGGGUUUAUGUAAUAUAUAUGAUGAUAUAUGUCGAAAUUUUAUUAAGGAUAAAACUUAAUUUUAAAAUCGGAUUUUGAAAAACUCUUCUUUUCAUAUUUUUCAAAGUUGCUCGUAGGAUAAGGUGAUUUUUCAUCAUUUUAAAUAUUCUUGAUAACAACCACAAAUGAUCUUUAAAUACAAGUAAGAAGCAAAUUUUAAAAUUACAUAAAAUAUAUAUAAAACAUAAAAUUAGAUACAAUUUUAUUGAUAAUAUUGAAAAAUGCACUCUCAGAAUUUCAAAGAAUUAUGAAUGAUAUUUAUAAUUCUUUUUUUGAAUUUUGCAUUGUUUAUAUCGAUGAUGUGCUGAUUUUUUCUCAAUCAAUUGAGCAACAUUUCAAACAUUUAAAGACUUUUUAUUUGGCAACUAGAAAAGCUGGCCUAGCCAUUUCUAGUUCUAAAGUUUCUUUAUUCCAAACUAAAGUCAGGUUUCUUGGUCACUACAUCUCAAAAGGAACCAUUACUCCCAUUGAAAGGUCCCUUGCUUUUACUGACAAGUUUCCUGAUAAAAUCCUUGAUAAAACCCAAUUGCAGAGAUUUUUGGGUAGUCUAAAUUAUGUUCUUGAUUUCUGUCCUAACAUCAAUAGGAUUGCCAAGCCACUGCAUGAUAGGUUAAAGAAAAAUCAUGUUGCAUGGUCGGAAGAACAUACUAAAAUUGUUAAACAAAUAAAGAACACAAUUAAAAACAUUCCAUGUUUAUUUCUUGCAAAUCCUGCAUUACCUAAGAUUGUUGAAACUGAUGCAUCCAAUUUAGGUUAUGGUGGGAUAUUAAAGCAAGUCGACAAUAACAAAGAACAAAUAGUACAAUAUGUUUCUGCACAUUGGAAUGAAUGCCAGCAAAACUAUUCUACUAUUAAAAAAGAAAUUUUAUCAAUUGUCCUAUGCAUUUCCAAAUUUCAAAGCGAUUUAUUAAAUCAAAAAUUUUUGCUUAGAAUUGACUGCAAGGCUGCAAAACAUGUUUUGGAAAAAGAUGUACAGAACAUUGCAUCAAAACAGAUUUUUGCACGUUGGCAAGCUAUUUUAAGUAUUUUUGAUUUUGAGAUUGUGUUUAUUAAAGGCGACACAAAUUCUCUCCCUGAUUUUCUAACUAGGGAAUUUCUUCAAAACAGAUAAUGCCGCCCAAAAGAAGAGAUAAAGGGAAAGGGAUCUUCACAGACCCUGUGUCCCAAACUCCAUCUAAAGCCUCCCAAUCUUCUCCACCUAAAGAAAAAUUACUUUCUUCUGCUAUGCCAAUUAAGUCUUGGAUUGACACAAUAGAAGAACAAGCUGCUCAAGAAGCCCAGUCUAAAGCACUUGCCUCCCAGGAGCAGAUAAAUGAAUGGAUGAAAUCCAUUUCUAAAUCCCCUGAGCUUAUGCUUGCCUUACAAAGCUUUUCUCAAAGUCAGAUUUCUCCUAAAGAAGAAAAAUCCAUUUCUAAAGAAAUUUCUAAAGCUUCUUCACAAAAUGUGAUUCUUUCUGGUGAAAGUUCAUCUUCUCAGAUUGUUCUUUCACAAACAAAGCUUACAAAGAAAACUUCGGAUUAGUUUAAUAAAACCCAUUUCCAAAAUAUUUUAUCCAUGGAAGACUAAUUUUAUCAUACUGAUCCAUUUCAAGCAAUUUUAAAGAUUUUCCCCAAAGGUUGGUUUUUCAAACCAUGGGAUUUAUCCAAAUCCCAGCCUUAUUAUCAAAGCAUUUUGGAAUUCACUGAAUCACUAAAAUUCAAACAUUUCUUCCUUAGUGAGUCCCAUUCUGAGCCUGCCUAUUCUACGGCAACCAUUAUAAAAGUUUUGAGCCCAAAACAAUGGGGUGAUCUACUCCACAAAUCUAAAGCUUUUCCUCUAAAUUUUCAAAACAAUAUGAACCAUAGCCUAUCUUUCUCCUAUUGGGAUUACCAACAGGCUUGGUUUAAUACCUUUUUCAUACAAAACCCCAAAAAGACCCAUUCAUGGUUAUUUUUCUUCAAUUCUAAAAUAACUGUGCAAAGCCUACCAAACUGAUUUCAACAGUGGUGGAAUUAUUUCGAGCCAUGCCCAGACAUUCUCACUUCAAAUGCCAUUCACUGUUUAAAUCUCUUCAAAGCCCAUCAUGUCCCUUCAGAAUCCGAGAAAAGGUUUCCUCUGUUUCUCUAUUUUUGUACAAAUUUAUUUCUUCCCUGGGUUUGGAUGUGGAACUUUUGAUAUCACACCCAAGAAGCCCAACUCAUCCUACAAAGAACUUUCAAAGUAAAAUGGUGGUCCAAAUUUGACGAAUAGUCAAAAUUGACUGAAGCCAUCGUCCAAAAAUGGCUUUCCUCAAAAGGCCUUCUAACCCCAAGUAUUAAAGAAGUUAAAGCCCAAGGAACUUUCUUAACUCAAAAAUCCAAAGCCCAAUCUCUUUUGGCCAAUGCCAAAACAGAAGACGAGUAUUUUAAAGUCAUGCAACAGCUCCUCGUGUCCAGAUCAGAGCCUUCUGUCGCCAGCUCAUCUGAUCAUGACAGUGCCGAGCCUUUCAUUUCCCUUGGAGACGACAACGAAGAUGACUGCUUCGGAAUCUUCCCUCCAAUAAAGCAUUAAAGCUUAUGAAAAAAAAAGAAAAAAAAGAGUCAUUUUGUUGUAAUUUCUCUGCAAUUUAUAAAUUUGUUCUAAUUUCUCUGUAAUUUAUAUUUUGUAAAUUUGAAUUAGAGUCAGAAGACUCAACAAGCAAAGGAGUUAUUUUGGAAAGGACUUCUUCAUCAAGAUUAAUCUCUUGAAGUCUCCUAUUUAUCCUGCAGUAUUUUACAGUGUGUCCUUUCUUGCCACAUUUAAAACAUGUAGCUUCUUUAUAAUUGAAAGAGGUUUUUGGAUUAGAAGAGGAAGAGGGUUUAGUUUUAAAAUCCUUUCUUUUAGAGAAAUGAGACUUUUUAUAAGGUCUCGAGGACUUCUUAUAAAAAGGUUAUCUAAAAUCUGAUAAGGGCUUUCUAAGAGUUUUAGACUUUAAAUGUUUUUUGUAAGGUCUGGAGGAACACUUACCAUUACAGUCUUUUGAAGUGGAAGACUAAACAUCAAAUCCAAAGUUGGUACAGAUCUGUUGGUACGCGGCGUUGUUCUACCAGAUCGAUGUAGAACUUAAUAUGCCUUUGGAACCAGAUCUGACUCAGAACAGAUCAAUAUCCCGCACGUUCUGGUUUCCAGCCUAUAUACCAACAAGCAUACAGGGGCUCAUGGAUAGUACUAGAUCUGGAUCCCAGAAAUAACACUCUGAUUGAAUGGAGGGAGAAGAGAAAUGGUGGUCCAAAUUCCCAAUUGUAAGGAAGAUCUGGUUCUAAGUCAGAUCUGGUUCCAAAGGCAGAUUAAGUUCUGCAUCGAUCUAGUAGAACAACGCCAUGUACCAACAGAUCUAUACCAACUUUGGAUUUGAUGUUUAGUCUUCCACUUCAAAAGACUGUAAUGGUAAGUGUUCCUCCAGACCUUACAAAAAACAUUUAAAGUCUAAAACUCUUAGAAAGCCCUUAUCAGAUUUUAGAUAACCUUUUUAUAAGAAGUCCUCGAGACCUUAUAAAAAGUCUCAUUUCUCUAAAAGAAAGGAUUUUAAAACUAAACCCUCUUCCUCUUCUAAUCCAAAAACCUCUUUCAAUUAUAAAGAAGCUACAUGUUUUAAAUGUGGCAAGAAAGGACACACUGUAAAAUACUGCAGGAUAAAUAGGAGACUUCAAGAGAUUAAUCUUGAUGAAGAAGUCCUUUCCAAAAUAACUCCUUUGCUUGUUGAGUCUUCUGACUCUAAUUCAAAUUUCUCCUUGAUAGGAGAUAGUGAUCCUUUACAAGUCGAUGAGUUGAUUGACUCAGAAACAUCUGUAUUAAGUGAUUCUGAUUCAGAAACCUUUUUAAAGAAGAUUAAUGUUUUGACCAAAGAACAAGAAACUUUUCUUGAACUUGUAAAACAUAUUUCAGACCCUAUCCUUCAAAAGGAAUACCUUGACAAACUUUUAAAGACUCUAUAAUUAAAAGACAAACCAGAAACCUCUAAAACUCCAAUCAUUAAAAAGAAUGCUUAUGAUCUUACGGAAAUUUUGGAUAAACAGAAAACAAAGAAAGCCACUCCAAACAUCCAAGAUCUCUAAAAGGAAAUUAAGUAAAUUAAACUUGAAAUCAAAGAAUUAAAAGAAAAAUAGAAAAAUGACUCAGAAACUAUCCAGCUUUUGUUACAAAAACAACUCGAAGACAAUUCUGAUCAAGAAUCAAACUCUGGUGAGGAAAAUGGACAACAACUUGAAAACAUCGAAUCAAUCCCUAAUGAUUUUCUUUUUGUUUUAAAAUAAAUCACCACUAGAAAAUAUUUGAUUAAAAUCACUUUAAAAUUUUCUAAAGAUUUCGAAAUUGACACCAUUGCUUUCUUUGACACUGGUGCUGAUUUAAACUGUAUCAAAGCAGAUAUUGUUCCAAAGAAAUUCCAUGAAAAGACUAAUGAAAGGCUUUCUGCAGCAAACAAUUCAAAGUUGAACAUCAAAUCCAAAGUUGAUGCCUCAAUUCAUAACGAUGGUUUUGAAUUUAGGACUUCAUUUCUUCUAACAAAUGAUAUUCAUCAUGCUGUUAUUCUAGGAACGCCUUUCAUAAACCUCAUUACUCCUUAUAAUGUCAAUUAUGAUAGUAUAUCUUUUAAAGCAAAAAAGAAAAAAUUAAUUUUUCCUUUUAUUGAAAAACCUAAAACUAGGAAUUUGAAUAUUGUUAAAGCCUGUUCUAUUUACCAGAACCAAAUAAAUGUUUUGCUCAAAACAAAACAAACUGAUUUAGCUUGUUUACAGAAGGAUUUGAGUUUACACAGAAUUGAAAACCAAUUAAAGAAUGAGUUCAUACAAAGAAAAAUUUCCGAUUUCAAAAAUCUUAUUGAGAAAGAAAUAUGUGCUGAUUUACCAAGUGAUUUUUGGAACCGGAAACAACAUUUGGUUGAUCUGCCUUAUGAAAAUUCUUUUGAUGAAAGACAAAUCCCUACAAAAGCCAUCCUAUUCAAAUGAAUAUGGAUCUAGAAAAAUAUUGUCAACAAAAAAUCAAAGAUUUAGAAUCUAAAGGACUCAUUGUCAAAUCUAGGUCUCCUUGGUCUUGUGCCGCUUUCUAUGUCAAUAAAAAUUCUGAAAUAGAAAGAGGAACUCCUAGAUUGGUGAUAAAUUAUAAACCUCUUAAUAAAGCAUUAAAAUGGAUUAGGUAUCCUAUACCUAAUAAAAAAGAUUUGCUUCAAAAACUACAUUUUGCAUUCAUAUUUUUCAAAUUUGAUAUGAAAUCUGGUUUUUGGCAAAUCCAAAUUCAUCCUAAAGAUCGUUACAAAACUACUUUUACUGUUCCAUUUGGACAGUACGAAUGGACAGUAAUGCCUUUUGGUUUGAUAAGAUUGUGUUUGAUAAGUGUUCCUCCAGACCUUACAAAAAACAUUUCUAGUCAGCUUCUGUUUUGGCAUUUGGAUUUUAAUGCUCUGAUACCAUAAUGACCUAGCGAUCGUGGAGUGUGUGUCGUGUUCAAAAUUAAAUCCAAAUUAAAAAAAAAUAGAUCUGUUGGUACGUGGCGUUGUUCUACCAGAUCGAUGCAGAACUUAAUCUGCCUUUGUAACCAGAUCUGACUUAGAAAAGAAUGACCCAGCGAUCGUGGAGUGUGUGUCGUGUUUAAAAUUAAAUCCAAAUUAAAAACAAACAGAUCUGUUGGUACGUGGCGUUGUUCUACCAGAUCAAUGCAGAACUUAAUCUGCCUUUGGAACCAGAUCUGACUUAGAACAGAUCAAUAUAGAUAUACCAACAAGCAUACAGGGGCUCAUAGAUAGUACUAGAUAUGGAUCCCAGAAAUAGCACUCUGAUUGAAUGGAGGGAGAAGAGCAAAUACAACUAAGGGCAAAGAUCCGCUCUCUAUGCCUUAGAGGAGAACGUAGCAGUUUUUAUGGUAGGAUUCUGAUAUAGAAGAUCAGCCUGCAGAGCAUGCUUUGAAAUACAAAAUUUAAAAAUGGAAACUUUAAAUUGAACUACAAAUUAAAUUACAAAUUCUUUAAAAUAAAUAUUAUCGAAUGCUUACAUGAGAUUUUUCGAUCCGAAGGCUUUACAAACGGGAAGAUGUUUUACAAAAGAAGAAAGGAAAAUCAGAAGACAGGAAAUUUUUCCUCUAUGUCUUCAGUUCAUCUUUUCCUUUUGAGAGAGAGAGCUAAUAGAAUUCUUCGAAUGGAAAAGAAAAAAGUGAUGAGUCUUAGUCUUCAUUCACUCUUUUAUACAAGAUUGCUUUACAAAAGAAAAUCGAUAAUUGGUCUUCACAUGCGGAUGGCUUUUUCUCUCACUUUUUUCUAUAGCUUUACAUGCGGAGACAGCAUAAAUUGCUUUUGAAGAUGCUUCACGUGAGUGGGUCCUUGGACUUUUGCAAAAGGUCAUCACGAGGAGCGGAUGCUUUAAGGGGCAAUAGAUAUACCUUUUGAAAACAUGGCACAUGUGCGGCUACACUUGUGUCUCGAAAGACGUUUUCAAAAGAUAUGGUGAUCAGUUGCUGGUAGGAUUCUUUUGUUGACUUUUGAACGAGGUAAUAAAGGCUUUAAAGAAAAUACAAGGAGUAAAUAAGAAUUACAGAGGAUUACAACAAAUUUACAAAAUAUAAAUUACAGAGUAAUUAGAACAAAUUUAUAAAUUACAGAGAAAUGACAACAAAAUGACUUUUUUUUUCUUUUUUUUUUCACAAGCUUUAAUGCUUUAUUGGAGGGAAGAUUCCGAAGCGGUCAUCUUCAUUGUCGUCUCCAAGGGAAAUGAAAGGCUCGGCACUGUCAUGAUCAGAUGAGCUGGCGACAUAAGGCUCUGAUCUGGACGCGAGGAGCUGUUGCAUGACUUUAAAAUACUCGUCUUUUGUUUUGGCAUUGGCCAAAAGAGAUUGGGCUUUAGAUUUUUUAGUUAAGAAAGUUCCUUGGGCUUUAACUUCUUUAAUACUUGGGGUUAGAAGGCCUUUUGAGGAAAGCCAUUUUUGGAUGAUGGCUUCAGUCAAUUUUGACUGUUCGUCAAAUUUGGACCACCAUUUUACUUUGAAAGUUCUUUGUAGGAUGAGUUGGGCUUCUUGGGUGUGAUAUCGAAAGUUCCACAUCCAAACCCAGGGAAGAAAGAAAUUUGUACAAAAACAGAGAAAGGGAGGAAACCUUUUCUCGAAUUCUGAAGGGACAUAAUGGGCUUUGAAGAGAUUUAAACAGUGAAUGGCAUUUGAAGUGAGAAUGUCUGGGCAUGGCCCGAAAUAAUUCUACCACUGUUGAAACCAAUUUGGUAGGCUUUGCACAGUUAUUUUAGAAUUGAAGAAAAAUAACCAUGAAUGGGUCUUUUUGGGGUUUUGUAUGAAAAAGGUAUUAAACCAAGCCUGUUGGUAAUCCCAAUAGGAGAAAGAUAGGCUAUGGUUCAUAUUGUUUUGAAAAUUUAGAGGAAAAGCUUUAGAUUUGUGGAGUAGAUCACCCCAUUGUUUUGGGCUCAAAACUUUUAUAAUGGUUGCCGUAGAAUAGGCAGGCUCAGAAUGGGACUCACUGAGAAAGAAAUGUUUGAAUUUUACUGAUUCAGUGAAUUCCAAAAUGCUUUGAUAAUAAGGUUGGGGUUUGGAUAAAUCCCAUGGUUUGAAAAACCAGCCUUUGGGGAAAAUCUUUAAAAUUACUUGAAAUGGAUCAGUAUGAUAAAAUUCAUUUUCCAUGGAUAAAAUAUUUUGGAAAUGAGUUUUAUUAAACCAAUCCGAAGUUUUCUUUGUAAGCUUUGUUUGUGAAAGAACAAUUUGAGAAGAUGAACUUUCACCAGAAAGAAUCACAUUUUGUGAAGAAUCUUUAGAAAUUUCUUUAGAAAUGGAUUUUUCUUCUUUAGGAGAAAUCUGACUUUGAGAAAAGCUUUGUAAGGCAAGUAUAAGCUCAGAGGAUUUAGAAAUGGAUUUCAUCCAAUCAUUUACCUGCUCCUGGGAGGCAAGUGCUUUAGACUGGGCUUCUUGAGCAGCUUGUUCUUCUAUUGUGUCAAUCCAAGACUUAAUGGGCAUAGCAGAAGAAAGCAAUUUUCCUUUAGGUGGAGAAGAUUGGGAGGCUUUAGAUGGUGUUUGGGACACAGGGUUUGUGAGGAUCCUUUUCCCUUUCUCUCUUCUUUUGGGCGGCUUUAUCUGGUUUGAAAAAAUUCCCUGGUUAGAAAAUCAGGGAGAGAAUUUGUAUCGCCUUUAAUAAACACAAUCUCAAAAUCAAAAAUACUUAAAAUAGCUUGCUAACAUGCAAAAAUCUGUUUUGAUGCAAUGUUCUAUCCAUCUUUUUCCAAAACAUGUUUUGCAGCCUUGCAGUCAAUUCUAAGCAAAAAUUUUUGAUUUAAUAAAUCGCUUUGAAAUUUGGAAAUGCAUAGGACAAUUGAUAAAAUAUCUUUUUUAAUAGUAGAAUAGUUUUGCUGGCAUUCAUUCCAAUGUGCAGAAAUAUAUUGUACUAUUUGUUCUUUGUUAUUGUCGACUUGCUUUAAUAUCCCACCAUAACCUAAAUUGGAUGCAUCAGUUUCAACAAUCUUAGGUAAUGCAGGAUUUGCAAGAAAUAAACAUGGAAUGUUUUUAACUGUGUUCUUUAUUUGUUUAACAAUUUUAGUAUGUUCUUCUAACCAUGCAACAAGGUUUUUCUUUAACCUAUCAUGCAGUGGCUUGGCAAUCCUAUUGAUGUUAGGAUAGAAAUCAAGAACAUAAUUUAGACUACUCAAAAACUCUACAAUUGAGUUUCAUCAAGGAUUUUAUCAGGAAACUUGUCAAUAAAAGCAAUAGACCUUUCAAUGGGAGUAAUGGGUCCUUUUGAGAUGUAGUGACCAAGAAACCUGACUUUAGUUUGGAAUAAAGAAACUUUAGAACUAGAAAUGGCUAGGCCAGCUUUUCUAGUUGCCAAAUAAAAAGUCUUUAAAUGUUUGAAAUGUUGCUCAAUUGAUUGAGAAAAAAUCAGCACAUCAUCGAUAUAAACAAUGCAAAAUUCAGAAAAAGGAUUAUAAAUAUCAUUCAUAAUUCUUUGAAAUUCGGAGGGUGCAUUUUUCAAACCAAAAGGCAUUACUGUCCAUUCGUAUUGUCCAAAUGUAACAGUGAAAGCAGUUUUGUAACGAUCUUUAGGAUGAAUUUGGAUUUGCCAAAAACCAGAUUUCAUAUCAAAUUUGGAAAAUAUGAAUGUAGAAUUUAGUUUUUGAAGCAAAUCUUUUUUAUUAGGUAUAAGAUACCUAAUCCAUUUUAAUGCUUUAUUAAGAGGUUUAUAAUUUAUCACCAAUCUUAGGGUUCCUCUUUCUAUUUCAGAAUUUUUAUUGACAUAGAAAGCGGCACAAGACCAAGGAGACCUAGAUUUGACAAUGAGUCCUUUAGAUUCUAAAUCUUUGAUUUCUUGUUGACAAUGUUUUUCUAGAUCCAUAUUCAUUUGAAUAGGACGGGCUUUUGUAGGGAUUUGUCUUUCAUCAAAAGAAUUUUCAUAAGGCAAAUCAACCAAAUGUUGUUUUCGGUUCCAAAAAGCACUUGGUAAAUUAGCACAUAUUUCUUUCUCAAUAAGAUUUUUGAAAUCAGAAAUUUUUCUUUGUAUGAACUCAUUCUUUAAUUGGUUUUCAAUUCUGUGUAAACUCAAAUCCUUCUAUAAACAAGCUAAAUCAGUUUGUUUUGUUUUGAGCAAAACAUUUAUUUGGUUCUGGUACACAGAACAGGCUUUAACAAUAUUCAAAUUCCUAGUUUUAGGUUUUUCAAUAAAAGGAAAAAUUAAUUUUUUUCUUUUUUGCUUUAAAAGAUAUACUAUCGUAAUUGACAGUAUAAGGAGUAAUGAGGUUUAUGAAAGGAGUUCCUAGAAUAACAGCAUGAUGAAUAUCAUUUGUCAGAAGAAAGAAAGUCCUAAAUUCAAAACCAUCGUUAUGAAUUGAGACAUCAACUUUGGAUUUGAUGUUCAACUUUGAAUUGUUUGCUGCAGAAAGCCUUUCAUUAGUCUUUUCAUGGAAUUUCUUUGUAACAAUAUCUGCUUUGAUACAGUUUAAAUCAGCACCAGUGUCAAAGAGAGCAAUGGUGUCAAUUUCGAAAUCUUUAGAAAAUUUUAAAGUGAUUUUAAUCAAAUAUUUUCUAGUGGUGAUUUGUUUUAAAACAAAAAGACAAUCAUUGGGGAUUGAUUCGAUGUUUUCAAGUUGUUGUCCAUUUUCCUCACCAGAGUUUGAUUCUUGAUCAGAAUUGUCUUCCAGUUGUUUUUGUAACAAAAGCUAGAUAGUUUCUGAGUUAUUUUUCUGUUUGUCUUUUAAUUCUUUGAUUUCAAGUUUAAUUUCCUUAAUUUCCUUUUGGAGAUCUUGGAUGUUUGGAGUGACUUUCUUUGUUUUCUGUUUAUCCAAAAUUUCCGUUAGAUCAUAAGCAUUCUUUUUAAUGAUUGGAGUUUUAGAGGUUUCUGGUUUGUCUUUUAAUUCUAGAGUCUUUAAAAGUUUGUCAAGGUAUUCCUUUUGAAGGAUAGGGUCUGAAGUAUGUUUUACAAGUUCAAGAAAAGUUUCUUGUUCUUUGGUCAAAACAUUAAUCUUCUUUAAAAAGGUUUCUGAAUCAGAAUCACUUGAUACAGAUGUUUCUGAGUCAAUCAACUCAUCGACUUGUAAAGGAUCACUGUCUCCUGUCAAGGAGAAAUUUGAAUUAGAGUUAGAAGACUCAACAAGCAAAGGAGUUAUUUUGGAAAGGACUUCUUCAUCAAGAUUAAUCUCUUGAAGUCUCCUAUUUAUCCUGCAGUAUUUUGUAGUGUGUCCUUUCUUGCCACAUUUAAAACAUGCAGCUUCUUUAUAAUUGAAAGAGGUUUUUGGAUUAGAAAAGGAAGAGGGUUUAGUUUUAAAUCCUUUCUUUUAGAGAAAUGAGACUUUUUAUAAGGUCUCGAGGACUUCUUAUAAAAAGGUUCUCUAAAAUCUGGUAAGGGCUUUCUAAGAGUUUUAGACUUGUAAUGUUUUUUGUAAGGUCUGGAGGAACACUUACCAUGACAGUCUUUUGAAGUGGAAGUUUUAAAGGGGUCAUAAUUGAAUUGUUUACAGAAACUGCAUAAUUCUUGCUUAGACUUCCUAAGCUCCCAUUUUAGACGCUUCUGUAAUUUCAAAUCUUGACAGAUUUUUAAACCUUCUUUAUUGACAAAACUGACUAGUUCACCAUAGGUGAGUUCGUCAUAAGAAAUGCGGUUGUCAUGAAGAGCUUUAAUGGAGUUUCUGACUUUUCUCCUAAGAGAGUAGGUAAACAUGCAAGAAAUUUUUCCUUCCCAGUUACAUGAUUUGCAUCAUCCCUUAAGAAAAGUCUAGUAAAGAAAGUGGUUUUAUAAUUCUGGAAUUCACUAAGUUUCCUACAUCUCAAAUUAUAUAGUAACUCAGCGUUUUUAUCUCUUAGGAGAGAAUGAUCACCUAUGAAAUGAAGAGAUAUGGUAAGAAUCAGGGUAGCAACAACAUCCUGAAUUGGGCUAUUGAUUUCAUCAAGGAUGGGUGUUCCAUCCUCUUCAGUUUGGAUUGAAUUUAGAAUGUCGAGUUGUUGCUGUUUUGUGAAAAGAUGAUCCCACCAUCCUUUAAGUUGACCAGUAAAACCAGAAAUAAGAAUCUCUGCAAUGGCUUUGUCAGAGGUUCCUUGUUGAGUUUUAUAUGUAUUGGCUGCCAUGGUCAUCUGUUGCAGUAAUCCUAAGACAUUAUAUUCAGACAUACCAUCAAUAUUCCAUUCAUAGACAGAGGAUGCAUUGAAACGAGAUUGGUUUAAUGCACUUGGUCUAUUAUCGAUGGCAAGAUCUGGAGGAGAGCUUAUAGUUGGGAGAGCAAGUUCCCAAUGGAUUUUAUUAACUUUAGGGAUAGACUCAUCUUUGAAGGCUUCUAUGUCAGAAGAGGUUAUAGAAGAUUAAUCUUGUUCUAGUACACCAAUCUUGCUAGAUUGGGCACUAUCAGGAGCAAUUUGGACUUUAGAAGUAGAAGCAAAAGAAGAUGCUUCUAUACGAUCAAGUUGCUCUUUAAUAGAUUUAGCAAAAUCUGAUUUGGAUUCUUGAACAAGCUUUUGGCUAAGUUUCGAAACCUGAAAAGGUUUGAAAAUAGGUUCUUUAAGCUUUUUCAAGGAGUCAGACUUUGAUGGAGUAGUAAAAGGGACAAUAACGAUUGACUUCUGGAAUUGACUAUCUAUUCGGGUCAACUAUUUUUCGAUUGUAUUUAGAUUAGCAUUGCAGAAAUUAUUCUGUUGGAUAAUGCUAUCUAAAUUCUUCUCUAUAUCAUUAGGUUUUUGGAUUAAUCUUGAUGAAGACGUCCUUUCCAAAAUAACUCAUUUGCUUGUUGAGUCUUCUAACUCUAAUUCAAAUUUCUCCUUGUCAGGAGACAGUGAUCCUUUACAAGUCGAUGAGUUGAUUGACUCAGAAACAUCUGUAUCAAGUGAUUCUGAUUCAGAAACCUUUUUAAAGAAGAUUAAUGUUUUGACCAAAGAACAAGAAACUUUUCUUGAACUUGUAAAACAUAUUUCAGACCCUAUCCUUCAAAAGGAAUACCUUGACAAACUUUUAAAGACUCUAGAAUUAAAAGACAAACCAGAAACCUCUAAAACUCCAAUCAUUAAAAAGAAUGCUUAUGAUCUUACAGAAAUUUUGGAUAAACAGAAAACAAAGAAAGCCACUCCAAACAUCCAAGAUCUCUAAAAGAAAAUUAAGUAAAUUAAACUUGAAAUCAAAGAAUUAAAAGAAAAACAGAAAAAUGACUCAGAAACUAUCCAGCUUUUGUUUCAAAAACAAUUGGAAGACAAUUCUGAUCAAGAAUCAAACUCUGGUGAGGAAAAUGGACAACAACUUGAAAACAUCGAAUCAAUCCCCAAUGAUUUUCUUUUUGUUUUAAAACAAAUCACCACUAGAAAAUAUUUGAUUAAAAUCACUUUAAAAUUUUCUAAAGAUUUCGAAAUUGACACCAUUGCUCUCUUUGACACUGGUGCUGAUUUAAACUGUAUCAAAACAGAUAUUGUUCCAAAGAAAUUCCAUGAAAAGACUAAUGAAAGGCUUUCUGCAGCAAACAAUUCAAAGUUGAACAUCAAAUCCAAAGUUGAUGCCUCAAUUCAUAACGAUGGUUUUGAAUUUAGGACUUCCUUUCUUCUAACAAAUGAUAUUCAUCAUGCUGUUAUUCUAGGAACUCCUUUCAUAAACCUCAUUACUCCCUAUACUGUCAAUUACGAUAGUAUAUCUUUUAAAGCAAAAAAGAAAAAAUUAAUUUUUCCUUUUAUUGAAAAACUUAAAACAAAGAAUUUGAAUAUUGUUAAAGCCUAUUCUAUUUACCAGAACCAAAUAAAUAUUUUGCUCAAAACAAAACAAACUGAUUUAGCUUGUUUACAGAAGGAUUUGAUGAAAGACAAAUCCCUAUAAAAGCCCAUCCUAUUCAAAUGAAUAUGGAUCUAGAAAAACAUUGUCAACAAGAAAUCAAAGAUUUAGAAUCUAAAGGACUCAUUGUCAAAUCUAGGUCUCCUUGGUCUUGUGCCGCUUUCUAUGUCAAUAAAAAUUCCGAAAUAGAAAAAGGAACCCCUAGAUUGGUGAUAAAUUAUAAACCUCUUAAUAAAGCAUUAAAAUGGAUUAGGUAUCCUAUACCUAAUAAAAAAGAUUUGCUUCAAAAACUACAUUCUGCAUUCAUAUUUUCCAAAUUUGAUAUGAAAUCUGAUUUUUGGCAAAUCCAAAUUCAUCCUAAAGAUCGUUACAAAAAUGCUUUCACUGUUCCAUUUGGACAGUAUGAAUGGACAGUAAUGCCUUUUGGUUUGAAAAAUGCACCCUCAGAAUUUCAAAGAAUUAGGAAUGAUAUUUAUAAUCCUUUUUCUGAAUUUUGCAUUGUUUAUAUCGAUGAUGUGCUGAUUUUUUCUUAAUCAAUUGAGCAACAUUUCAAACAUUUAAAGACUUUUUUUUUGGCAACUAGAAAAGCUAGCCUAGCCAUUUCUAGUUCUAAAGUUUCUUUAUUCCAAACUAAAGUCAGGUUUUUUGGUCACUACAUCUCAAAAGGAACCAUUACUCCCAUUGAAAGGUCCCUUGCUUUUACUGACAAGUUUCCUGAUAAAAUCCUUGAUAAAACCCAAUUGCAGAGAUUUUUGGGUAGUCUAAAUUAUGUUCUUGAUUUCUGUCCUAACAUCAAUAGGAUUGUCAAGCCACUGCAUGAUAGGUCAAAGAAAAACCUUGUUGCAUGGUCGGAAGAACAUACUAAAAUUGUUAAACAAAUAAAGAACACAGUUAAAAAUAUUCCAUGUUUAUUUCUUACAAAUCCUGCAUUACCUAAGAUUGUUGAACUGAUGCAUCCAAUUUAGGCUAUGGUGGGAUAUUAAAGCAAGUCGACAGUAACAAAGAACAAAUAGUACAAUAUAUUUAUGCACAUUGGAAUGAAUGCCAGCAAAACUAUUCUACUAUUAAAAAAGAAAUUUUAUCAAUUGUCCUAUGCAUUUCCAAAUUUCAAAGCGAUUUAUUAAAUAAAAAAUUUUUGCUUAAAAUUGACUGCAAGGCUGCAAAACAUAUUUUGGAAAAAGAUGUACAGAACAUUACAUCAAAACAGAUUUUUGCACGUUGGCAAGCUAUUUUAAAUAUUUUUGAUUUUGAGAUUGUGUUUAUUAAAGGCGAUACAAAUUCUCUCCCUGAUUUUCUAACCAGGGAAUUUCUUCAAAACAGAUAAUGCCGCCCAAAAGAAGAGAUAAAGUGAAAGGGAUCCUUACAGACCCGUGUCCCAAACACCAUCUAAAGCCUCCCAAUCUUCUCCACCUAAAGAAAAAUUACUUUCUUCUGCUAUGCCAAUUAAGUCUUGGAUUGACACAAUAGAAGAACAAGCUGCUCAAGAAGCCCAAUCUAAAGCACUUGGCUCCCAAGAGCAGGUAAAUGAAUGCAUGAAAUCCAUUUCUAAAUCCCCUGAGCUUAUGUUUGCCUUACAAAGCUUUUCUCAAAGUCAAAUUUCUCCUAAAGAAGAAAAUUCCAUUUCUAAAGAAAUUUCUAAAGCUUUUUCACAAAAUGUGAUUCUUUCUGGUGAAAGUUCAUCUUCUCAGAUUGUUCUUUCACAAACAAAGCUUACAAAGAAAACUUCGGAUUGGUUUAAUAAAACCCAUUUCCAAAAUAUUUUAUCCAUAGAAGACGGAUUUUAUCAUACUGAUCCAUUUCAAGCAAUUUUAAAGAUUUUUCCUAAAGGCUGGUUUUUCAAACCAUGAGAUUUAUCCAAACCCCAGCCUUAUUAUCAAAGCAUUUUGGAAUUCACUGAAUCAGUAAAAUUCAAACAUUUUUUCCUCAGUGAGUCCCAUUCUGAGCCUGCCUAUUCUACGGCAACCAUUAUAAAAAUUUUGAGCUCAAAACAAUGGGGUGAUCUACUCCACAAAUCUAAAGCUUUUCCUCUAAAUUUUCAAAACAAUAUGAACUAUAGCCUAUCUUUCUCCUAUUGGGAUUACCAACAGGCUUGGUUUAAUACCAUUUUGGAAAGGACUUCUUCAUCAAGAUUAAUCUCUUGAAGUCUCUCUAAAUUUUCAAAACAAUAUGAACCAUAGCCAUAUAUAUAUAUAUAUAUAUAUAUAUGAAUAUCUUUUUAUUUUGUUUUGACUUAAUGCAUUCAAGAAAAAUAAUUUGUUUAAUUAACCUCUGUAGUAAACAAUACUAUGAUAAAAAAUGAAAAAAAAAAUAAUGAAUGUCAUAGAAUGAAUAUAGAAUUUAUAGUUAAAUCAAUUCAAUAAAACUUAUUCUAAUUGCUUUCAAUACAAUUUUUUUAAUUGAUGACUCACUUUGUUCUUUAUUUAAUUAAAUUAAAUAAAUAAGCUAAUUUUAUUUAAUGAAAGAUUAAUAUUGAUUUCAAAGUUUUAUGUUAUUUUAUAAGUGUUUGUUUUGUUUGUAAUUUGAAAACACUAAUUUACCACUUAUAUAUUAAUAUACUAAUUUUAUCUUUUAUUUAAUAAUUUUAUAUGUAAUUUACAAAACUUAUAUUUAUCAUGAUAAUAAUGUCGUAAUUUUAAUCAUAGUAUCAUAGAAUUUUUCAAAUUUCAGAUAGUAUAUUUUUUGGUUAUUGUAAACAGUUUUUUAUAAAAAUUAAAUAGGGGCAUUAUAGUAUUAACGUACUUUUUAAUAUUUUGAUGUUAUUUGGAGCAGACAAGCUACGUUACAGACUGUAUGUAACAGCUCAGUACAAAUUGAUCUUGUAUCAGCUAACUUUUCCUCUCUCCUGCAACGCGUGGAUGCUCCCCAUUUGCUACGUUUCAGACUCUAUAAACAACAAAGUCAUCGACUUGCUGUUUUUCCAAGCAAUCACUCAGCAUCUUGCCACAUAUUUGAGUCAGAGCCCAAACGCCCGAUUUUCGUCCUUCAAUUGAAGGAUGAUUUUGUUUUGGAGCUCGGCGUGGCAAGAAUGCAUUAUCGGACUAUUAUUAACUAUCAUCAUUACAGAGCAGUACCUGAACCACGUGAUCUCCCACCACAAUUUUUUUAAUAAAAUAUAUAUUUAUUUCUUUUAAAAGAUCAAUAACACCCCGACUGUCUCAUAUUACAUAAUCAUACUCUAAAAAGGCCAAAAUAUCCUAAAUAAAAAAAAAUAUUCUCAACUUUAUUAUCAAUCUUCAGGGAUACUACUAUGUUACCACAGAGAUAACAUACCGCACUUUUUUGUCCUUUUAGAUUAAUUACACUAGAAUCCCUAUUUUAUGCUAAAAUUAGACAAAAAAUCCGAUAAUCUUAAAUUUUGACUCAUUAGUCCUACUUGUUUUGAUUUUUUGAAACUUAAAUCAAAAUGUGAGGGUAUUUUUUAAUUAUUAAUUCACACACCAUCAUCAAAGUUUUAAAAAGAAAAUUUACUCCAUACACCUACUUAAAUGUCAAAUAUAUCCUUGAUAAAACUAAUUUUAUAUUUUUACUAAAUUAAUUAAUUAAAAUGAUAUAAAAAAUGAUUGAAUUAUUUACAUGCCCACUAGUUUCAAUUCCAUAUCUCUAGCAAUUAGCAACUAAAUUUUAUCACUAACUCAAAAUUAUCGACCAUGAGAUGUGAAAAAAGGUUCUCAAAUACAUGUGGAGUAUAAAAUGACUUUGCCUUCAAAUUCUUUUAAAAGAUUCUAAACUUAUUUAUCAAGCUCGUAGAUGUAAGAAUAAACGACAAGAAAGUUGCCACCCUCCCUCACACUUUUUGAUACCUUCUUAUUAAACAAUAAAAAAUUAUUAAUUGGUAGAUUAAUAUAUUUUUAUUGCAUAUUGAAAUUAUUUACUAUAUAUUGAAUAAGUAUUAUGAAAAAAAUAUUAACUACAAAUUAAGAACAAGAGAUCAAAUUCAUACUCAUAUUUAUCAUAAAAUAUUGUUUGUAACUAAUACAUGGUUUUACUAUAUAUUAAACUAAUUAAUUAAUAAGAAAGAAUAUUAAUUUAAACAUAUUAAUUCAAAUAUAAGAAUAAAUUAAUUUAUUAGUGAAAUUAACUGGGUCAUUUGACACAAUAUAUUGUAUUGCAUUAGAUGCAUUAUAUUACAGUGUGUGUCAUUAAUGUGUAUUAAAUUGUAAUAUUUAUAUCAUUAUUUAGAUUGCUAUUAAUUUUAAUUUAAUAUUAUUCAAAUUUAUUAAUAUUUAAGAAUUUAUUAUUUUUAUAUUAAAUAUUUAAAAAUAUUUAAUUUUUAUAUACUAAUUUUUAUAAUAUAAUUAAAUAAUGUAGUAUUAUAUUAUAUUUUUAUCUUUAUAUAUUAUUUAAGUAUUUAUUGUUAGUUAUACUAAAUUUUUAAAUAAUAAUCAAUUUUAUUUAUUAAUUAUUAUAAUAUAAUUAAAUAAUAUUAUAUUAUGUUAUAAUUUUUUAUAUAAUAUUUAAGUACUUAUUAUUAGUUAUAUUAGCUUAUUAAAUAAUAAUCAAUUUUUACUUACUAAAUGUUAUAAUAUAAUUAAGUAAUACAUUAUUUAAUUAAAAUUAUAAUAUAAUUAAAAUGUUUUAAUAUUAUUGAAUAAUAAAUUGUAAAUUUAUGGACUUAUGUGUUAAUAUUUUAAACUUUGUUACUUUUGUAAUUUUGUAGCAAACAUUAGGGAGUAUAACAUUAAUAACCCAACAAAAACAUCUUAGCCAUUACCCUUGGUCUGAAUUAAAUCUAACGGUGGAUUAGGAAAAGACAAAAGAAUGUGGUAUGUUACGACCGUAGUAACACAGUUGGACCCCAAUCUUCAUAACAAAGUUGAAUAAUAAAUCAAGUGAUAUAAAAAAAUCGAGUAAAAUAAUAAUUCAAAAGUAUUAGCAUUUUAACUUAAAGGCUUGUAGUUCAAUAAUAUCUACAAGAGAAUGAGUUUGAGCCACGUAAAAUUUAUUAUAUUUAAAAAAUAGUAAAUUUAUCGAUUGUAUAUUUCUACAUACAGUAAAUAAUUUUUUUUAAAAAUUAAAUAUGGGCAUUUUAGCAUUAACUUAUUUUUAUAUUUUGAUGUUUUUUGGAGUUAUUGCAAUUGCGGCUUCGGGUGAUUCCUUUCAUUCGCUUGCUCUGUAGUAAUAGCUACUACCACGCAGAAUGGAACUGCGAGAAAUAGAAGAACAGGAAAACGAUGUCGUUUUACUGAAGAAGAAGAAGACGAAGAUGAAACUGUGAAAGAAGAGAAAUCGAGAGGAAAGAAAAGAACAACUCAAAGAAGAAGAAACUGAAGAAUUAUUGCAGGAUCCACUGGAGGCUUUUGGUGGAGACAUAAUGUUGAAGAUACUUCAAAACCUAAAGGCACGCAGCGUAGCACCGACUCUCCUUGUAUCCCGUGCUUGGAACGGCGUUGCUUCAAGCGACACGCUUUGGACUCCCAAGGUUCAUUUCCUUUCCUAUUCUUUUUUUUCCCAAUCUUUUUGCCUGGUAAAUGAAUUUAGGUUUGUUUCCUUUUUUAAAAUUAAUUAAUUAAUUUAGUGUUUUCUUCGGAGAAUAUGAGAAUUGGGUUUUUUUUUUAGUUUCACAAUUGGGUUUUUGUUUUAAGUAUUUUUGGUUGUUUGAAAUAAUCAUAUCAUGAAUACAAUUGAAUUUGAAUUUAAGCUUUUCAUGUGAUCAUCGAGUUUUAUGUUCCUAGUUUACAGGAAUUUGUAUUCAGCGCUGAGCUGAGGUUUUUGUUAAUCUUUUAGAAAGAUAAGAAUAUUAAAUUAAUUAAAUAUUCAUCUUAAAUUGUUAUCCAUGCAUGUGUGGUAGAUGUUUACGAAGAGAUGAGCACAGCUAAGCUCAGUACUGGAUCUAAAUCCAGCUUACAGGAUUUCUUGUCCGCCAGGAGCAUUAUAUGAAUACUCGACUUAUUGUUUGACUCAAUUUACUACUCGACUUGGCUUUCUUGACCAACUUGAAUUCGUCUGAGUAUUCUCGAUUUAAGCUGAAUAUUUUUUGUCUCGUAUCUAUUUGUCUUUGCUCACCCCUUAAGGGUAUAUCUAUGUAAAGUGACUUAGUUGGGGUAUAUUGUUGGUAUAUUUUAUUUUUUAAAAUCCUGGGCCCUAGGAAGCCCUUUCUUAUCAUUGAAACUAGACCGUGGCUAAAUUAUUGGUUUAUUUAAAGGAUUGGGGUAUAUUUUUAUAUAAAACCAAACUGAAUUGUGAAUGCCACUGCACGUUUUUACAGCCUUAUAGCCUAAAUUGCUUAUUCCUUCUGAUUGCAUGAUUUGGGAAGAAUUUUUUUUUUUUAACUUAACUUCAAUUAUUUUCUCUGCUUUAUUUGAAACCUAACCGGAAAGAAUAUCUACCUUUUUUUUUUUUUUUUUUUUCAGUUCUCCAGGUAACUUAAUCGGUCAUGCUUCUACUUUGAAGAGUAACUGAGUACGGAUAAUUUACUUGAGUUUCCAGCUGAUGGCAAUGCUGAAUCCUACAAAGAUAUGGCAAGAGAAAUAUUUGAGAGCUUAUUAACAGUACCGGCCAGGAACACGAUCCUGCAUAGCAACAUCAUAUGCCAAUGAACAGAAAAUGCGUCAAUCAAGUUCGUAGGGGAAAUACUUGAGAUAUGCCCAUCACUACAAACACAAGUUAAUGGCAAAGGUGAUACUCCACUUCACGUUGCGGCAAAAUUCGGCCAUUUUAAUAUAGCAGUUAGAAUUCACAAACCUUAAGCAUACAAUCUGUUUGGCUAGCAGGAAAGUGACGAAGGAAGAAAGAAAAACAAACUGAAUAAGAGAAUUUUAUUAAUCUCGAAUCACACACUUACAUUCAAGCUUUCAUCAACUUAUAUUGCUGAUUAACAGAAGUAACAACCUCUGUAACAGCUGUCAAAUAACUAUUGGUUAAGCUAAGCUAAACAAUAACAAUCUAACUAAUUUGUCCAACUCAGCUAUCCAGCUCAUCAAUCCUAGUCAAGUGAAUCUCAGCCAUUGAUAUGCUGCUGUUGAUUAAGCAUCUCAACACCCCUUCUCAAGCUUAAUGGUUGUGGAACAACAUUAAGCUUGUCUCUAUAGUAAUUAAAAAAAGAGUAAGCCAUAGGCUUUGUAAGCACAUCUGCAAUAUUCCACUCACUUGGUACAUACUUGAUCUCCACUUGUUUGCCCGUUACCUUUUCCCUUAUGAAAUGCACAUCCAACUCUAUGUGCUUGGUUUUGGCAUGAUAUACUGGAUUUGUUGCUAGUGCAGCUACACCAUUGUUGUCACACCAGAUUAUUGGUAUUUGGCUACACUUCAGUUUAAGCUCUCCAAGUAAAGCUUGAAUCCAAACAAUUUCUGCACAAGCUGUUGACAAUGCUCUAUACUCUAACUCUGUGCUAGACCUUGCUACAGUUUGUUGCUUCUUGGAGGACCAUGAAACCAGAUUCUGCCCAAGAUAUACACAAUAUGCUCCAACUGACUUUCUGUCAUCCACAUCACACGCCCAAUCUGCAUCUGUAUAUGCUGUCAGACUAAUUCCAUCUCCUGCUUUAAACAUCAAUCCAUAAUCUUCAGUUGCCUUUAAGUAUCUUAGAAUUUUCUUACAAGCAACCCAGUGUUUCUCAGUUGGUGCAGCAAGAAAUUGGCUCAACUUAUUAACUGAAAAGGCAAGUUCUGGUCUUGUAAGUACCAAAUACUGUAAAGCACCUAUUAUGCUUCUAUACUCAGUGACAUUAACAAUCAAGUUAUCAUCAUUCCCUGCUCUUCUUAGUUUCUGUCCUGUACUCAUUGGAGUAUCACUUUCUCUGUAAUUUUCCAUAUCAGUUCUUGUAAGCAAAUCUCUUACAUAUUUUGCCUGUGAAAGAUGUAAGCUACCCUUUGCAUCAUGUGUAACCUCAAUACCAAGGAAGUAACUGAACUCACCAAGAUCUUUUAAAGCAAAGGUAUCUCCAAGGUAUUGGAUAAAUGUUUCAAUUACUGUAUUGUUAUCACCAGUAAUUAAUAUAUCAUCUACAUAUACUAACAUAGCCACAAUACCUCCAAGUUCAUGUUUGAUGAACAAAGAUGAGUCUGCUUUGGAGUUCUGAAACCCCCACUGCAACAGUGCUUUCCUUAGCCUGUCAAACCAGGCUCUGGGAGCCUGUUUCAAACCGUAAAGAGCCUUAUGCAACUGACAAACAUGACCAGAUGGAGACUGAACAAAACCCUCAGGUUGAAACAUGUAGACAUCUUUAUUGAGCUCUCCAUUAAGGAAAGCAUUGUUGAUGUCGAUUUGUCUUAUUUUCCAGCCCUUCAUCACAGCAAGACUAAGGAUAAUUCUCACAGUUGACUGUUUAACUACUGGACCAAAGGUCUCAAAGUAGUCAAUACCAGGUGUUUGAUGAAACCCUUUUGCCACCAGCCGUGCUUUAUACUUAGAAACAGAACCAUCUGCAUUAUACUUAAUGCGAAAAACCCAUUUACACCCAACAAUUUUAGUAGCUUGAGAAGCUGGUACAAGAAUCCAAGUCUUAUUUUCCAUAAGUGCAUUAUACUCUGCCUGCAUGGCUGCUUUCCAUUUGGAAUCUGAAAGAGCUUGAGAAACUGUGGAAGGCUCUUGUUCUCCAAGAACAGAGGAAUAGGCAUGAAAUUUUGGCUUAAAUACACCUGCUUUGGCUCUUGUAAUCAUUGGGUGAUUUGGCAGUGAAACUUGAGUAGAGGAUGGUUGUUGAUUUGAAGUGUUUUGGGAUACAUAAGGAGAGGUGUGGGAGGGUGGAUGAUUUGAUUGAGAUGGUUGAAAUGGUUGAGAAGAAGGUGAUAAAGAACUAGAUGAGGAGGAAGAAGCUGAAGCUGCAGGCAACUGAAAUGGUUGUAUAAUGGUGUUACUUGAGCCUGAAGGGUCAUGAAGUGGAACUGACACUGAAGAUACCUUAAACAUAGGAUAUCUAUAUUCAGAAGCAGAGGAAGAAGGUUGUUUAGAGAAAAGAGAGUCAGUAGAGAAAGGAAAUUCUGACUCAUUAAACACAACAUGCCUAACAACAUAUACAACACCUUUUGAGCUUAGGCAUUUAUACCCUUUGUGAUAUGAGCUAUAACCAAUAAACAAACAUUUUGUAGUGUGAUAGUUGAAUUUGUGUUUGUUAUAGAAUCUCAAGUAUGGAAAACAGGAACAGCCAAAACACUUUAGAAAAUCAUAGUCAUGCUUGUGUUUGAAAAGAAUCUCAUAGGGAGAUUUAUUUGAUGGUAGAACAGAAGUUGCCAAUCGAUUGAUGAGAAAAGCAGAAGUUGAGAAUGCUUCCCACCAGAAACUGAGAGGCAAUUUAGCUUGUACAAGAAGAGUCAAACCCAUCUCAACAAGAUGUCUAUGUUUCCUCUCUGCUGUCCCAUUCUGGUGAUGUGUGUGAGGACAUGAAUGUCUGAAUAAAAUGCCAUGUUUUUUAAGAUAAUUCACAAAGGAUCUGAAUUCACCCCCCCCCCCAAUCUGACUGUAGGACCUUAAUGACUGUUUCAAAUUGUUUUUCAACUUGAGUUCGAAAAAUGGCAAAAACAGAUAAAGCUUGAGACUUGGUUUUCAAAGGAUAAACCCAGGCAUAUCUACUAUAAUCAUCAAUGAAACUGAUAUAGUAUCUAUAACCAUUGAGAGAAGUAAUGGGUGCUGGACCCCAUAAGUCAGUAUGGAUGAGUUCUAGAGGUGAGGUUGUUUUGUGUUCAGUUGCUCCAAAAUGCAGUUUAUGAACUUUGCCAUAUUGGCAGGCAUCACAAAAAUCAGGAAUUUGAAUUUUAUUGCUUAACUGCAAAUGUUUACAACUGGUGAGUACAUGUUUCAAGACUUUUGAACUAGGAUGACCAAGUUGCCUAUGUAGGAUAUUUAUUGAAGUACUGGAAACUCUACUGGAAUGAGACAACAGACACUGUUGAGAGGAGUGUUGAACAACUUUAGCUUGAAUAUUUGAAAAAGAACAAGACUGCAAACCAUCUGAGCAAUGUGGCACCAUAGACAUAGGAACAAAACAUGACUCUUUAUUUACAGUUGAAAAUAAAGCUUGAUGAGUUUUACUUCCAGGCUCAAGUUUCAGCUUAUACAGACCCUUCAUAGCUACACCCUCCAGCAAUACUGUCCUCUUCUUCUUGUCCUUGAGAAAGCAAGUAUUUCCAUAAAAUUCAAUGAUCAAGGAAUUAUCAGAAGUGAGCUUAGAAAUGCUUAAAAGAUUUUUGGUGAUGUGUGGCACAAAUAAAAGAUUUUUGAGCAAUAAUCUAUGAUUUCCAACUGCUAAAUGAGUGCUUCCUAUAUGAGAAAUAGUAAGGCCAUGUCCAUUACCAAUUAAAAGCUUUUCAUUACCUUCAUAAGGCUCACUGAUGCUGAGAUUAUUGAGAUCAUUGAUUAGGUGGUGAGUUGCUCCACUAUCCAGGUACUAGUCAUCAUCCAUUACUGCUUCUGGUGUUGCCAUAUAAGCUGACAUAUUUCUUUGACCGUAGCCUUGAUUGAAAACUUGAUUCUGAUGUGGAUACCUUAUGACUGGAAUGAAAUCCUUGUUGAACCUAUCCUUGCAGGUAGCAGCAGUGUGUCCUAUGAUGAAGCACACUUGGCAUCUAGGCUGAUAUGGCUGUGAAAAAUGACUAGGCACAUGACUAGGCAUUUGAGUUCUCCCACCUUGAUUCCAAGAUCUUCCUCCAUGCAUGUUAUUUCCUCUUCCACCUUUCCUUCCUCGAUAGAAAUUUCCACCUUGAUUCCCUCUAAAAUUUCCUUGCAUCAUGUAUCCAGAAUUUUUAGAUCUUGAUGCAUCUUGAUUGAAACCAGAUCUUGAGUUGUAUGUUCCAAAACCUUUCUUAUUAUUGUUCCCUUACUGAACAAAAUUUGCAGCAAACGCCAGAUUUGCAUCCAUAGUUCAGCUAAAGCUUGUUGUUCUAACAUUCCCUCAUGUGUCAUUAACAUAGAGAGUGAUUCUGAUAAAUCGAGAUCUAAUCCUCUUCCUGUGAUCAAAACUGCUACAGGAUUGAAUUCUGAACCAAUUCCUCCUAACACACUCAUCAUAAAGUCAUAGUCACUCAUUGGUGCUCCUGCUGCUGCCAUGCUAUCUGCUAUGCCUUUCAUUUUGUGAAAAUAGUCAUAAACACUCAAAUCGUUCUUCUUUGUCAACAUCAUUUGAUUCUUCAGUUGCAAUGCUCUGGUUUUGUUUUGUGAGCCAGAAAGUUUUUCCAGAGCUUUCCAAACUUCAAAGGAAGUUUUGCAUCCGAGAACAAUUCCGAGAACACUCUCAGUCAUGGAAGAGAGUAGCCAACCUAGCAACUGCUGAUCAGUUCGCUUCCACAUCACAAACUCAGAGUUCGGAAUCCUCUGAUCUGUGUAUGGUGCUGUGAUUGAACCAUCAAUAUAUCCUUCUAAUCCAUUUCCCUGAAUGGAUGCCAAUACUUGCAUUUUCCAGAUCAAAUAAUUUGAUCUGUCGAGCUUAAUUGGUGUAGGAAAGGUAUAGGAAACAGUUGUGGUUUGAUUUAAGCUUGAUGAUGCCAUCUAGCUCUGAUACCAAGUUAGAAUUCACAAACCUUAAGCAUACAAUCUGUUUGGCUAGCAGGAAAGUGACGAAGGAAGAAAGAAAAAUAAACUGAAUAAGAGAAUUUUAUUAAUCUCGAAUCACACACUUACAUUCAAGCUUUCAUCAACUUAUAUUGCUGAUUAACAGAAGUAACAACCUCUGUAACAGCUGUCAAAUAACUAUUGGUUAAGCUAAGCUAAACAAUAACAAUCUAACUAAUUUGUCCAGCUCAGCUAUCCAGCUCAUCAAUCCUAGUCAAGUGAAUCUCAGCCAUUGAUCUGCUGCUGUUGAUUAAGCAUCUCAACAAUAGCGAAUGUUCUUAUGAAAAGAGCAAAAUUAGCUCAACAUGAAGAUGAAGAGCUAGAGAGCGGGUUAGGAGCUGCCAGGCAGAUGAUUAGGAUGACGAAUGAAAAGAAGAAUACUGCAUUGCAGUCUGCACGAGGCAGUGUUUCAUGGCAAAGUGGAUGUGUUGAAAAUACUGACGAGAUAAAUACCUGAAUAUCCAUAUUCUGUAAAUAAUUGCGGCAAAACGCCGCUCCACAUGGCUGCUGAGUAUGAGCACUUUUCUCAUAAGAUGCUAGCCUUAUUAGAAAACUGCACAUCAAUGUCCCAUGAAGGCCCCUACGGAAGGACAGUUUUACGUGAUGCAGUAAUGCAGUUGGAUUUCCGUAAGUUUGAUUAUACCCUUUCAGUGCGAAUUUGAAUAUUUAGAUCUUUUCCUGCAGGUUUUGUUCAUGCUCUUUCAUGCCCACGGGUCUGACAGAAUGAUUCUCAAGUAAUUAUAUUUAGUUGGUCACCAAAUUUAAAUUCUGAGAGGCUGGUGGUGGAUAAACAUUGAAUUUGAAUUAUAAUUUUAUUUAUCUUUUGGCUCUUUACACUCAGAAAUGAAUUAUCAUGCGAUGCAACAAUUAUUUGAAAAAAGGAAGAGUCUGAUCAAAGAAACAGACCAUUAUGGGUAGACUCCAAUUCAUUACGCUGCAUAUCAUAAUCAAUAUCAACAAAUACAUGUGCUAUUAGAAAUUGAUCAAACUGCUUCAAACAUUACUGAACAAAGAUCGAAAGAUGACAGCUCUUCAUUCGGCAAAGGGCCGAGGGCAUGCCAGAACAGUUGAAAGAAUUCUUUCCCUUACACCAGAAUGUUAUGAACUGGUCGAUAACAGGGGAUGGAACUUUUUUCAUUAUGGAAUAGUCAUUUUUUUUUUAAUGAUUUAAAAACUCAACUAAAAUAUCCGUUAGCGAGGAGUCUUAUAAAUGAGGGGGAUGCCAAGGAGAACUCUAUAUGAUUAGGAAGACUCGAACUAACUAUCACACUGUCAAUAGGCAAAAUGUUAGUGUUAGACACAUUUUGAAAUAUGGCUAUCCUAUCCUGAGCUCAAGGUAAUUAAUUUGUUAAUUCUUUCAACUUAUAAAUCCAGCUUUCUUUUUCAUUACUUUAUUAUUAUUUUUUUUUUUAGUUUAUGCAAUUAAUUCAUAUUCACACUCAAUUUACAGGAGGAAGAAUUUUCCAAAGAUGUUGGCGGAGGACAAUAUCAAGAUGGUGCUAUAUUCAUGACGACAGUGCUAAAUUGCUAAGACCAGAUCCAAAUGCAAUGGCACGUGGAGUAGUGGCUCGACCGGGUUAGCCCAAAAAAUAAUUCAAUAUCCCUUAAAUUUUAUGGUAUUUUUAUUUUUAAAUCUUUUUCUUUCGUGUCCUUAAAUCAAUCUUUAUUAAAAUAACUUAAAUAUAUUUAUAGUUAAGUUAUUCUGGUUUGGACCCUUUAAAAUUCAAUAUUAAAAUAGUAAUUUGUCUUUUUACCAACUUUCUUUUGAGCAAGUUUCUUGAUGUUGCAAUGUCUUUUGAAUUGUUUUUUUUUUUUUUGUUAUGUUCACACAGAUAAAUACGAUAAAUUCAUAAUCUAACCCUGCCUGGUCAAAAGAUUAUCUUGACGAUCCUAAAUAUGAUUACAAAGAUAUGACAGCGUCCGAUGUUGUAGUAUAGUGAAAAUUACCCUUUAGGACAAUGCUUUGCACCCGCCUUGAGGAUUUUUCUCUGAGUUCGUAUUUGUUGGUCCGAUAACAAAUUCUUCGUUGUAGGAAGCAACUAUUUGGUUUUCCGGCUGCAGCCACAAGGUUAUGAUUGUAACUUUUUUUUUUAAAUGAGAAAGAAUAUUGUUGUCAAGCUAUUGUUCAUCACCGUUGAGGCUUUUGAUGGGUGUUGUUGUUCAGGCUGAGCUGGUCUUUCAAAAAAGUUAUUUUGUCUCAAAUUUCCAACGUAAAUGGCCCAACAAAUUUGUGCCUUUCUGUAUAUUUAUUAAUAUGAAUACGCUUCAUAAUUGUGAGACUUAUUUUUUUUGUAUCAGUUGAUACAUUAAAAAAAUUAGAGAAAAUGACUAACACACCCUCAAUGUUUAGGUAAAAGGAUAAAAAUUCCCCAACAUUUCGUAAAAGAUAUUUACACCCUCAUUCACUAACGGAAAUAGUUACUUUUAAUAGAAAUAGUAAUUUUAAUAUAUAAUUACCAUUAUACCCUUCUAGCACAUAAAAAAAAUUAUUAAUUGUCCAAUUUGUUUAUAUAUUAUUAAUAAAAUUACAAAUAUACCUUCAUUACCUAAUUCCUCUCUUUAAAUUUUUAUCAAAUUAUCUCUUCAAGCAAAAUAAAUUUAAUCUAUUAUCAAUUUUUAUGUCUAUUGGAUAUGUUACUUAAUACAAUUAAGAUAAGAUUUUUGUAAUUAUUGUUGUAACCAGCCUUUUUUUUUAUUUUGUUGAUUAUACAAGUUUAAAUGAUUGACAUGUAGAGAAUUGUUAUUCUUAUGGCAUUAAUAACUAAUUUUAUUUAUUUUAUCAAUUUUUAUGUCUAUAGGAUAUGUUAUUUAAUACAAUUAAGAUAAGAUUUUUGUAAUUAUUGUUGUAACCAGUUUUUUUUUAUUUUGUUGAUUAUACAAGUUUAAAUGAUUGACAUGCAGAGAAUUGUUAUUCUUAUGGCAUUAAUAACUAAUUUUAUUUAUUUUUAUUCUUGAGUAAUGGAUUAAAUUUAUUUGGUUUAAAGAGAGAAUUUGAUAAAAAUUUAAAUAGAGGAAUUGGGCAAUGGGGGUAUAUUUAUAAUUUUAUUAAUAAUAUAUGGAUAAAUUGGACAAUUAACAAUUAUUUUUUUAUGUGUUAGAAGGGUAUAACGGUAAUUAUAUAUUAAAAUUACUAUUUCCAUUAAAAGUUAUUGUUUCUGUCAGUAAAUGAGGGUGUAAAUAUCUUUUUCAAAACGUCAAGGGAGUUUUUGUCCCUUUGUCUAAACGUUGGGGGUGUGUUUGUCUUUUUCCCAAAAAAUUAACUUAGAGAAAAAGAAGAUUUAACAUUUUUUUUCAGGUCAAGGCAGCUGCUUCUCGAAAAAAUACUGUCAGUGAUUUCUUAGGCUUCUCCGAAGGCUCUUUUCCUUUUGUUUAUCCUGGAGUUCCAAUUUUCAAGGGUUGUAUUUUGUCCGUUGUCGGGCGAGUGGAGCUAGUUAAUACUCGACCCUAGGGAUUGAGUUAGUAAUUUUUUCCCCAUUGAAAAAACUUCAUCGUUUUGCCUUUGUUUUUCUCAGCGGUCUGUCACCCCAUGAUUGAUUUAACAUUUCUCUUGCCAAUUAAAAGAGUAAACAAACGUUAACUAAAAAACAUGUCGUGUGCAAAAAGUCAACAGAUAGAUGCACAAAAACUCUAUUCUCCUCCACAUAAAAGUGUAGCAUUUAGAUAAUAAAGUUACUGUAUUCAAGUGAUUGUUCAACGCCAUUGUGUACAGCUGUUCUGGCUGAUUUAGGCUUUUAAUGAAACUAUAUUGACUCAUAUUUCUAACAAAUGGACCAUGAUUUCAAUGUUAAAAUACUGAACCUUUCAAGGGUAUAGGAAGAGAUGUAACUUUGAACUCGCGGCCUUAGUGGACUUGAGACUGAGUGUGUAAAUACAUUUUGUAUAAACUAAACAAUUGUAACACUUUGAAGUUGUCGAAUGGGAACUGCAUAAUAAGAUUGUUCCAGUGGAACCAUUGUGAUACUCGUGUAAAUCAAUUAAAGGUUCGUGGAAGAAUAACGACAUAUGUUAAACUAAGGUAAAGAAUCUCCAUAUACAUAAAUAAUAGUUAAUUGAUUAAAAAAAAGGUAAAGAAUCUCCAUAUACAUAAAUAAUAGUUAAUUAAUUAAUAAAUCACUUAGGGUGCGUUUAGUACAUUAUAUUGUAUUAUGUUGUAUUUUAUUAUUUUAAUACUAAUGUAUUGUAUUAUGUUGUAUUGUAUUAGUACCGUAUUAUAAAAAUAUUGUAUAAUAUUUGGUGUUAUACUGUACUGUAUUGAUUAAUGUUGUACAAUGUUUGGUGUCAUACUGCACUGUAUCGAUUUGUUUUGUGAUUAAUUUAAAUUAAAUAUUACAUUAUACUAAUAUUUUAUAUUAUAUUAAUAUAUUUAAAUUGUUUUAAUAUUUUAUAUUAUUAUUAAUUUUAAAUUAAUAUUAUUCAUAUUUAUUAUUAGUUAUAAUAAAUUAUAUAUUUAUUAAUUUAUAUUAAUAAUUAUAAUGUAAAAAUAAAAAUAAAAAUAAAAAUUAGAUGAUAUUGUAUUAAAUUAAAAAGUAGUUAUUAUUAUUAUUAUUAUUAUUAUUAUUAUUAUUAUAAAGUAAAAGCAAAAGUUAAAAGAAAAGUCAAAAGCAAAAGCAAAAGCAAAAGCAACAAAAAAAAAAAGUAAGCUAAUGCACAGCCCUUUAACCCAUUCUCGUUUUUUCAAACAUAGUCUUAUCAUUAAUUUAAUGUAAAUAGUAUUUUAAUAUCCCGUAAUACAAUGCACCAACCAUACUCUUAGAUAUUUUUCUGUCAAAUAAAACAUAUAAAUGUCGAUAAUUAAUACAUGAAUGACACAUUCCAUGUAGUAUCAUUUUAAGAAGUGAUUUAAUAAGUAACAAGAAGGCUAAGAGGCAACAUUGAAUCACUUUUCUUUUGUAGAAUUAAUGAAGUACUCAUAGAGUAUUCCCCUAUUAUUUUAUUGUUUGCAGUCAUUUGAGAGUCACUUUCUUUACCCAACAAACAAAAAGAGCAGAACUGUAUAUGGAAUCCGAUCGAAAUGUGAUAAGGAAGGCUGCAGUAUUUAAAGAUUGAGGAUAUGGCUAUGCAGACUUUUGCAAUGUUAAGGACAAAACAAUAGAAGAAACCAUGGUCAACUUUAAUAAUUAAUUGGUAUAUAUAUAUUUUUGUCUGGGUUCUUAAAAAUAUUGCGCCACAGUUUAAUUAAUUAUUAAUUACACAUACAAGCACACAAUUGAGAAAUUGAUUAGUUUGCCAACGAGAAUGACUAAUCUCAAUUUAUUUAUUUAUUUAACUAAAAGAGCAUGAGGAAGAAAUCAAGGUUAAAAAUGUUAAUUCUUGGUUUGUCAAAAGAGUAAGAAUUAAUGUCGAUACUUACCUUGUCAAAAAAGCAAGAAUUUAAGAAGUGUGAAAAAUACUACAUUAAUGUUGAUUCUUGGCUUGUCAAAAGAGUAAGAAUUAAUGUCGAUACUUACCUUGUCAAAAAAGCAAGAAUUUAAGAAGUGUGAAAAAUACUACACUUUUCAAGUCAUAUAUACAUACAUGUCAGGUUAGAAGAAGAUCUAUGAGUACCUCCGAGAUACUGGGUACCGUUAUCUAAUAGAUCAACUUCGCCAACAUGAAUCCUGUUUCCAUUGAGAUUGAGGAAGCUCCAUUAUUGGACAGCAAUGGUGAAAUUAAGCAGCAAAUGGACCUAAAUUUUUUCAAAGCUGCAUCUGCGGGCAAUUCAGAACCGUUCAAAGACAUGGAAAGAGAUGUAAUUGAGAGAUUGUUAACAGCAAAGGCCAAAAACACAAUCCUGCAUAUCAACAUCAUAUCAUCAGAAAGAGAAAAUGUGUCAACGAAGUUCGUAGAAGAAAUACUUGAGAAAUGCCCAGCACUGCUACUACAAGUUAAUGCCAAAGGCGAUACUCCACUUCACCUUGCAGCAAAAUUCGGCCAUUUUGAGAUAGUGAGAGUUCUUAUUGAAAGAGCAAAAUUAGCUCAACGUGGAGAUGAAGAGCCAGAGAGCGGGGUUGAACCUUUCAGGCAAAUGAUUAGGAUGGUGAAUAACGAGAAGAAUACAGCACUCCACGAGGCAGUGUCUCAAGGCAACGUGGACGUGGUGAAAAUACUGACAAGAGAAGACCCUGGUUAUCCAUAUUCUGCAAAUAAUUACGGCAAAACGCCACUCUACAUGGCUGCUGAGUAUGAGAACCGUUCUGAUAUGUUGCGUGGCCUUUUGGAAAACCGCACAUCAGCGUCCUUUGAUAUGGUGCUUGCCCUGUUAGAAAACAGCACAUCAGUAUCUCAUGAAGGCCCCAACGGAAAGACGGCUUUACAUGCUGCAGCAAUGAGAUCUUUUGCCGGUAAGUUUAAUGAUACCCUUUCAGUGAAUUAUUAGAUUUAGUGAGUUAUUAAAUUAGCGAAUUAUUAAAUUUAGUGAAUUAUUAACUAAAUCUAAUUAUACCCUCAAAGAGAAUUAUUUAACUACUAUUCUCAAUUCCGGUUUUUCUCCUCACUCAUCAUGAAUCAAUCAUAAUUUCUGAAAAUCACAAUAAAUUAUAAUGAUCUCAAUAAGCAAAUUUAUUUUUCAUAUAUGAAAAUACAUACUUGUUUAUAUAUAAUGCAAAUGGAUAACAUGCCAGUCUUUUAAAAAUAUUAUAAAACAAAUUCUUUAAAAUUUCUUUUGCCAUGAUCAAACUUCACAUUUCCUUUUAAAUCACUUACUUCAAUUACCUUCAUUCAAUUACUAUUCAAUAAGACUCUCACUUAACAUUUAUAACUUUGGUUUUCAUGUAAACUUCCUUCACCCACUUAUCUCUUAAAUAUUAUAUCUACAGUGUCCACUAAGCGAGUAAAGAAUUCAAGAAACUAAGCAAAAUCGAAAAACUUUCUUUCUUUCUUCAAAAUCAAUUUGCUCGAAUCCACUUUCUUAUUUUCCGAAAAACAUAAUGCAUAUUCAUGUUAAUGCCAAUAAAUUUUUACACAUACAUAUAUAUGUGUAUAAAUCAUAUUUGACACAUAACAACACAUUGCAUAAAUACAUGGACAGACCAUAUAAAUCCAUACCCCGUACAUAUCAAAAUAAACUUUUGAAACACGUAAAAUAGAUACAUAUUUUUUAUCGUGAUUAAGUAACAAAAGUGUAUUACACCAUCGGUCUAAAACCAAUAAUAAAACGCUCAUGAGAUAUCAUCAUAUCCUCAUUCAUGAGUUAAUAAAAUAUCCCAAAAUUUUAAAUUACCAAAUUACCCUUGAAAAUUCUAAAUUACCAAAAUGCCCUCGCUGGUCAAUGAUGACCGGAAUUCGAGCGGCGAUGAUCAAAUAAGUCAAAACAGGAACUUCAGCUCGCUCUGAAUCCAAAGGUGGCAGCGGUGUGCUCCGACGCGUAGCCAUGGUGCCCGAUCGAGUUUCGACAGCCGUGAAACUUCAACGGCUGAUCGGCGACAAAUCGGCCACUGUUUGAUGGUCAGAAAUUGAAGUGACUGCCAUAAACGACAAAUCCCAGGUGACGACAUGAUCGAAAUCAGGUAAAAACUCGCCGAUUUGAGUUUUCGUCCUCCAUGACUUAACACGGGCUUGUGGACUGGUCAUAGGCUGUUUUCCAGCAACAAUGAUGAUAGGGGAAUGACCGCGUCGUCUGGGAGUUCGGUUGAUACCCUCCAUCGCCGGAGAUGUGGCCAGAAUCGGAAGCACCGAUUCAGGUUUCGUGAACGGGUUGACCCGACCUGUUUCCUCUCUCCUCUGAGCCGAUCGCCACGUUCUCUCUCCCACUUAAUUUACUUAAUUCACUUAAUCCAGUUAAUGACUAAAUAUUCUUAGGAGAAUUAAUUUUUUUAUUACUGACAAAAAUACUCUUAAUUUAUGAAGAAAUUAAGUGCUGUUAUGAAGGAAUUAAUUUUUUUACUGUGAAAUGCUCCUAAAAAAUUAAUCUUUAGAACUGUAAAUAUAGUGAAAAUUGGUCUUUUGGAUAACUAAGAUAGGGAAAGUUGGUUUUUAGGAUAAUUAGAUUUACCAAAUUGGUCUUUAGAAUAGUGCUUCAAACGUGUCUUAGUGAAUUUUGCAAAAAUUGUGAUUUCUAGAUGCAAACUCAGGGAAAUGAUUGCAAGUUUUUAUUUUGCUAAAUAACAAAGUUACCGAUCUGAAGCCAUUAUUCAUCACUCAUUGUGUGAUUGGUGUUGGUGUUGUUCUAGACCUCUGGCUGGUUUGGAAUUAAAAAAAAAAAAAAAAAAAUCUAUUUUUUUCCUCAUAUCUCCAACAUAAAUAGCCCCCCAAAUUUAUGCCCUUUCUGAAUAUUUACUUUUAUUAAAAAUUUCAUUAUUAUUUGAUUUAUCUUCUGUAUUCUCAGUUGAUACUGCAUUACCGAAAUUACUUGAGAAAAAGAAGAAUCUGAUCAAAGAAACAGACCAAUACGGCUGGACUCCAAUUCAUUACGCUGCAUAUUAUGGAAAUUACAGGACGGUAAAUUUGCUAUUAGAAACUGAUCAAUCCGCUUCGAACAUUGCUGACAAAGAUCGAAAGAUGACAGCUCUUCAUUUGGCAGCGGGCAAAGGGGAUGCCCGAACGGUUGAGCGAAUUAUUUCUGGAAAUCCAAAAUGUUACGAGCUGGUCGAUAACAGGGGAUGUAAUUUUCUCCAUUAUGCUAUGGUUAGUUUUCAUGUUGGACAACUAAGAAAUCUUCUUGAAAAUAAUCCGUUAGCGAGGAGUCUUAUAGAUGAGGGGGAUGCCGAGGGAAACACUCCUCUCCAUGUGCUUGCUGCAGUCCGACCAAAAGAAUUCCAUGAUGUUAUGAAUAGGAGUACUCAAGCCAACUAUGACGCUGUCAACAAACAAAAUGUUAGUGUCAGACACGUUUUUAAUUAUGGCUAUACUGAGCUCAAGGUAAUUAUUUAAUUUGUUCCUUCAACUAAAUUAUUAAAUUUUAUUUUUUUACGCAAUUAAUUAAUAUUCAAAUGUAAAUUAAUUACAGGAAGAAAUCCAAAAAUUAUCCAAAGAUGUUGGCAGAGGACAAUAUUCAAAAGGUGUUAUACGCAUAAGAAAAGUACGAAAGUAUGUUACUAAAGAAGAUUACAAGGAUACGAGAGCAUCACAUUUGGUAGUGGCUGCACUCAUAGCAACGGUAUCCUUCGAAGCAGCUUUCACCAUUCCUGGCGGUUACAGAAGCGAAAAUGGAACUGCAAUCCUAAGGAGAAAUAAAGCUUUUCAAGCAUUUAUAGUAGCAGAUUCCAUUGCCAUGGUCUUUUCUCUUUCUGCCGUCUUUACUCACUUCUUGAUGGCUCCUAAAAUUGAAAAAACUAAAGAUUUCAAUCAGGGUCUGCUCCACGCUUCCAUUUGGUUCACCGUAUUUGCCAUGGGAGCAAUGGUGAUUGCAUUCGUUACGGGAACGUAUGCAAUGUUAGUACCUUCUUUAGGCCUUGCUAUUAUCACUUGUUUAAUUGGCUUGAGCUUUUUCUUGCUUGUGAUUUGGAUUUCUUGCUUGUGAUUUGGAUUAUGGGAUUGUAGUAAGUCACCAUCUUUGUUUAUCAAUAAAAUGAUUGGUUUUCAUUUAACAUAAACGUUAAUUAAUUUACUCAAUCUUUGCUAAUAAUCAAUCAUUAUUUUAAUUGUACAUUAAUCACUGAUGCUUUAAUGAACAUCAAAUUUGAUAUCCAGACCGGUCUAUUUUGUUGUCAAUAAUUAGAUUGAAUUGGUGAGAGGAAAUCAAAAUCAAAUUUAAUAUUUCAAGUUGUUUGUACUUUCUUAUGUUGAUGGAAUAAAAUCUUGAUUGCUUUUUCAAAAAAAAAUUGAAAAAAUUUAUCUAUUUGUAUAGUGCGUCAUGAUAAAUCAUCAAUUAGACAUGAGUAAAGAAAAUUCAUGAUGCGUGUUUAAGGGUGGUAUAUAUUUAUAUUUUGGCUUUUUUAAUAAGUUUUAAAUAGGUUAAUAUAUUGCCAUCAGAAUUUUAUUAAUAUUUACAAUAAAAAAUUUAUCGGAAUUAUUUUUAAUACAUCUAAUAUGGCACAGUCUGAAUAUCUACCCUCACAUAAUAUCAUAGUGAUAUUUGCUCUACUCAUAUUAAUGGAGAAGAAAUUUGUUAACAUGUAUAUGUUCAUAAUAUUGAUUUUGAUGAUAACAAACUUUAAAUGUUUUUGAUUAAAGUGUUGGAGCUAUUCAUGAAUAAACGAAAGCCUUAUAAUCAUUUCAAUUAUAUUUAUAAAAGUUGGAUAACUGUUAAACUUGAAAUUGGAAAAUGAUUCUCUGUAAUAUCUGGCUAAAACUAUGAUUCUGGAAAUAAACGGUGAACCGUUUAUUUUUAACGGUUAACUGAUUAAAUCCAGAGAGUAACGAAUUGCUUAAGCUCUAACCGGUUAACAAAAACGGAAAACACAAAAUGCUGAGAAGCCAACUGGAAUUAAACUGUGAACUGUUUAUUGAAACGGUUAACUGAUUAAAAUCCAGAAUGGAAAACUGUGUUCAUCUUGUUACUGAAAACAAACGGUAAAAGUUUAACUGAAACGGAUAAGGCUAACUUGUUCUAUAGGUUACUGGAAACAAACGGCGAACCGUUUAUUACAAACGGUUAACCGAUAAAUUCUAGAGAGGUUAUUUCGGGCAAAUCUUUAACCUUUUAAUGCAAACGGAUAGCUGAAGUUUAUCUUGCAGGUCUCUGGAAUUUAACGGCGAAAGGAUAAUCCUAAACAGCAAACCGUUUAUUAGAAAAUUGGCCCAACGGUAACUUUGACCAGCCUAAACGGUUAACCGUUAAUGGUUAACAGCGAACUGUUUGCGAGCAGACAGUCUAUAACGGCUAGUUUUUCAGCUCCAACUAUAAAUAAGCUCAUUUAAAUUCAAACAAGGUUGAUCACAACACGACCAUUGAGCUUAUAUUCGAGAAUACAAUCUUCAUAGAGCUUUAAAACACAUUCUUACUUCAUUUAUUCACGCAUUGGGCAUUGAUUUGUAAUCUUAAAUAUUGUGUGAGAGAAAAAUUAUUUUUAAUCUUUUAGUUUGAGUGAUUGUAAGUGUCGGGAUACACUUGGGUUAAGAGAUUGGGGAUAAUCUCUUAUUGUAAAGGUUCAUUGACACCUUGAAAGUCAAGUGUAAGCAUUUGAAGCCUUGGAGGUUUGCUUAGUGAAAUCCUCAAGUCCGGAAAGCUUGAAGGCGUAGACGUAGGUGAGGUUGGCCGAUCCACGUAAAAAUCUUCGUGUUUAAAUCUCUCUUCCUUUAUCUUUUUAUACUGUAAUUGAUUUAAUUGUUAUUCCAUUAAAUUCAUUUUAGAUUUGCAUGAUAAUUUGUUAUAGAAUCAAAUAAUUUUUAGAAUCCCAAUUCACCCCCUCUCUUGGGUUACACACUUAUAUUUUAUUUGGUAUCGGAGCUUGGUUCUCUUGUUAGGACUUAACCAUCUAGAGUAAAAUAUCCAUGGCAACCCAAAAUGACUCAACCUUUAGGGAAAGACAGUCCACAACUAGACUACCGUUCUUUGACUGAAAUGACUACCCAUAUUGAAAAACUAGGAUAAGAAUUUAUUUACAAGCACUAGAUUAUGAAAUUUGGGAAGUUGUAUGUGAUGGUUCGUUUUUGCCCCUAGCUAAAAAUGAAGUAGGGAAAGAUAUUCCAAAACCUUCAAGAGAAUGGAAUGAAUUGGAAAAGAGAAAAGCUUCUCUAAAUUCCAAAGCUAUGAAUGCUUUAUUUUGUGCACUUGAUAAGAAAGAAUUUCAUCGAGUAUCUAGUUGUUAAAGUGCCAAUGAAAUUUGGCACAAACUUGAAGUAGUCUAUGAAGGCACAAAUCAAGUGAAAAAGUCGAAAAUUAGUAGGUACACUCGACAAUAUCAGUUGUUCCAAAUGGAAUAAAAUGAGAGUGUGUACUUUAUGUAUACGAGAUUUACGGACAUAGUAAACACCCUAGGAGCCCUAGGAAAGACCUUUUCAAAUAACGAGAAAGUUAAAAAAAAUCAUUAGGUCACUUCUAAAAGAAUGGAGACCUAAAAGAACUGCUAUUGAAGAGGCCAAAGAUUUAAAUACUUUACCUCUUGAUGAUUUAAUUGGUUCUCUAAUUUCAUAUAAAGAAGAUUUGGCAACAGAAAAAGGGCAUGAGGAGAAGAAGAAAAGCAUUGCUCUCAAAGCUUCAAAAUAUGAGAGUGAUGGGGAGAGUGAACCGGAUGAUAAAGAGUUGGCCAUGCUAGCAAGGAGGUUCAGAAAAUUCUUCAAGAAAACCGGAGAGCAAAGAAAAUUCAGAAACUUCAAGAACCAAAGGGAGAAGAAAGAGGUAAUCACAUGCAAUGAAUGCAAGAAGCCUAGCCAUAUAAGAUCGGAGUGCCCACUUAUCAACAAACUUAAGAAGAAAGCCAUGGUUGCAACUUGGGAUGAUAGCGAGGAAGAUUCAAGUGAUGAAGAAGGGUCACAAGAAAUAUCAAACCUAGUGCUUAUGGCAAUAGGAGAUGGUGAUGAUCUCAAUGAGGUAAGUGAUCCCACCUAUGAUGAAUUGUAUGAUGCUUUUAAAGAAUUGCAUAAUGAGUUGAUGAAAAUUGGUAAAAAGAAUGUAUGUCUUAAAAAGGAAAUGACAAAGCUUAAAAAUGAAAAUGAAUCUCUAAAUGCAAGAAUUAUAUGCCUAGAAGUAGAGAACAAAACAUUGCAUGAUGAAAUUGCAUUUAUCAAAUGAGAAACCUAGCAUCAGCAUUUAGAAUCACACAUAGAUGAUUUGAAAAAUGAAAAUGAAAUGCUUAAGAAAAAUAGCAAUGAGUUGAAUGAGAUUGUUUUGAAAUUUACAAAUGGGCAAAAGAUGUUGGAUAACAUGCUUAAUUCACAAAAAUGUGUGUUUGACAAAGGAGGUAUUGGUUAUAAGCCAAACUUGAAACAAAAAUAUUAUAAAAACUACUUUGUGAAGAGUAUAUCUAGUAACAAACAAAUUGUAUGUCAUUUUUGUAAUUAAGAUGGUCAUAUAAAAAAUAGAUGUCCAGUAAAAAGAAAUGUAUGUUAUAGUAUGAAAUGCAUUUGGGUUCCAAAAGGAAUCACUACUAACUCUCAAGGACCCAAAAAGCUUUGGAUACCUAAAACUUGAGAUUUUCCUUGUAGGGCUUGAAGAAGAAGAAAAAUAAAUGGUACUUGGACAGUGGUUGUUCAAGGCACAUGACCAGAAACUAUGCAUGGUUCUCAAGCUUCACCAAAAUUAAAAAUGAUAGAGACGUAUCUUUUAGAGACAACUCAAAAGGAAAAAGUCUUCGAAUUGGAAAUGUUGGUAAAGUUUCCUCAACUCUAAUUGAGAAUGUAUGUUUGGUUGAGAACUUGAAACACAACUUAAUUAGUAUUAGUCAAUUAUGUGACGAAGGUUAUAAAGUUAUCUUUGAUAAAUUUAGUUGUGUUAUUGAGAAUUUAUGUGAUGACAAGAUCUUAUUUAUUGGGAAUAGAUAUGGUAAUGUUUAUAUCAUUGACAUAGAAUGUGCAUCUACUCUUGAUAAAUGCUUUUCGGCAUUGCAUGAUGAUAGUUGGUUAUGGAAUAGAAGGUUAGGACAUGCAAAUAUGGAUUUGAUUUCAAAAAUUUCGAAAAAUGAUUUAGUUAAAGGUCUUCCAAAAAUUGGUUUUCAAAAAGCGAAGAUUUGUGAAGCUUGUCAAUUUGGAAAACAAAUCAAAACAUCUUUCAAAAAUAAAAAUCAUAUUUCUACUCAAAACCACUUCAACUUCUUCACAUAGAUUUAUUUGGGCCCUCUAGAUAUGCUAGUCUAAAUAGCAAAUCUUAUGCAUUUGUGAUAGUGGAUGAUUAUUCUAGAUAUACAUGGGUAUUAUUCUUAGCUAAUAAGGAUGAUGCUAUUGAUGCCUUUAAAGUGCUUUGUAAGAAAAUUCAAAAUUCAAAAUUCAAAAUGGUAUGGUAUUGCAUGCAUUAGGAGUGAUCAUUGAGGAGAGUUUAAAAAUCAUGCAUUUGAGAUUUUUUGUAAUGAUUUUGGUAUUGAGCAUCAAUUUUCAUCACCUAGAACUCCACAACAAAAUGGAGUUGUUGAGAGAAAGAAUAGAUCUAUUCAAGAAAUGGCUAGGACUAUAUUGAAUGAAAAUUCAUUGCCUAAGUAUUUUUGGGCCAAGGCCGUUAACACUGCUUGUUAUGUUUUAAAUCGUGUGUUGAUUAAACCUAACCUUAACAAAACGCCAUAUGAGCUUUGAAAAAAUAGAAAACCCAAUAGUGGUUAUUUCAAAGCUUUUGGAUGCAAAUGUUUUAUUUUGAACACAAAAGAUAAUCUUGGCAAAUUUGAUCUAAAAUCCGAUGUGGGUAUUUUUCUUGGAUAUUCAAACUCAAGCAAAACUUAUAGAGUUUAUAACAAAAGAACUCUAGUUGUAGAAGAAUCGAUGCAUGUUACAUUUGAUGAAUCUAACCCUUCCUCUACGGAGAAAGUUGUUGUUGAUAAUGAUGUAGAUGAAGACUUACAAAAAGAAUCAUCAAAAGAUAACCAAAAGAAUGCAUCUCAUAGGAAUCAAGAUGAGCAACAUGAAGAAAUGAAUGUAGAGCAAAAUGAAGGUACUUCUUAAUCACUCCCCAAAUAGUGGAGGUAUGUUUCUUCUCGCUCUAAAGAUGUAAUUUUAGGAGAUCCCUCACGAGGUGUUACAACUAGAUCAUCAAUUAAGAAUACUUGUGAGCAUAAUGCAUUUAUUUCUCAAAUUGAACCCAAAUCAUUUGCGGAUGCGGAAAAUGAUCAAUCUUGGAUUAUGGCAAUGCAAGAGGAAUUAAAUCAAUUUGAAAAAAAUAAUGUAUAGGAAUUAGUUCCUAAACCGGAACAUCAAUCCGUCAUAGGUACUAAAUGGGUAUUUAGAAAUAAGAUGGAUGAAUCUGGUGUGGUUGUAAGGAAUAAAGCUAGAUUAGUGACUCAAGGUUACAACCAAGAAGAAAGAAUUGAUUUUGAUGAAACAUUUGCACUCGUAGUUAAACUAGAAUCAAUUAAAAUGUUAUUGGCAUUUGCAUGUCAUAAAGAUUUCAUUUUAUUUCAAAUGGAUGCGAAAAGUACUUUCUUAAAUGGUUAUAUUAUGAAAGAAGUGUAUGUAAAACAAUCCCUUGGUUUUGAAAAUGAAAAAUUUCUAAAUCAUGUUUAUAAGUUAUUUAAAGAUUUGUAUGGCUUAAAACAAGCACCUAGAGCAUGGUAUGAUAGGCUUAAGAAUUUCUUGUUAGAAAAUAAUUUUUUAAUGGGUAAAGUGGAUACUACUCCCUUUGUCAAACAUAAGAACAAAGACAUAUUUGUUGUUCAAAUUUAUAUUGAUGAUAUUAUUUUUGGUUAUACUAAUGAAUUGUUGUGUAAAGAAUUUUCAUCUUGCAUGAGUAAUGAAUUUGAAAUAAGUAUGAUGGGAGAGUUGAAAUACUUCCUUGGGCUGCAAAUAAAACAAAAUGAGGAAUGAAUUUUCAUAAAUCAAGCCAAGUAUGUAAAAGAUCUACUCAAAAGAUUCAGAAUUGAUGACUCAAAGACCAAAAAUACUCUGAUGAGCACAACAACCAAGCUUGAUAAAGAUGAAAAAGGCAAAGAAGUGGAUAUCAAAAUGUAUCGAGGUAUGAUCAGAUCUUUACUUUAUUUAACUGCAAGUAGACCCGAUAUCAUAUUUAGUGUAUGUUUGUGUGCAAGAUUUCAAUCAUGCCCCAAGGAAUCCCAUUUACUUGCUGUAAAACGAAUCCUUCGCUAUUUAAGUGGAAUUAUAGAUCUCGGCCUUUGGUAUCCUAGGGGAACUCAUAUAGAUUUAAUAUGCUAUUCAGAUGCGGACUUUGCCGGUUAUAAAGUUGAUAGGAAAAGCACUAGUGGAACUUGCUAUAUUCUAGGUCACUCACUUGUUUCAUGGUUUAGCAAGAAACAAAAUUAUGUUGCACUUUCAACUACCGAUGCUGAAUAUAUAGCUGCAGGAAGUUGUUGUGCGCAAGCUCUUUGGAUGAAACAAACACUUAGAGACUAUGGUAUUAACCUAGAACAAAUUCCUACUAAGUGUGAUAAUACUAGUACUAUAAAUCUUUCAAAAAAUCCCAUUUAACACUCUCGAACCAAGCAUAUAGAAAUAAGACAUCAUUUCUUAAGAGAUCCUGUUCAAAAGGGAGAUAUUGCAUUAGAUUUUAUUUUUACAGAAAAAUAACUCGUCGAUAUUUUUACCAAACCCCUUGGCGAAGAAUAAUUUUUGAAAAUUCGGCAUGAACUUGGGAAGAUGAAAUUUUUGCAUUAACUUCUCUAUUAAUGUUAUUUAGUGUAUUGAAUUGAUUGACUUAGUGAUAAUUUGAUCAUUUAAUAUUUAUGAAAUGCUUAAGCAUGAUGUUCAAGUGAUAUGUUUGCUUUUGAUAAUUCUUAAAUGUUUAUAUGAAUUAAUUGCUUGAAUACAUGUUCAUGAAUCAAAAUGGCUCAUAAAACAUUUUUGGAUCAAUUAAAUGAUCUUGGAAUGUAUUAUUUGUAAGCCAAAAAUUAAAUCAAAUGUGCGCAAUUAUAGAUGAAAUAAACGGAUAACUGUUUCCAAUAAACGGUGUACUAUUUUUAUUCCAGAAACUAGAUCAUGAUGUCUGACUUUUACCCUUUUACUGUUUGACGAAAUCGAUAAACCGUUUAAAGCAGAGAGCUCUCUGGAAAAUUACUCCUUUACCGUUAAAAGGAUAACCUUUCACCGUUUCCCAUUCAUUAGUCUCUGGAAAGUUACUCUCUAACUGUUUAAAUAAACGGUUAACCAUUUUCUUGCGACAUAAAAACUGUUCCAAGGGUUUCCUCUCUCUUCUCAUUUGCCCUCUUAUUGUUUCAGCCAUUGUUGCGCAGCCGAAGCUUUCUCUAUCGUCAAACCUCCAUUUUUCUUGAUUUCCUUGCCAAAUCACACCUAAAACAUCUUUUCACAUCAUCUUUAUAUCAUUUUUACCGAUUCAAAUCUUCAAAUUGAGCCUGAAAUUAAAAAAUCCCAAAUCAAAACCCUAAGGGCAGCCGGUUAGGUUUCGUCAUUUUUGACCUAAUUCGUGUCCUUUUUCAACCCAAUUAGGCUUUCAAAUUCCAUCCUCCACUCUUCCUUGAUCCCAAAACAAUUAUUUUUCGUCCAAAGUCACUGUUCUCAAAAUCCCUCAUUCUCUAUGUUCUUUACCAUGGCUGAGUCAUCUCGGAGAACUCGAAGGAGGAAAGAUACGCCUCAACAGAAUCCCAUACCACCACAGGCAGUCUCUGAAUUCGCAAGAAUUUAUUUUCCCACACCUUCAUUGGCCAAGCGUUUCGAGGACCGCUUCAAUGGCAGAAAGGUACUUGAUUCGUUUUAUGUUGACAUAGAAGACUUUAGAACCUUAAUUGUGUGUGGUAAAAGUGUUAGAAAUAUACUUCAACCUUGGGAGUCCGCCAUUGAUUUUGAUGAACGAGUAUAUCCAAAUUAAGUGCGAGUUUUCUAUUCGAACAUAGAAAUCUCUGCAACUCGCCUAGAUAGGAUAGUUACUCAAGUUGGCGGUGUUCAUAUUGAAUUUGAUGAUGAAGAUCUUAAUGGCUUUCUAGGUAUAUCUAGUGAUGGUCAUAAAAUUUGUACAUCUAAGAAAGCUCUUUCCUUUGAUGGUUUUUGUCAUAAUGAUGGAGUUCGUAAUAUUUGUCAGCGUGAAGAUCUGAGUUAUGAGACUUGUCACUUACCUUUUAAAUCUCAACUUUUACCUCUGCAAGUUCGCAUACUUUACACAAUUUUACAGCAUAUAGUGACACCUAGGAAGGGUCACUCGAAUAAGGUUACGAGGUUAGACGUUGGCUUAUUAGAUAGCCUCAUUUCAGGACGACUCGUUAACCUCGGCUAUGUUAUUGUGAGGCACAUGUUGAGUACUCCCGCGAUUAACCACCGCUUGCUUCCAUAUGGCAGUAUCAUUACUAAGAUACUGCGACGCUUUGAGGUGCCUCUUCUAGAUGCCGGUUAUACGGAGACUAGACGGAUUGGUCCAGAGGACAUGACUAGUAUCGAUUUUUCUAGAAGAAUGGCAAGUGGAUAAAGACUAAAAACUCCAAAAAUCGGGAUACUUUGAUUGCUCCUGAGGACGAUCGGAUGCUCAACGAUAUCUAUCCUUCUUAUCAACUUCCAGAUUUUCGAUUAGGAGCUCAUCCACCUCCUCUACGUCGCCGUUCUGUCCUCCAACCUCUAGCUGACUCUGACUCUGAGGAGCGUGAGAUGGAUGCUGAUAUUCCAUCCACUUCGAUGCCACCUCAAGCUCCAGCUCCAGCACAGCCUUCUGCUCCCGAGCCCUCUGUUGUUCCUAAGAGGCCCUCCGUUUUUGAGCCAUUUCCAGCUCCCGAGUAGCCUCCUGCUUCAGUUCAGCCCCCUGCUUCGGCCUCCUUGCAACAGUUGGCGGAUGAUGUUCGCCGGAUUUCGGAGAGGCAGCAGCUGAUUAUCGAUAGAUGGGACACCUUCUCCCACGACCAUCAGCAGCUUCGUUCGGAGUUUCAGACCUUCCAGCAGCAGAGCAUUGAUCAGCAGCUUGAACUUAUAGCUGGACAGCGCACUCUUCUUCGUUAUUUCGGUUAUGAUCCAGGGAGCACAUCUUCACCACCUUCAUAGUUUCUGAGUCUCAUCUUUGCACAUACAUUUCAUGUUUUGUUUGUUUGUUUGUUGCUAUUUAUAUUUGGGUAUACAUUGCUACUUCUCUAUGAUUUUGAUGAUGGAUUGUUUUUGUGAUGUUCUUGAUGUUGGAUGAUUUGAUGUUGGCUGAUUUGAUAUUAGAUGAUGGAUUUGUUGGUCUAUUGGAUGAUGAAGUUAUUGUUAAUAUAUUUGGAAGUGUUUUUAAUCUCAUUUUGUAUUAGUGGAUUUGUUCCAUUUUAAGGGGAAACUCUGCCAAUUUUUUUUUGCUCGCCAAAGUUGGGUAACUUCUUUCUCACCUCUAUACUUUACAGAUUUCUUUUCCCUCUUUUCUUUUUGAUGAUGAAGGUGGAGAGAUCAUGUUAUGCUCCUGCAUUUUGUGUAUAUUGAUAAAGGGGGAGAUAAUGAAAUAAAAAUAAAAUUCACUUUUAAAAUGCAUUUUACUUUUAAAACGCUUUUUGAAAUGAAUUCUUUUUCAAAACGUUUCCUUGAGCAAAAAUCUGUUUAUUGGAUAUUUUUUUACAAUUGGCCAUACAUUUAGGGGGAGCAUAUAUUAAGGGAGAGCAAAAUAUUGAAUGAAAUUUGUCAUCAUUAAAAAGAGGGAGAAUGUUAACAUGUAUAUGUUAAUAAUAUUGAUUUUGACGAUAACAAACUUUAAAUAUUUUUUAUUAAAAUGUUGGACCUAUUCAUUAAUAAACGAAAGCCUUAUAAUCAUUUCAAUUAUAUUUAUAAAAGUUGGGUAAUUGUUAAAGUUGAAAUUAAAAAAUGAUUCUCUGCAAUAUCUGGCUAAAACUAUGAUUCUGUAAAUAAACGGUGAAUCGUUUAUUUUUAACGGCUAACCGAUUAAAUCAAGAGAGUAACGAAUUGCUUAAGCUCUAACUGGUUAACAGAAACGAAAAACACAAAAUGCUGAGAAGGCAACCGUUUACGAGCAGACAGUCUAUAACGGCUAGUUUUUCAGCUCCAACUAUAAAUAAGCUCAUUCAAAUUCAAACAAGAUUGAUCAUAACACGACCAUUGAGCUUAUAUUCGAGAAUACAAUCUUCAUAGAGCUUUAAAACACAUUCUUGCUUCAUUUAUUCACACAUUGGGCAUUGAUUUGUAAUAUUAAAUAUUGUGUGAGAGAAAAAUAAUUUUUAAUCUUUUACUUUGAGUGAUUGUAAGUGUUGGAAUACACUUAAGUUAAGAAAUUGGAGAUAAUCUCUUGUUGUAAAGGUUCAUUGACACCUUGGAAGUCAAGUGUAAGCAUUUGAAGCCUUUGAGGUUUGCUUAGUGAAAUCCUCAAGCCCGGAAAACUUGGAGGCGUAGACGUAGGUGAUGUUGGCUGAACCACAUAAAAAUCUUCGUGUUUGAAUCUCUCUUCCCUUAUCUUUUUAUAUUAUAAUUGAUUUAAUUUUUAUUCCAUUAAAUUCAUUUUAGAUUUGCAUGAUAAUUUGUUUUAGAAUCAAAUAAUUUUUAAAAUCCCAAUUCACUCCCCCCCUCCUCUUGGGUUGCACACUUGUAUUUCAAAAUUUACUCUUAUCCAGUUUAAUUGGAAGGCAAAUUGAGUCCAAUAAUAAUUGAGACUCAAAGGUUAUACUAAUAGGAUAAGAACAUAAGGACUUAUAUAAGUAAAUAAAAUUUUACCAUUCAAUAGAGCUAAUGACACAUCACCAAAUGAGUUGAGUUAAGACGGAAAAAGACCAAAAGGGGGGACGUUAAUUUGAAGGAAUUAUUGCAAACAUUAAAAACUAAUAAAUGAAAGGCCAAAACUAAGUUACGUGUAACGUAACAUACAAUCAAGAAAUUAAAAUAUCUAUAGACACCCUUAGACUUUAUGGAAACUACAUUAAUAGAAUUAAAAGAAAUACUUUUAAAUCUCAAAGAAGAAAUAAAAGAUAUAAAACAAGAAAUAGGAAAAAUAAAAAUAGAAAUGUCUAUAAUUCAGAUGAGUCAAAAGAAAAAUAAAAAAUUAGAAAAAUUUGAAAUACUAAAAUCAGGAAUAAUUGGAACAAGUUUUAAGAAACCCAUACAAAAACCACAAACAGGCAACUAUGAUACUUGGUUUAUGGAAACUCAAUAUCCAAAAAUAUUAAAAGAAACAGAAGAAUUAAAGGCAGAAUUAAAGAAAAAAGAAAAAGGAAAAGAAAAAUUAGAGAUAAAAGAAACAACUCCAAGUGAUUCAGACUAAUGGAAGAUACAUUAGAAGAAUUAACUGAAAAUUUUAGUGAGAUAAACCUUAGUGACUUAGAAGAUUUUGAAAAAGAAUAUCACAUAAAAAUGAAUACUGCUGGAGGACCAGAAAUGAAGCCUAAUAUAAGAGAACCAAGUCAUAGGUAUACAACGAACAAAAAGAAAAAUAGACCCUUUUUUAAAUAUGUACCACCCGUUAAAAAUACCCCUUGGAAAAAAGAAUAUAAGCCUAAUAAUGAUAAAUUAACGCCAAUAAGCAAUGCAGGAACAUUUUUAGAUUUAGAUUGCAAAAUAGAACCUCGAAAAGCUAUAAUUGAAUAGGGAAUGCAAAUGAAGUUAUUUUUUAUAUACAAUGGUUCUAAGGAUGAUUCGAAUGUAGAAUCUGAAGCAGAAAAGAUAAAUUUAUUCGCUGACAUCCUAAUAGCCAGUUUUUCAGGAAAUGUAUUCAACUGGUGGAAAGGACUAAGCGGAGAUACACAAAAAUUGAUAAAAGAUUCAACUAAAACAGCUUUAGCUAGAGAUAAAGGGUUAGGAAUUGAAAGAUUAAUUGAAUAUAUCGCUAGUGAAUUUUUAGGUGAAGAUUGGAUACAAAAUACUGAAAUAGAAACAAGAAAUGAAAAAUUAAAUGCAAGAAUGAAAUUAAUGAAUUUAACUAUUUGUAACAUGUGUUUUGUAAAAGAAUAUACUUGUGAAUUUAAUAAAUAUUAUUAUGAACAAUUCUACAGUCAAGAAGACCAAAGUAUCUAUAAAAAUUUAUAUUAUUCCAAGUUACCAUAUCCCUUGAAUGGAUAUUUAUUAAUAAAUAUAAGAAAUAUAGUGUUACUAAUAAACUUCCAGAUACUUUAGGAUCUAGAAUAAGAUUUUUAAAUAUAAGAUUAAGUGAAAUAUGCAUUCAAAGAAAUCUAAUGAAAAAGAGUAAAAAUAUAGGAGAAAUAUGUUGUGAAAAGACAGAAAUGCCAACCCAAUGGGGUUGUUAUACACCUUAUAAACGAAAGAGAAAGUUAUAUAAAAAAGAGAAAAAAUAUAAAAAAUACAAUAACUUUAAAAGAAAAUACAAGAAACCAGAAAGAAAGUAUUAUAAAAGAAAGUAUUAUAAAAGAAAGUAUAAAAAUCAAAGAAACAAAUUAGAUAAAUCCAAGUGUAAAUGUUGGAAUUGUGGAGAAAUAUGACAGAUUAGCACAGAUUGUACAAAAAAGAAGGUUAGACUCUUAAGAGAAGAUUUUGAAAACAUAAGAAAUGACUUAGAAGAAAUAAGUGAUAUAUUAGAUUAUGAAGGAAAAGAAGUUUAUGUGGAAAAAGGAUCAGAAUAUGAGUCAGAAUAAAAAGGAAAUAAUAGAGAAAGAAGAGAUAGAAGAAAUUGAAGAAAUAGAAAAAGAAGAAAAUAAAAGUGGAUAUAGUCUUGUUGCCACUUUUAAUAAAGAAAAAUAUAAUAAACUUUUGAAAAUAAAUAUGGAAAAACCGAAAUAUGGGAUAUUACAUAGACUUAGAGAUAUAUUCAAAAGAAAACGGAUAAUAUUACAUGAAUAUUAUGAACAAGAAAAGGCUGUAACAAUUACACAAGCUGAAAGAAAUAUUAGAUUUAGUUUAAUAAAUAAAAGAUCUAUAGAUUUAGCAUUAAGAAAAAUAAAAAAUGAAUCAACAAAAGAAAAAAUUCAAUAUGUAUAUCUAGCAUAAAUUCAAAUAUUAGUAAAAUCCUUUUUCAAAGAAGGAAUAGAUAGUCCUAUAGUCUUAUCACUACAUGAUAAAAGGUUUCAUGAUCCCAGUAUAGGACAUUUAGGAACAAUAGAAGGAAAUUUAUGUUACACUAAACUAUUAUUUACAUGUCAUCCUAGAUAUUGUGUACACAUAAAAGAUAAAAAUAUAGAUGAGACGCUAAGCUUACACUUUAAACUACUAAAAAAGAACUUAAUGAAAGAAGGAAAUAGAUUAAUGACAAUACAUUAUUCUGCAUUAUAUAGUUUUUGUAAUUCGAACUAUGGAGAAAUAUAUGGAAAUAAACCUUAUAUAGAAAUAAAUAAAGAAAGUGAAGAGAUAGCAACCCUUAUAGAACCCACAAUCCAAGACUACAAAAUUCCUAUAAAUUAUGAACUGAACAUAGAUGAUAGAAAGUAAUUUUUAAAUGAUAAUAAUGAAAACUCCAUCAUUCCUAUAAGUUUUGCAGGAAGGACUUUAGUAAGAGGAAGUUCAUCUAGAAGAUUAAGCACUGAUAAAUAAAUAACUAGUAUGGAUAAACAAAUAACUAGAUCAAUAACAACUAAUAAUGUAGUAAAAAUACUUGGACAAUACUUUAAUGGAAUAUAAUAUACGACAAAAAUACAUAUACUAGUAGACACUGGAACGAGCCAUAAUUAUAUGAACCACACUAAAAAUAAAAGGACUCUUAAUAAAAGAAAAAGAAAUUCCAUAUGAAUACACUGAUUUUAAGGUAAUAAACAUAUUUGUAAACAAGAAGUUAAAGUCCCUAUAAUUACAGAAGGAUUUAGAAUAAUAGUAUCUUGUUAUAUAGACUUAUUCAUGACCACAGACCCAGAAAAACAUAUAGUGCUAGGAAAUAGUUUUUUAAAUGAUUUAGAAUACUAUAAAAUUGAAAAACAUAAAAUAACCUUACAAAUAGAAGGUCAAAGAACAGUGUGUGAAACAUGUUAAAACAAGCUUAUAUAAAAUACCCUAUGUCCGUUUAUACACAAAUAAACAUAACAGAAAAAGAUAUAGAUACAUGUGCCUUAAUAGACACUAGUAGUGAAAUAAUAAUUAUGAAACCCUUUUUAUCAAACCAAUGGAAACCUAAUAGAAAGUUAAAAAUCAUUAGAAUAACAAGAGAUAAACAACAAGUAAAUCAAUCUUUGAUAAAUUUUGAAAUACAUUUAGGAAGUAAAAUAGUACGUAUUAAUUAAAUAUUUCAAUAUGACCAUAUGGAUUGUGAUAUCCUCCUAGGAAAUGCCUUCCUACAACAAUUCCAGUACUAUCAACAAACUCCUUAUAUGAUCACCUUAAAAACCCCUUGUAAUCAUGUCCUUCACAUCCCUCGUGAAUUUAAACCCUACCGAGUUCAGCCAGCCCAGCAUGGUGAUAAUAUUAUUUAUGAAAAAAUUAUUUAAUCUUGAAAGGACAUAGUUAUAAUAUACAACUAGAAACAAUAAAAUCACAGCUUGAACAAGUCUAUAAAGAUAACUGAUUAGCAUUAUGGAAACCAGACCAUCCUAGAACAAAAAUAGAAUUAAUUGAAAUAGAAUAAUAAGGCUUAAAUCUAUGAUGUAUACAGAAGAAGAUAGAGAAGAGUUUAAGAUCCAAAUAAAAGAGUUAUUAAAUUUAAAACUAAUAAGAACUAGUAAUAGCCUUCAUAAUAGCCCAGCCUUUAUGGUUAGGAAAAGAUCAAAACAAGUAAGAGGAAAACCAAGAAUGGUUAUAAAUUAUAAGGAAUUAAAUAAAUAUACGAAGUUUGAUGAAUAUUUUCUUCCAAAUAAAGAAGUAUUAAUAAAUCUUGUAAAAAAUAAAACAUACUACUCAAAAUUUGAUUGUAAAUCAGGAUUUUAGCAAAUAAAAAUGGAAGAACACAGUAUUCCUUAUACAGCCUUUAGCACCCCACAAGGACAUUAUGAAUGGAUAGUAAUGCCCUUUAGACUAAAAAAUGCCCCUCAAAUCUUUCAAAGUCGAAUGGAUAAAAUAUUUAGAGAUUAUAAAUAUAUCAUAGUCUAUGUUAAUGACAUAUUAAUAGCAUCAGAAACAUUAGAAGACCAUAGAAACCAUUUAAGAGAAUUUGUUAAUAUAUGUAUCAGAGAAGGUAUAGUUUUGUCAGAAAGAAAAGCAGUCGUAGAACACAAGAAGAUAGAAUUUUUAGAAAUGGUUCUUGACAAAAAAGGAAUUAGACUCUAGAGCCAUAUAGAAAAAAAGAUUACAGAAUUCCCAGAUAAAUUGGAAAAUAAACAACAAAUACAAAAAUUUUUAGGUUGUUUAAAUUAUGCAGAAGGAUUUAUAAAAGACUUAGCAAAAAAGAGAAAUAUACUUCAAAAAUUACUCAGAAAAAAUAAUACUAAAGGAUGGAGUGAAGAACAUAUGGAAACUGUAAAGAAUGUAAUGCUGCGUUUACUUUUUGGAUUGGAGUGAGAAUCCUGAGGAGUGGGAAUCCUUGGAUUAGGAGUGUGGAGUGGGAGUGAGAGUAUGGUGUUUACUUAGAUUAAAUGAAAGUAUGGAUUGUCAAUUAGAAUCCCAAUUAUUUGUUUACUUUGUCUUAGAUUAGGAGUAAAUUGUUUUAAAUUACAAUUUUAUCCUUAUGUACAGAAUUAUAAUUUGUAAUUAAAAAAUUAAUAAAAAAUAUAUUUGGAAAAUAAAAUAAAUAUUUUAUUAUAUUUAUAAAUUAAUAAUAAUUACUAAUAUUCUUAAUUAUGUAAAUCAUAAUUUUUUAUUAAUUUUAAUUUAAAUUAUGUGAAUAAAAAUUAUUAAUAAUAGCAACACAAAUGAAAUAUUAUUAUUGAUAAUAUAGUACAAAAUUAAUAUUUUUUAGAAUAAAAUAUUUAUUAUUAUUAAUUAAAUAAAUAAUUAAUAUUUAUUAAAAUUAAUGUUUAAUAUUAUUAAUUUAAAUAUAAUAUUUAUUUAUUUUAUUAAAUUUAAUAAAAUAAAUAUGAUAUAAUUAUUAUUUUUAAUAAAUAUGAUAUUAUUUAUUUUAUGAAAUAUUAUUUAUUUUAUUAAAUAUUAUUUAUUUAUUUUAUUAAAUAUUAUUUAUUUAUUUUAUUAAAUAUUAUUUAUUUAUUUUAAUUUUAAUUUUAUAAGGAUAAAAUGGGAAGAGGGGGGAGUGGAUUCCCACUCCCACCUCCCCCAAUGGGAGUGGGAAUCCCACUCCCCACUCCAAAUUUGGGUGGGACCCACGGAUUCCCACUCCCACUCCCCCCUUUUUUAAGGUAAGUAAACACUGGAGUGUGAGGAAUCCACACUCCACACUCCCACUCCAGAAAGUAAACACUGCCUAAAAGAAGAAUGUAAAAACCUCCCAUCAUUAAGGUUACCAGAAGAAAAUGAUAAGUUAGUAGUACAAACUGAUGCAUCUGAUUUACAUUGGGGAGCAGUACUUAAAACUGAUAUAAAUGAAAUUUGCCGAUAUACUAGUGGAACAUUUAACCCAGUACAAGUCAAUUACCAAGGUCAUGAAAAAGAACUCCUUGCAAUAUACAAAGGAAUAAAAAAGUUCUCAUUAUUUUUACUCUAGAAAUAAUUUAUUAUAGAAACAGACAAUUCUUAGGUAAAUUGGCUUAUUAGUAAAAUUUUGCCAAAUGAACCUCACUACAAGAGAUUACAUAGAUGGCAAGCGUAUUUGUCAUAUUAUAAUUUUAAAAGGAACUAAUAAUUUUCUUGCAGAUUUUCGAAGCAGGAACAUAGAAUUCGGAGACUGAAUACAGAAGUAAAUAAAACCAUAUCUGUGAUAAACACAGAAAUACAAAGGCUCAAAGCAGAAGCAUCAGACAUGCUAGAUACUAUAAAUUACAUGAAAGAAGCCACAGAGGCUCAUGAGAAGGGAAUACAUUUGUUAGAGUCAUACAUAAACGACUUAACAAAAGGGCUUUCAAUAAAUACUAACCCAAUAAAAAUAGGAAGCAGUAGUGGACCUCUCCCACAACAAGAACCAGUCUGUGACCCAUCCUUCAACCGAACCUUGUCCAUUGAAGUCGAAUCUCCUAAAAAGACUUCUACAAAAAAGUUCAUCAGAAUAAACAGCACUUCCUCAGAAGAAGAAAAAAAACUUAUUACCCUAAAUCCAAAAGAAGAAGAAUAUAAAUAGUUUUCCACAUGGGUGUACUCUACAUGUUCCCACAAUAAUACCAUUUUCAAGGCACCUGAAAAAAAUAUAUACCCCAGGAUGAUAGCUAUAAAAGGAGCAGAUCCUCUCCUCAUUGGAAGAAUAGCACAGUAUGGGUUAGUAUAUCCAGAUACAGAUUUAAGAGAAAUAGUCAGUUUAGAUGAAUUAUUAGUCAAAGAAGUUUCAAAAUUUGCCCAAAAAAGGCCUAUAUACCUAAAAUUUUACACUAUUAGCCCAAAAUACCACCAAAAUGUUGAAUAUCAAGCGUUUUACAUGAUCUCUGUGGGGCACCUUACAAAAAAUUUCCAAAUAGAAGUAGGAACUGAAUAUACAAAUAUUCCUCAAAUAACCAAAUCAUGGAUCAGAACCCGCAGAGCCCGGGGAAUAAAGGCGAUAUGGAGUAUUGCCAAAGACCUUUAUAAAAGAAACUAUAGAACAAUUAUCCGAUUUCAGAAUUAUAUCCUUGUAACCUCAGAGGAUAGCCAUACACCUUCAAAUAUUCUUUUAGAUCUCAUCAAUGAAAUCAGCACCAUGAGAUUCCCUAGUAGCCAUGAAACCAUACAGCAAGCUUGUCAGCUUAUGGAAAUAAAGAUGCUCGACAAAUAAAAGCAGCUCAUGGCAGACAAGAUAAAAAGAAGAUGCUCGUAGCAGACAAGAUAAAAAGAAGAUGCUCGUGGCAGACAACUAAAAUGCUAAAAGAAAAGAAGAAGACAAGAAGUCAAGAAUUGUAAUAAUAAAAUAUGAAAUAAUGAUGUAAGCUGAAAACCAAUAAUGUAAUAGAUACGUAAGCAAUGAGGUCAUAGACCAAUAAUGUAAUAGAAUCUCUUUCAUAUAAAUAAAAAGAAUGAGGAGAAACACACACUCUCACUCAGACGUUUUCAGACAUCCUUCAUUUUUUCUCUGAAAUUAUUAACGAUGGAUCACUAAACACUUGCUUGCUCGAAAUCCUAAAUCAAAACAUCAUCAACCAAAAACAAAAACCAUCAAAGAAAAAGAAGAGAAACCUAAACUUAUCCAACACUUCUUUAUCAAGACGAUCGAAAUCCAUACAGUAAAUCCAUCUGAGUCCACAUAUCCCGCUGAGGCAGGACGCUGUAAGGGCACAGGACAAACAGGCUGCAGGUUACUGGAAGGAGAUCAGAAGGUAAAGGAGAAAGGAUAAAUCAGGUAAUAAUACUCGACUUUUAUCUCUUGGUGGAAGUUUGUUGAUGGUUGUUGGUGGGAUAAUUUAUGGAGUAAGAGCAAAACUUUUAAACUGAAAAACUUUCAAACUGAAACAAACUUUUUGUUUAUAACAUGGAUCACAAGUUUUAUUUAGGAGAAUCUAAAGAAUACAUAAUAAAUCCAACCACUAAAAUAACAUACAAUGAGUACAUGAUGAUAAUAGAUUUUAAUAUAGGAUCAUAUAAAUAGAGUUCAUAUCUGUUCAGUAAAUAGGAACUCGUUAGAAUAGAAGACUUAUUAGCAGUACACUCACUUAAUUUACCUCAAGAAAUAAAACGGAAAAUUAUAGAAAACAUUGAAAUAGACAAUCUAAAACAUAAUAUAAUUAUGCCAACAAUAGAUGAAGGAAUUGAUAUAGCAAAAGCAUAUUUGAAACAUAAAGAUUAUGAAGCUGGACCUUCAUAUACCUAUAAUUCAGAUAAUGAAGAAUUUGAAAUAUAACUUAAGAAAUAUGAAAAGUAUAUAGGCUGGAAACCUCUUUGGGUUGCGGGCUAUUGGUCCAAAGUGCUAUUUUAAUAGCUGUACCUAGGGGUGUAACAACGCCACGCACUUUUCUAUUAUUAAUAUUUAAGUUACAUAAAAAUAUAUGUUCUCUAUGUUUCUGAAUGAACAAUAAUUUGUUGAUCAUAUGUGUUUAUUUAUUCAUAUGAAUCAUUCUUCGCAUUAGUAAGUUAAUUUUGUAAUUUUAAUAACGCACGAAUUAAUUUUGUAAUUUUGUAAAUUUAGUAAUUUUGAAAUUUUGAUUAUUUGAUUUAAAUUUUAAUAACGACGAAAUGGUAUCAGAGCCACGGACUCCAUGGAUCCUAUAAGAACUAUAGUAGACAGUUUGCAUACAUUAAAGGUAUAUGAUAAAGAAGAUAUAAAAAAUUUAAUAAAAGCAAUUAAAACUGAUAAAAAUAAUAUAAGAAAUAUAGAACUUGAACUAACCCAGGAGUUUAGAGAAAGAUUUAUAGAUACAGUAGGUGGUGAAAUUUUAAUAGAAAAGAAAAUAAAAUUUAUAGAUGAAUUUAUAAAAUUUUUAAUAUAUUGGUAUAAAAUAGAAACGCUAUGAAUCAAGCUGUUAAUACAAUACAAGAAUUGGCAAGUAGUAUAGAUCAUUUGUUUUUAGGAUGGGAAAACAUAGUAAAUACAUAUAUAAAUUUAAUAAACCAAAAAAUAGAUUUAUUAGAACAAGAAAGGAUAGGAAUAAUAAAUUUAGAACCAGAUGUCUAUUAUGAAUUUGUAGACUUAUAUGAAUUUGACAAUCAUUUGUUAUUGUUCAAGGAAAUAAAUAAAAUCCUAGAAAGAAUAAAAAAUAGAUGUAUGAGAGAUGGAAGAAGACAAAUGCAUCCAUAACUAUAAAAAUUGGAAAUAGAAAAAAAUUAAAGGAUCUAUAUGAUAUUAGCCAAAAGGAAAUAAGACAAAAGCAAUAAGUUACAAUAGAUGUAACUUAGGCACUCUCUAAAUGAAAUGGUUGAGGAAGCUCAAACACAUGAUGGGCCAACUUCUGUUCAGCCCCUCCAAAUUUGGAAGGGCUUUUAUGAGCUCAGACUUGAGCCUGGGCUUGUCCAAGCUCAGCCCGUUCUCCCUCCCUGUUUGGUCCCACUACUGAACAGAAAGGAAUUCCAACUCCGAAUUAGCCUAAUCAUCUGCUCUCUGCCGAAUUCCAUGGAAAUAUGUGUAAACCAAAAACAAAAUCAAGUUUGGAUUCCUAGAGAUUGUGCAAAGCAAGCACAUGAGCCGCUCCAUGGCCCAAAAGGCGAUUUUUGGACCAUGAUAAAGCGGGCAAGGCAAACGCCAAUACCUACCAUUAUACUUUUAGGUAAAAUCUCUAAAUCUCUUAACCUUAGUCGUGAGAUUUUAUCAAUUAAAAUUACAAUUUAGGUGACGUUUUGAGAUAAUACUAUAACAGUUAUUUUUAAUUAAAAUUAAUUACUCUAAAAUAGACUACCAAAAUAUAUGCUUUCAAAUUCAAUAUUCACAAAUUCAAAUGAAUUAGGUUGUAUGAUAUAUAUCACAGAUGACUCACUUCUAUAAAUCAUUUAAUCUAUCACAUAUAACGUCAACUGUACUUGAUUUGGUUUGCCUUAGCCAUAUGCUUAUACAUACUAAUUUUAAUAGGAUAAUUGAUAAGUCCUUAAUAUUUAUCUAAGAUUAAACUACCUCAAAGACUUAGCCGAGUGAUUUUUAAGUAAUUUUACUUUAUUAAUUACCCGAAUUCAAAUCCUAUGGAAGGCUGAGGGAGAAAAAAUUGAUUGGGUUGGCUGAGGUAGAUUCUUUUUAAGAAGCACUAAUUAGAAAAAAAAUUAAUAUAUUUAUAUAGAUGGCAACUAGAGUUGUCGAUAAAUUUUUUUUUAAAUAUCUUUAAUAAAUUUCAACAAAGUAUUCAAUAUGAGAGAGAUUUGAGAUGAAUUAGAAUGAAACUAAAAAAUAGAGUCUCUUUGACAAUAUAUUAGUAGUGCAUUUAUUAACUAUGAAUCCUAAUAGGCAAGAAUAAAAAUGAAUUGGAAUAAAAAUGAAUUGGAAUCAAAAUGUAGAAGAAUAAAUUGUUUAUUUCAACUGCAAGAACCGAGAUCAAAAUCAACAGUAUUCCAAACUUGAUGUGUUUACUUUAUUUUAAAAUUAGAAUAGAUGAUUGUAAGUUACCAAAAUGGAGUAAAAAGAAAGUUGUAAUUUUCAAUAAAGAUGAACGAUUUUUACUCUUUAUUCUCAUUUCUCCAUUCUUAUUCCCGCCUCUUCCAUCUAAAUGAAAUUCUUACUCAUUCCUAAAUUUAUGAGACUCACUUAAAAUUUAUUUAUAUUUCUUUGUAUUUUUAGCAAGUAAAUAUUAUUAAUAAUUCUCAUUCUUCUUUUUUUUUUAAAUCCCAAAAUAAACACAUGAUAUUUUUUCUAAAUCUAAAAAAUAAACACGUUAAUGACAUUUAUUCCAUCAACAAAAUCAUGUGGUUGUCCUAAAAUUGAUCUAAGAACCCACAUUGACAAUUUGUUUCCUUCUAACUUUAUUUUAACUUUCAAAAGACACGAUUCCACUCCCGCAUUCAACUAAUGGCAAGUGGAUAGUUGCCGGCUGUGAGGAAGUCACUUUCGGGGUGUGUUUGGAAUUGAGGUGUUGUAACUUUUAAGCUACAAUUGCUGUGAAAAAAAAGUUGUAACUAUGAAACAAAAAUUAAUAAUAUGUAAUAAAUAUUAAUUUUAAAUAAUAAUUUUGACAAAAUUAUUGAAGAUAUAAUAGAUUCUCUAUUAUAUAAGUGAAAAAUCAUAUUAACAUAACUUUCAGGUUACAACAGAUAGUGUUUACCAAAUACUUUACUGUUAUAACUUUUAAGUUAUAUCUGUCCAACAUCAAUUCCAAACACACCCUGAAUUUAGUGAUUGUCACGCUUGUGAGUUAUGACUAGUUGAUAACAAAAAAGGAAAGUGGCUGAAAAAUCAAAUUACUCUUUUUUUUUUAAAAAAAAAAAGAAUUUUGACCGUAGACUCUCUAGUCUCUACUAAUUGUGAGCAAGAUUAGACAUGUCACCUGUAAUUGUAAGUCGCAUCAGGGGGCCUAUCUCCCUAAAAAAUAACCAAAACGCACAAUAAAAGAAAAGAAACAGAGAGGGGGAUUUGUGAAAUAUUGAAAAUUACGGUCAUAAUAAAUUUUAAUUAAUAUAUGUACUACAACUACUAUAAACAAUAACAGAUAAAUUAAGAAUAUUUAUUAUUUAAUGAUUUUUUAUCAUUCUAAUUUUGACUAAUAGAUGAACUUAGUAAUUUUGAUCAAUUAAUGAGAUAUUUCUUUUUUUUAAACCUUUAUACAACCUUUAUACAAUUUUGAUCAAUUAAUGAUUCUAGUAGACUCAUAUCACAAAAGAAGACCUUUGUGAUCAUGUUUGGGAGUUUCAUUUUAAUAAGGUAUCUAAUUUUAGUAUGGUGCUUGUUAUACAUUAUUAAGAGAGUCUGGUGAGUGGAGACUCACCUCUUGAUUUCAGUCUGCCCAUUGAUGUAGUGCCAAAUUACUGGAACUUGCAUGAGCUUGAAAAGCGAACGUAUAAUACUUAUACGUUAAUGUUUUGACGGGUUAAAAGUUUGAUCACUUGUACCCUUGGUAAUGAGAUUUCAAAACCCUGAGGAACAAAACUCAUGAUUAUAAUCUGCCUAUCUGUAAGGCAUGGCUCAUAAUUCAGGCACUCACUCAUGUACUAUUCCCUUGACUAGUCACGAGUAAAUCAUACGUUGGUGGUACAGGACCCCUGCUUGUGUGCUUCAAGAAUGAAGUACUGCUGGGUUUGCCAAAUACUUUCAAGAUAUAGCAUAACUUUCCAAUGAGAAAGCUCGACCAAACGAAAAAACAGGAAGAAUCACAUAUUUUAAAUAUGUGUUCUCUUUGGAUCCUAAGAACUCAUCUUCGGCUUUGUUUAGACAAUAUUUAUUUGAAUUUUAGUUGGACCCAUAAUAUUUUUGGUCCAAUAGUGUUAAAUUAGUUUUUCACUUUUAAAAUGUAAAGAAAAUAUAUGAAAUUUACUCAAAUUAUCAGUGCAAUUAGAUUUCUCAUUACAAGUUAUUAAUAAACAAAAGUAAUUAAAAACACGAUCAGUUGUUAAUACUUAUGUAACUUACACAGAUCCCAGUAUAUAUACGGUGGACAUGUUCGGCCGUUCGGCAAACAGUUUUUGUUUCCUCUCAAUUAGUUGGUAAAAACUAUAAACGAAAGAGCGAGACAGAGAAUAUUGAAGCAAAACCAUCCAUCCAAUUACACCAGCAAACAAGAGUGAAGAGCAUUUAUUGUUAAAAUGUGAAUUGCUUAAAUAAAAACCUUAGUUUGCAUGAACUUUAUGUAUACGUAUAUAUAUUACACAUAUAUAUAAUCCUUCUUUAGUACGGGCGUAGUUCAAUAAAGUUAGUGCAUAACGUUAUAAAACCGCAUAGCUUAAAACCGUGUUCGCAUUAAAACAAAUGAAGGCAUCCACACCUGAAAAUGAUUACAUAUAUAUGUGUGUGUGUGUGUCACUAAUGUACAGAUAAAUUCAUUGCAGUCAACAGAUAAACAAAUAAUUGAUUUCUCAUACUGACGUGCUAGGAAAAAUAUCAGCAUACUAAAGUAUCAUGUAAUGAUUUAUACACAUCCUUUUAAUAUGUACACGAUCAAUUUAGAUGUCGCUAAGGAAUUUUUGUUCUUGCUAGGUAAAUCAUAAAUUUACUCCCAGAAGACUAAUUAAAUAGAUUUAAUUUAGGUUCAAAAUACAACCAGCAAUGUAACAAAUCCACAUUAGAAAAUGAUUCAUGGUCACCUAUUUGCCAAAUCUUACCCAUUCAAGUACAAAAUCUGAAAGAUGAACACAUCAGCAACACGAAACACAACCAAAUGAACACAACCACCACAUAGGGUGGAAUCGAAAAAAAAAAAAAAAAAAGCACAUAAACCUGAAACUAUACAUACUACUUGAUCUAGACAUGGUAUUGGAGAUGUUCCCGAUAGAGCUUGAGCAUGUUGGAUGCAUGAUUAAGAGAUGCUCUUUAAUAGAGUCUCUGAUGCAUUGUGUUCUCAUUAUUCGUUAGUGUGAACUAUGAAAGUAAAAAGUUUGUUCAACUAUUUAUUCUAUCAGAUUAUCUAUAGAUUGAUCUCCAAGUCUGUUAUGGACUAGUUGUUAUACUAUUAUGUUAUUGUUGGAAUGAAAUUAUAUCUCUAUGAAAAAAUAAAGAAAUUUUUUUUGGCACAUUUGUAUUCACCUGUUGGUAUUAACGACAUUAAUUCUUUUUAUACAAGUAAGAGGGGGGAGAAGAGAGAUAUGCUAGAAAGAUUAAUAUAUUUACAUGACGGGUCCAGCUACAUUGCGUCGGACGGUGCCUUACAUGACACAUAUGUAAUAGACACCUGAACUUUAUAAUUCUCGUUUUAGAAGCAAAUCUUAUUUAAAUAUCUAAUAUACUAUAAAUAGUACUAACAAAAUUUGAUACAAUCCAUUUAGCAAACAUGAACACAACACAAAAAAGUAGAUUUAGAUUAUUAAAUUUGACACGAUAAUUAAAUAGGCCGUACCCUUUUUAACACAAUUUUUUGGCUUCUCGAGUUAGGUUUAUAUUCUUGGGAUAAAGAUCCUCUCCUGAUCUGAGCUCUCAUGAGCUUUUAAAAAUCUUGUUCCAUUUGUCUUUAAGUAAUAGUGUAUGGGUAGAAUUUAAUUUUUUAAUUUUUUAAUUUAUUAACUACCAAUCACCUACAUGUAUUUUUUCUCAGGAGGAGAUCAGAUCAAGAGAGAAUCGUUAUCCUAUAUUCUUGACCUAUCUACUCAGUUAACGAAACAAUUACUUACGAAGGAUAAACAUUUAUGUGGUGUUCCAUUUCAUAAAAUUCUAGAUGCUUUUAAAACCUGAAUGGUGUAAAUAUGUAAUAUAUCAAUAAAUAUGUAUAUUUUUUAUGAUAUCAAUAUAUAAUACUAUUUAGAUAUAUAAAAAUUGUAAAAUUUUUAUUAAAUAGGAGCAAAAAUGAUUGAUAUAAAUCAUGUUAAAUGAGUGUUAAUUAAAUAGAUUAUAAGGUAUCUCGCGACACAAUUAUUAAUUAAUAAGUUACGUUGUGUCAAUUGUUAUUUUUCAUAUCAAACUUAAAAUUUUAAUAUUUUAACAUAAUUAUUAAAUAAAUAUUUUAAUAUUUUAACAUAAUUAUUAAAUAAAUAUCUAAAUCACUCUAAAUUUUACAUGGCACGAAAACCACUUUGUCAUCGGUUUUGCCACCUCUAAUAUCACAAUAAACAACCAAGUCAUCAACUUGUUGUUUUGCCAAGCAAUCACUCAGCAUCUUGCCACGUAUUUGAGCCAGAGCCCAAACGCCCGAUUUUCGUCCUUCAAUUGAAGGAUGACUUUGCUCUGGGGCUCGUGGCAAGAAUGCAUUAUCGGACCAGUAUUAACUAUCAUCAUUACAGAACAGUAUCUAAACCACGUGACCUCCCACCGCUUUUUUUUUUUAAAUAGAUAUUUAUUUCUUUUAUAAUACCGAUAACACCCCCGACCGCUCGUUUUACAUAAUCAUACUCUAAAAAGGUUAAAAUAUCGUAAAUAAAAAAUAUUCUCAACUUUAUUAUCAAUCUUCAUAAUAAAGUUGAAUAAUAAAUCAAGUGAUAAAAAAAUUGAAUAAAAUAAUAAGUAAAAAAGUAUUAACUUUUUAACUUGUAGGCCUGUAGUUCAAUAAUAUCUACGAGAGAAUGAGUUUGAGCCACGUAAAAUUUAUUAUAUUUAAAAAAUAAUAAAUUUGUCGGUCGUAUAUUUCUACAUACUGUAAAUGAUUUUAAAAAAAUUAAAUAUGGGCAUUUUAGCAUUGGACUCGACUAGCUUACAGAAUCUGUAAGGUACAGACUGCAGCAUCAGCCGUUGGAUGUGGUUGGAUGUGGAGUGAGAAACUAAACAAUAGAAAAUCGGAUGGUGGGAUGACGGGAGAUGUUUGUUACAGAACCUGUACCAUAGACAGGUCCUUUAGCAUUAACAUAUUUUUAUAUUUUGAUGUUUUUCGGAGUUAUUACAAUUACCUCAUUUUUCGCAGCUUCUGGUCAUUCCUUUCAUUCGCUUGCUCUGUAGUAAUAGCUGCUACCACACAGAAUGGAACUGCGAAAAAGAGAAGAACAGGAAAAUGAUGUCGUUUUACUGAAGAAGAAGAAGACGAAGAUGAAACUGAUAAAGGAGAGAAAGCGAGAGGAAAGAAAAGAAAAACUAAAAGAAGAAGAAACUGAAGAAUUAUUGCAGGACGCACUGGAUGCUUUUGGUAGAGACAUAAUGUUGAUGAUACUUCAAAACCUAAAAGCACACAGCGUAGCACUGACUCUCCUUGUAUCCCGUGCUUGGAACGGCGUCGCUUCAAGCGACACGCUUUGGACUCCCAAGGUUCAUUUCCUUUCCUAUUCUUUCUUUUUUUUCCCCAAUCUUUUUGCCUCGUACCUGAAUUUAGGUUUGUUUCUUUUUUAAAAAAUUUAAUUAAUUAAUUUAGUGCAUUCUUCGGAGAAUAUGAGAGUUGGGUUUUUUUAGUUUCACAAUUGGGUUUUUGUUUUAAGUAUUUUUGGUUGGUUGUUUGAAAUAAUCAUAUCAUGAAUACAAUUGAAUUUGAAUAUAAGCUUUCCAUGUCAUUAUUGAGUUUUAUGUUCCUAGUUUACAGGAAUUUUUAUUCAGCGCUGAGCUGAGAUUUUUGUUAAUCUUUUAGAAAGAUAAGUGUUGAAUCAAAAUAGAGUAAAAACUCUAAUUGAUCAAGAAGAAGAAAAACUCUCUUUAGAAUAAUCUCACAAAAUUGCAAAAGAGAAGAACUCUAAAGAAAACUUUCAAAUGCUUAUAAUAAAGCUUUGAUUGUUGAAUUAUAAAACUCAAAUACAAAUGAGGUAUUUAUAGAUUACAAGAAACAAUCUAAACCACUCAUUAAAAUAACCACAAACUAAUUUAAACCAUUGAAAUUAAACAUGGGAAAAAUACCUAAUUUUCACCUAACUAAAUUGAUGUAAGCAAUGACAUCAAAUUAAUUUAGGUGUGGACUUAUUUGGGCUAAUAUUGACUUCUCAACACUCCCCCUCAAUGUUAGCCCCCAUUCUUUGAAUCACGCCAAGCUGACGACGGAAAUGUUCAAACUUUCCAACACUCAAGCUUUUUGUAAACAAGUCAGCAGUUUGUUCAUCUGUCUUAACUUGCCUCAUCUCAAUCUCUUCUUGCAGAACUUUUUCCCUAACAAAGUGGUAAUGCACUUCCACAUGUUUAGUUCUUGCAUGAAAAACAGGAUUCUCCGCCAGCCGAAUUGCCGAUUGGUUGUCACAAUACAACAGAACUGCAUAAUCUACUGGUUGAUGUAGAUCAUUCAUUAGUUGUAUCAGCCACGUGCUUUCUUGAGCUGCCAUUGCUGCUGCUCGGUACUCUGCUUCCGUAGUUGACAAGGACACAGUCGGUUGUCUCUUGCUACACCAAGAAAUCGUUCCAGAUCCAAGGGUAAACAUAUACCCAGUAGUUGAUCUGCGAGUAUCGUGAUCUCCUGCAUAGUCAGCAUCACAGUAGCCAACUAGUUUGCAAUUUCCACCUUUCUUGUAUAGAAGACCAUAGUCUAUUGUACUCUUCACAUAUCUGAGUACUCGCCGAACCGCUUCUAAAUGAGACUUCUUCGGAUUUUGCAUGUAUCGACUCAUCACGCCAACUGCAUAAGAAAUGUCAGGUCGAGUCAAGGUUAAGUAGAUUAGACUACCCACUAAUUGUCGAUACAUCGAUGCAUCUUCCAGGUCUUUGCCUUCAUGUGCACACAUCUUGGCAUUUGGUUCCAUCGGUGUUGAGAUCGGCUUACAUUCUAGCAUCCCAAACUUCUUCAACAAAUCUUUGGUAUAUUUCUGUUGACAAAGAAAUAUCCCUUCUUUCGUCUGAUCAAUCUCUAGCCCAAGGAAAUGCUUAAGUUGUCCAAGUUCUUUCAUUUGAAAACGAACUGACAAGUUCUCCUUUGUUCGGAAAAUUUCUUCAACAUCAUCUCCAGUGAUGAUUAGAUCAUCUACGUACACGAGCACAAUAGCUAUCCUUUCUCCAUUAGCUUUAGCAAACAAGCUGGAGUCUGCAGAUGUUACUGAAUACCCACUUUGAGUUAGAAAUUCAGCAAUCUUGCCAUACCACGCCCUGGGUGCUUGUUUUAGUCCGUAAAGAGCCUUUCGCAGCUUACACACAUACUCAGGAUGACCUCGGUUCUGGAAACCCAUCGGUUGAAUCAUGUAGAUCUCCCGAUCCAGCUCUCCAUGGAGAAAGGCAUUCUUCACGUCCAUCUGCCACAAGUUCCAACUUUUGUUGGCUGCAAGUGCAAGUAAGACUCGGACGGUUGUAAGUUUUGCCACUGGACUAAACGUUUCGUCAUAGUCUAGUUCAUAUUGUUGAGAGAAACCACGAGCUACCAAUCGAGCCUUGUACCUCUCGAUUGACCCAUCUGGACGGUGCUUUAUUUUGUAAACCCAUCUGCAGGAUAUGGGUUUCACAUCUUUUGGCUUUGGCACGAGUUCCCAGGUCUAAUUUUGCUCAAGUGCAGUGAUCUCGUCUUUCAUAGCUGUCAUCCACUCAGAACUCUGUGACGCUUCUUCGAACGUCUCAGGUUCUAUUCCAGUUGCUUCUUCAACUAUGGCUGCAUUAGCGUAUUUGGGAUUUGGCCUCCGGGUUCUUGUUGACCUUCGUAAUGGAGUUGAUUCUUCUGUUUCACUAGGCACACCUUCUUCAUCUGGUUGUCGAUACACCCCAGAUUGCCAAGGAUUUAGAGUUACUCUUCGUUCGCUAUCACUAUCGCAUAGAUCUCCAGCUGAGCUUAGAUGAAUUUGGACAGUAUGCUCCUCCAUCUUUUGUUGUAGCAUGUCUCCGAAUUCUUUCGAGUCUGGCAGUACUUCUUUUUCUGAGGUCCACCAUGAGGAUGCUUCAUCAAACACCACAUCUCGUGAUGUGUAGCACCUUCCAUUUACUGGAUCACAACACUUCCACCCUUUUCGCUGAUUGUCGUAUCCCACAAAGAUACAUCUGACUGCUUUCUUAUCGAUCUUGCUACGUAGAUGGUCAGGAACAAAUACAUAGCAUACACAGCCGAAUACUCGAAAAUAGCUAACUGUAGGUUUCUUGUUCCACAAUUUCUCAAAGGGUGAAACAAACUCCAACCUUGGUUGAGGAAGCUUGUUGAUGACAUGAGCUGCAGUUCUCAUACCUUCGGCCCAAAAUCUUCCAGGUACAUUCUUCGCAUGUAGCAUACUCCGGCAAAUUUCAGUAAGGUGCCGAUUCUUCCUCUCUGCUACACCAUUUUGUUGUGGCGUAUUAGCACAAGUAUACUGAUGACGUAUUUGGCAUUCCCGUAGGUAUUGAGAAAACUCUCUCGAGCUAUACUCACCCCCGUUGUCUGUGCGCAAGCAACGAAUCUUUUGCUCCACUUCUCCUUCGACUAUCUCUUUGAACUCUUUGAACUUUGAGAAUGCUUCAGAUUUUUCUUUCAUGAAGAAAGCUCAUACAUAUCUGGAGAAAUCAUCAAUGAACGUAACCAUAUACCGCAUUCCGCCAAUUGAUGGUUGCUUAACGGGUCCAAACACAUCAGAGUGAAUUAACUCUAAUGGUUUCUUUGCUUUAAACUUCGACUCCUCGUAUGGCAAUUGAUGUGCUUUACCAUAUUGACAUCCCGCGCAAACAGUAUUUGUUCUCACGUCAAGUUGAGGAAGUCCCUUAAGCAUCGACUUCUUCACCAUCACACUUAGCUUGGAAUAAUUAACAUGACCUAGCCGCAUGUGCCAUAGAUCUGCCGUCUCAUUCCUUCUUGUCUUGUCUACGUAUGCAGACUCAGCUGACAUCACAUAAACUGACUCCAAUCGCCGUCCCUCCAUCGUAGGCUUUUCUGAGAUCUUUAGGUCUCGGAAUACCUUCACAUUUUGUGGACCAAACAAGACAUAGUGCCCUAAUGAUGUCAAUUGAGCUACGGAUAGCAAAUUUUUCUUCAUUCCUGGAACAUGGUAGACAUCUUGAAGUGGCACUUGGUUGGGACUAUAUCGAGGUGUAACGAUCGCUUUACCGAUGUGAGCUAUCGGUAACCUUGAGUUGUCAGCUGUUACCACCACACGAUUUCCCUUGUACUCAGAACAGUUUUGCAACUUCUGUCUAUCACCCGUCAUGUGAUUUGAGCAGCCUGAGUCUACGAUCCAAUCAUUCUCGUAGUUAAUCUUUUCUGGUGUUGUUACCGUGAGAGCUAAUUCUUCUUCCUCCAUAGCGAGUAAUGCUUCGGCAUCCCAGCUAUCUUCACUAUCUUCUUUAGAACUAAAAGUAGCAAUAUUGCUUUCGGUAGACUUCUUUUUGGACCAACAAUCUCUCUUCAUGUGGCCCUUCUUCCCGCAAUUGUAACAUUCGCCAUCGAACUUUCUAUUACUGUCGCGAUUCUUCGAAGCUCCCCCUGGACGAGAGCCAUUCCCUCCCUGAUGACUUUUUGUCUGUUCACCAGUCUUUCUAGAUCCGCCUUUGUUGUGCUGUCUUGAACCACCUCUGCUUUGGUUGGUGUAAAGCGCUUCCUCUUCACCCUUUAGUGAGACUCCUCCCAUUUUCUUGGCCAUAGCUUCUUGGCCUGUCAGUAAAUUUUCAAACUCAACAAGUGAUGGUUGUGUCGGCCAUCCUUGUACAGCGGCUACAAAGCUUCGGUAUUCGGGUCUCAAGCCAUGGACAAUUAUUCUUUUUAUCCUGGCUUCCCCAAUAGCAGCUGUCGGAUCUAAUUCUGAAAUUUCGCGGCAUAUCGACUUCACCUUGUGAAAGUAUUGGGCAACCGCCAUGUCGCGUUGCGCCAUUGAUAGAAGUUCAUUCUCGAGAAGUUGCAAUUUUGUAUCGUUCCUCUUCGAAAAGAGUGUAGCGAAGGUGUCCCACGCUUCCUUCGGUGAUUUAGCAUCCCGAAUGUGCUCCAACAUUUCUUCUUCUAUUGUGGUCUUUAAAGCAAACAUUGCUUUGCCUGCUUUAAUUUUCCACUUCCGCAAGACGCCGUUAGCAUCUUCUGCUGCCGGUUGUGUAACUUCACUACCACCGACAACCUCCCACAAGUCUUGACCUUGAAGGUAAGACUCUAUACACGUUGCCCACGUGUUAUAGUUUUGGUUGUUGAGCUUCUUGAUUCCUCCAACAACUUGAAGAUCACCCAUCGUAUCGACAAGACUUUGACUACACCGAACAAGCUUGAGUGACUAUCGUGCAGAGUAAUACACUACUCUUGACACAAAGAAGCUCCCUCUCAAGGUUUGUGAUAACCCCAGCAAUAAUCUCAAGAAAUCUUUUCUGAUGUGGAAGAUCAGUCAAAACUGCAACCACAGAGCAUACUCGGAAUUUCAAGAGACUUUACAACCAAUGCUCUGAUACCAAAUGUUGAAUCAAAAUAGAGUAAAAACUCUAAUUGAUCAAGAAGAAGAAAAACUCUCUUUAGAAUAAUCUCACAAAAUUGCAAAAGAGAAGAACUCUAAAGAAAACUUUCAAAUGCUUAUAAUAAAGCUUUGAUUGUUGAAUUAUAAAACUCAAAUACAAAUGAGGUAUUUAUAGAUUACAAGAAACAAUCUAAACCACUCAUUAAAAUAACCACAAACUAAUUUAAACCAUUGAAAUUAAACAUGGGAAAAAUACCUAAUUUUCACCUAACUAAAUUGAUGUAAGCAAUGACAUCAAAUUAAUUUAGGUGUGGACUUAUUUGGGCUAAUAUUGACUUCUCAACAAUAAGAAUAUAAAAUUAAUUAAAUCUUCACCUAAAAUUGCUAUCCAUGCAUGUGUGGUAGAUGAUUAUGAAGAGAUGAGCACAGCCAAGCUCAGUACUGGAUCUAAAUCCAGCUUACAGGAUUUCUUGUCCGCCAGGAGCAUUAUAUGAAUACUCAACUUAUUUUUGACUCAAUUUACUACUCGACUUGGCUUUCUUGACCAACUUGAAUUCGUCUGAGUAUUCUUGAUUUAAGCUGAAUAUUUUUUGUCUAGUAUCUAUUUGUCUUUGUUCACCCCUUAAGGAUAUAUCUAUGUAAAGUAACUUAGUUGAGGUAUAUUGUUGGUAUAUUUUAUUUUUCAAAAUCCUGGGCCCUAGGAAGCUCUUUCUUAUGAUUGAAACUAGACCUUGGGUAAAUUAUUGGUUUAUUUAAAGGAUUGGGGUAUAUUUUUAUAUAAAACCAAACUGAACUGUGAAUGCCAAUGCACGUUUUUACUGCCUUAUGGCCUAAGUUGCUUAUUCGUUCUGAUUGCAUGAUUUGUGAAGAUAAAUAUAUUUUUAACUUAACUUCAGUUAUUUUCUCUGCUUGAUUUGAAACCUACCCGGAAGAGAAUAUCUACCUUUUAUUUUUAUUUUUAUUUUUUUCAGUUCUCCAGGUAACUUAAUGGGUCAUGCUUCUACUUUGAAGAGUAACUGAGUAAAGAUAAUUCACUUGAGUUUCCUGUCUAUUUUAGUGCGAGGAACUGUGGUUGGGGGAAGCGCACAUACCUCGUUCAGCUGUAGUCCAGGGGUUAUGAAAGCUGGCCGCAUAUUCAUUGUCUGUCACGGAUGGAAAACGCGUGAGUGCUGAUCAAUCUCCCUUUGUUCUCCUGUCUCUCUUUUGAAUCACUCACUCUCCAUAUGCAUGUUUGAGCAAGCUAUCACCAACUAUUCUUUUUUUAAAAUUUUCUUAGACUCGUAUCAUGAAAGAAGACCUUUGUGAUCAUGUUUGGGAGUUUCAUUUUAACGAGGUAUGUAAUUUAGUACAGUGCUUCUUAUACGUUAUGAAUUAUUGGUAAGGUCUGGUGAGUGGUGACUCGCCUCUUGAUUUCAGUCUGGCCUUGAUGUGCUGCCAAAAUUACUAGAACUUGCAUGAGUUUGAAAUGUGAACAUAUAAAACAUUAAUGUUUUGACGCUUUAAAAGUUUGAUCAUGUGUAGCCUUGGUAAUGAAAUUUCGGACCAUGAGGAACGAAACUCAUGAAUUAUAAUCUGCCUAUUUGUAAGGCAUUGCUCAUAAUUCAGGCACUCACUCAUGUAACUAUUCCCUGGACUGGUCACAAGUAAAUGAUAAUCCUGGUAAUCCUAUAUUCAAACAUUUCUUAGCAUGCAUCCAAGGCAUUUGUUGUGUGUCCUUUACUUUACUGUGCAGCUUUCUACUAUUUUGUUGGAAACUGAAAUGAUCAAUUGAUCGGAUGAAUGCCUUUGAAUGCCAUUUUGCCUUCAGGUGGUACCAGAGUAUUGGCUUAAUCUCGACCCCUACUGGAAGGGUACUAGCCCCUAAUGCACCGUUACUUUCAUGAAGAUGGGAGUCAAACUGCAGAUCCUGGUGACAAGGUAUGGGGUGGGCAUGAAUGCUGUUACUCUAUAGUUACCAGUGUUGUUGGUGAAGGAAAGAUUAGGGAGCACUAUGUUAGAAUAAACCGCUGCUGGCCGCAUAUGCUUGUCUCUAGGAAGAAGGACUGGGGCUGGGAAAUGUCGAAUAUCCUCUACUGCUACUCCAGUGUUCCUGAUGGCCACAGGGUUGGUGGUACAGGACACCUGCUUCUAUGUGUCUAGAAUGAAGUGCUGCCGGUUCGCCAAAUAGACAUAGAAAUAUAGAAUAACUUUCCAAUGAGAAAGCUUGACUAAAGUGAAAGACAGGAAGAAACACAUACUCCAAUGUAGUGUUUACUGCCGUUUAUCAAUUGACUUUUCUUUUUCCCUUUUAUUAAAAUGAGGCUUCUCAUCGGAAGUCCUUUGUUGUAAAAUGUCAUAAGUGGUAAUUGGUACUUCGUUAUUUUGCGGAAUAAAAUAGUUACAAAGUGUUUUUGGAUAUGCAAUGGACUUUACUGAGAAGUUUUUUUGCUCUUGUGCAUGACCCACGUGGCUGCUUCCCUCAACAGAAACAUAUUUAUAGACUAUUUUUUUAAUCUUUUUAUUUUUAAAAAAAAUUGGGGUACAGACAAAGUUUAAAUUAAUAUUUUUUACUCUUAUUUUUCCGGAACCCAAUUUAUAGAUUUUUUUCAUUUUUUUUUAAUUUUCUAAAAAGGUUAAGUUGUGGUUAAAAUUUAAAUUAAUAUUCAGUUUUUAUUAUUCUAUGAUUCAAGUGGUCAAUAAAAUAAGAUCUGUUGAUAUAUAUUAGAUCAAGCACCUCUAGCCCUAGUAAUAUAUUUUUACAUUAUAAAUUAAUGUUGCGGGUAUAAUUAGGUUCGGCAACCUAGCAUUUCUCAUGAGAGCCUGCACAAGGGUUUUUUAUAAGAGUUUAAGAAAAAAAAAGUUUAUAUCAGAUUUGAUUCUUUUUUUUAAUAUAACUUAUAAAUUAAAAUAGAAAAUAAAAAAGAAUUGAAAAUUUAAAUCCCUAAUUCAUAAAUUAAAUGAUGAUUAAAAAAUAUAAUAUUAUAAUAUUAAACUCUAUCUUAAGUUUUAAUUAAUUAAAGGAUUUUUAAAUUAGAUAAUUUAGUAUUAAAAAUUUAAAACUUUUAUUUACUUCAUUUUUUAUUUAUUAAUUUAUUUUAAAUGGUUAAUUUCUUUAAUUGAAUGUUAUUAUUAAUUUAUUAUAAAUUUAUAAUAAUUUUAAAAAAUUAAAAAAUAUGUGGAAGCUCAACUCAGCCUUUAUAUUUUCCUUAACAUGAAUUUGCGCAUGGGCUAGAAAAGUCAAAUCCGACCCAUCAAUUUGCCAUCCUUACGCACAAUCUGAUAUUUUGAUGAAAUUAAGAGGAAGGACAUAAUCUGCAAGCAUUUUCAUACAGGUCCUUAUGAGAAUGUUGAGGACUUGUGAGAGAUUGUUACACCACCUUAGCCCUUUGUAUGUUAAGAUGAUUGAGACAAUGUUCUAUUAUGCGGUAGAGUAAUAAGUCUUACAAUGGGAUUCAUAGUAGUGUUAAAGUAAAAUAUAUUAAAUUUGAAAGUAUAAGUAAAUUUUAUUAUAAAAAUAUCUCAUAAACUCAAUAGUUCAUGAAAUAACUUCACACAAUUUUUUUAUAAAAAUAUAAAUAUGUAAAAUAAUUAGAAUUUUAUCACUUGAUAAUCAAAUCAAUUUUAUAGUAAGAUCUAUAAUAUUAUCAAAUAAUAGAUCAUUCUACUGAGGUGGUGCGUCCACCAUAUAAGUUUUUGUCUCUGCGUUUCUGUCACAAGACCCUAGGGCAGGGAUUCAAAUGAAAAUGGUACAAAUUGUUAUUCUUAUUUGUACUUUACCAAAACUGAGGAGAACAGUGGUCAAUAUCCCGAAUAAAGGAAAAUUACAAGACGACGUGUCCAGUUGCCUACAUUCAUCAUCACUGCUGAGCACACCUGAAGAAGGACGAGCUCUGUUCCCCAUCCUCUUCGUGUCACUCACUCACUGUCUCUGUCUCAGUAUCACUGAAUGGAGCUGCAAGAAAUGGAAGAAAAACUGCAAAACGGGGACGUUUUAUUUGAGGUGAUGAAGAAGAAGUCGAAGAAUAAGAAGUUGAAUUAUCACAGGACCCACUUGAGGUUUUGGGUAGAGACAUAAUGUUGAUGAUAUUUAAGAACCUCGACGCACGCAGCGUGGCACUAUCUCUCCUCGUGUCCCGUGCUUGGCACGGUGUCACUUCCAGCGAUUCGAUUUGGUCAUCCAAGGUUAAAUUUCUUCUUUCUUUUUUAACCCUUUGGCUUGUAAUAUGUAUUUGAACUUGGGAUUAGUUUAGUUGUAUUGAUUUAGUGCUUUCCUUGGAGAAUUUUGAUCAUUGGGUUGCUCUAAUUUCACAAAUGGGUUUUUGUUUUGGGAAAAUGGGAGAUUGCCAAUUUCCCCCUUAUUAAAAUCACUAUAUACCAAUUUCCUCCUUACUAUUUUCAUAAUGACCGAUUUCUUCCUGCCGUUAUAACAGUAACAGAAGCUGCUCAAUUUUUAAGUACUUUACCUAUAUUCCCCUAGUGUCCAAAUGACAGGAGAUUGGCGCCAAUUUUCUUAGCCCUAGUGGAUAAAAUUACACAAUUACCCACGUGUUUUAAUUGAUAUAUAACAAAGUGAAAUUUUAAAAGUGUCCUUACUUUUAGAGUCAAAAAGACUUAAUUGCCAUUAAUGUAUGGAUUGAAAAAAUAAAUAUUAAUAGGAAGAAUAACGUUUAUUUUCUAAUUUCAUGAAUCAAGCUAUAUAUACUCGUAAAACACAAUUGCAAUAAGCCAAAUUUGCGUCACUUCUGUCAAACCACAUUCCUUGCACAAACAUUCCCAAAAUAUUCUAUCCUUUCAACCAUCUAUGUCUCCAUGGUUAUAAUCUUGCAAAAAUAUAAAUACCCAAUCACUUAUUACAAAAAGAAUCCAACAAAACCUUACCGCAUUGCCCAAAAAAAAAUUAUAUAUCUUCAUUAUAAUCAAAAUCAGGGAGUAAUUGUUUGAUGCGUCAAUGGCAUAUAAGCUAAAUGCAAUCAUAAUAUAAGAAGAUUCCAUCAUAGGUAACAAAAAGUAAAUACAAUAUUCAAAUGGGUAUGGAUUUUGUUGCCACAUACCCAACUAAUGAAGCCACCUUUACCCCCUGCUACAAUAGUUAACAAAACUAAUUAGAUAUCACAUUUUACUAGAUACUACAUGCAACCACCAAAGCCAUCGGGCUUAGAAGCUGAUGGUUGAGUUGCAUUCAACCUAUCUUUGCUCUCUUUUCUGACUUUUUUUAGAACAGGCUCGGUAUUAAUAACCCCAUUAUUGUUGUUGUUACCAGUUCCUUGAUCGUGCCCUUGUCUAGCCCUCAUUUGCCUCGCUAUAAUAUAUGCAGGUUGUUGUUGUUGUCCAAUUGUACUUUGAGGUCCAUAUAUUUCUAAAAAAUAUUAAUUUAGUUAUUAUUCAUGGACAUAAAAAUAAGAAAUUAACAUAGAGGUUAAAUAUUACCUGGUGCUUGUGCAACUACUUGAUUAAUUUGUGCUUGUGAAGCCUGCAUAGACCUUAAUUUACUUUGCUCCACUCUAAUGUAUGUAGAUAAUUGUUGUUGUCCAAUUAAUUGCUGAGCUUUGUUUGUUCCUGAAAAAAAUAUUAUUAUUACUCACAAACAUCAAAUAUGGGCACUUUUUAAGGUUAGUCCGCUACUUGCUCCUACUGGUAGAGUUUCUCGUUCUGCUAGCACUUGGUAAUUUGCAGAGCUUGAGCAAACAUCCUUCUCCUUUUACAAUGUCAAAAGCUAUGUCAAUUCAAUAAAAUUUUAAAAUUUUAUUAAUAUUUAAUUUUUAUACCUUGUAAGCUGGGCAUUUUUUUUUGUUGUGCCCCAUUUCAUGACAUAUGCUGCAUUUCACAGUGAAUCUUCUCUUAUAGAAUGGUUUCUUUUUUGCUUCAUUCACUUCUUUUCUUCUAUUCAACUUAGGCCUCCCCGAUUGAACUUUUUUUUACAGGAGGCUUUAAAACUGGCCUAUCAAUUUUAGGCCAAUUAGUUCUGUCUGCAAGGGGAUUAAUUGUUGCUAAAUAAGUAAGCGGAUAUGCCUCCCUUGUUAAGCUCUUGUCAACAUAAUCAGAUGGCUCGCCAUGACUAUGUAAAAUUCCAGCCAUGGCAUGCUUGCAUGGAAGCCCACUCAUCUGCCACCCACCACACUCACAAUACCAUUUGUUUAUUGCUAUCAUUGCAUCAUCAAAUUCAGUUUUGUUAGUGGCUCUUGCUGCUUUCCAAAAGUACUCCCUUAAAAUCUCAGCUGAAUGUUUUCUAAAGUUGGCAUAUACAUGUCUUGCACAAUAUCUAGUUUCAGAACUUGGAAAAACAUCUUGAAGAGCAUGAAUUAAACCUUUCUGUCUGUCAGACAUAAAUGAGACAACCAUAUCAUUGUGGAUAUCCAUAUGCUCUUUAAAUAGUUCUAGAAACCAUGUCCAACUCUCCCUCGAUUCACCCUCACAUAUACACACAGCCAAAGGAAAAAUACCAUUGUUUGCAUCUAAAGCAACAGCAGAAAUCAAAAUGCCUCCAAAAGAUGUCUUUAAGUGGCAACCGUCUAAACCAAUGAAUCCUCUGCACCCCUUCAUGAACCCUUGCUGUUGAGCUCUGAAACUAAUGAAAAUUCUCUUAAAUUUAUUCUCAUUUCCAACCAAUUCUUGACUAAUUUUUACUGUUGCAUCGUUGUUAGUCAUAAGCAAAACAUUGGCAUAAUCAUUUAGUAGAGCAUAUGAGUUAAUAUAAUCACCCUCACACAUUUUUAAUACCCUUUUCUUGGCCCUGUAUAGCCUUCUCCUAUUUGUAGCAGUACCAAAUCUACUUAAUAAUACAGAAGCUAUAGAAGAUGAAGAAAUCCCAGGAUUUGACUUGAUUGCACCAAAUAAUUUCUCAGCCACCCAUUUGCUGGUUGUCUCAGGGUUCUUAAUAAUCGGUAUGCACGUGUGUGCUCCACCUUUGAUUGUUUUUAUCAUGAAACUAAUUUUAUCUACCACCAAUGAAGCAUGAAUUCUCCACUUGCAUCUUUUGUUUGCACAUAAAGCAGUGACUCUGGCCCUCUCAUUCUUCUCCCUAUGUAGAACACAACCUUGUUGGAUUGCAAAGUCCUUAAGGACACUCCUGAAUUCAUCUACAGUAGAAAACACUUGCCCAACCUCCAAUAUGAUUUCUUCAUCAACCAUUUGUCUGAACCUUUGUGCUCUUAAUUCUCUGGCCAUCAUCUGAAUACUAUCUUCAUCUAAGUUCAAAUGAAAAUCAUCAGGUGAAGUAUCAUCAUCACCACUUUCAUAAUCAGAUAGAAGUGCCUUAUCAUCAAAAUCAGAAUUAUCACUGGAUUUUAUUAUGUUUUCUACAUCCUCAUUGCCAAUAUUCACAAUUUCCCCAAUUUCAUCAUCAGUCCAAUUUAUAGAAUCCACACUGUUGGCAUCGUCAUUGUCCAAUGGUUCAUUAUCAUCAUUAUCUAAUGGUUCGUCAGUCCAAUUAGUAGCUUGUUCAUGAUGAAUUGCAUCUGCCAUUGUGGGUUUAUUGUCUUCCUCAUAAGCCUCAAACAUCCAUUUAAGAGUAUUUUCAGAAGAAUUUUCAGGAAUAAAAGAUAUUUGAUGAUUUUCAAGAAUGUCUGAUUGCAUUGCCUCCGAUGGCAAUGACUUCGUUUCUAGAAGCAAUAAAGUAAUUUUUCUAGAUAGCAUUAGGUUCACAAAACUCAACAACUCCAUGUCAGUCUCUAGUAACUGCUUAGCACCUGAAGAAGGAUUUUGAGCCAUUAUCAUGAACUUUUCAUCAUCCAGCCGAUGUCUAUUAACUACUUUCUCCAUAACAUCAUUAAUCAGAGCCACCAAGCUUAAACAUUCUAUCUCAUAUUCAACUAGGUCCAUUAGUUUACCAUCAAAGUGAACCUUGACAUGUAUUUGAUCCAUCUGUCAAUAUAAAUAUUCAAAUCAUGAUACUUAGAAAAGAAAAAUUAACAAUUUUUUUAAUUCAGACACAUGAUUUAAAAUAACUAACAAUUAAAAAAAUGAUUUUCUUUAACACUUAUAAAAAAGAAUACCUUAAAACAUAAACAAAACCAAAUUUUCUUUUCCCCAAUUCAACAUCAAUCCGUACACUGAAAAAGAAAACGUAAAAUGAGUUAUUCCUUAAAAUAAAACAACUGGAAUACCGAUUACUUAGCAUCCAUAUUAUUUAUAGGCCCAAAUAUGCUAAUAAGAAAUUUUUUCUGAAAAUACCCAUAACCUUAUCACUUCAGCAUCAACAGACAACAAUUAGUAAAUAAAGACAAAAAUUUCGGUUGUAUUAAAUGUGUGAUUUUAACCAUUCACUAACCUGGAAUGGUAAUAGAAUCAUCUCCACUUGUACACAAAUGCUUUAGCAAAAAGACUGUUGAAAAAGAAUUGAUUUUAAAACUUUCUCUCUGACACCCGAAAUGAUGAGAAGUAAAGAAAAUGAAAAGUCACUUUCUCUUUUGGGUAAAUUUACUUAAAAAAACCUUUUAUUUUCAUCUAAGUUUAUAUUUUAUUGUGUUAAAACCUAAUUUUUUACAUCACAUGUCAGAAUAGAAUUUAAAAUUCAAAAAACAAUAGUUAAAUGACCUUAUCCUCAUUUUCAAUUAUUGUUAUAACGGCAGGGUGGUAAUUGGUCAUUACAAAAAUAAUAGGGUGGUAAGUGGUAUAUGGUGAUUUUAAUAAGGGGGAAAUUGGCAAUCCAAUGGUUAUAUAUUGUAAAUGUUUGUCUAACUUGGCGUGUGGUUUGAGAAAGUCUUGAUUAAGCUUGUUAAGUACUUGUUUGCUGUGUGAAAUAAUCUUAAUAGUAAUCCAAUCAGUUUUGUAGUUUAACCAACAUGGGCAUCAUUACCACGAAUUCAGAAUACCAACAUUUAUUUAACCAACAUACUACGUUCUGACCAUGCAUUUGGUUUGGAUUGUAAUUCAGAAUUGGUAGACAUUGUGAGUGCGAUGGUAAAUAGCUACAAAUUUCGUAGAACAUAUGGGAUUGUUGAAUGUAUGGGAAAGUGUCUGUGCAAUCUUCAGAUUUUAUACAAGUAAUCCUCUUGAUUUUUCUGCUUCCAAAUUUAGUAUUAUUUAGUAUAUAAUUAUUAUUUUGUUCUAUUCAAUUGUAUUAAAAUGAUGGAAAUAAUAAUUAUUAUUAUUUUCUGCCAUAUUGAUUUUCAAAUAAUUAUAUUUAGUUGGUCACUAAAUUCAAAUCCUAGAGGGUGGUGGUGGAUAAAAAUUCAAUUUGAUUAUAAUUUUAUUUAUCUUUUGGCUUUGUACACUCAGAAAUGGAUUAUCGUGCGAUUCAAAAAUUAUUUGAAAAAAGGAAGUCUGAUCAAAGAAACAGACCAAUAUUUGUGGACUCCAAUUCAUUACGCUGCAUAUCAUAAUCAAUAUCAACAGAUAUAUGUGCUAUUAGAAAUUGAUCCAACUGCUUCAAACAUUUUUGACAAAGAUCAAAAGAUGACAGCUCUUCAUUUGGCAGCGCCCGAGGGCUUGCCAGAGCAAAUGAAAGAAUUAUUUCUCUUGCAGCAAAAUGUUAUGAACUAGUCGAUGACAGGGAAUGGAAUUUUUUUCAUUAUGCAAUGGUCAUUUUUUUUAUUUAAAAACUUUCCUAAAAAAUCCCGUUAGCGGGGAAUCUUAUAAAUGAGGGGGAUGCCAAGGAGAACUCUAUAUCAUUAGGAAGACUCAAGCCAACGAUCACACUGUCAACGAGCAAAAUGUUAGUGUUAGACGUCUUUUGAAAUAUGGCUAUCCUACGCUCUAAGAUAAUUAACUUGUUAAUUCUUUCAACUUAUAAUCCAGCUCUCUUUUUCAUUACUUUAUUUCUUUUUCUUUUUUCUUUUUUAAGUUUAUGCAAUUAAUUCAUAUUCAAAUUCAAAUUACAGGAGGAAAUCCAAAAGUUGCCCAAAGAUGUUGGCAGAGGACAUUAUCCAAAUAGAGUUAAUAAUUUUUUUUCCUCCAUUGAAAAAACUACAUCGUUUUGCCUUUGGUCUUCUCAGCGGUCUGUCACCCCAUUUCUCUUACCAAUUAAAAGAGUAAACAACCGUUUAUAAUUUUUGUGAUUGGAGUUAAUAAUUUUUUUUUCCUCCAUUGAAAACAGGCAGCCACUAUGUUACAUUUAGUGUAAGUAACAGCCCACCUGCAUGGAUCGUUGGAUUUGAGAAUCUGAAAUCCAAUGGAUAAUAUUGAAUUUAACGAAAAAUAAAUUACAGGUUGCAUUGGUCCAAGUUUAUUUCAAAGAAAAGGUGGGCAACCUGGGGCAACAGUUAAAAAAAAAAACAGCUGAUGAAAUUGCUGCUAAUCAAAUUUAAAAGGGAAAUAAAUCAAAGUAUUGAUUAUAGACCUUAUUUCCAUCUUAAAUCUAUUUGUUUUUCAUGGUGUCUCAAUGUGUGAUAAAAAUUAAUAUUAAUUCAGCUUUUUUUCUCAUUUGUAAGCAUUAUUAUGCUCUUUCUUCUAAAUAAAUUAUCUAAAGUUUGUGGUUAAUGAUACGUUGCAAAGUUUUAAUUUCUGUUUAAAGCUUCAUCUAAUAUUGUUUUUCAUAGAGCUUAGGGACAAGUAGAGUUUUAACGGAAAAAAAUUGAAUUAAGGUUGUCAAUGAUAAACUUUAUUAAAAAUUUUAAAAAGUACUUAAUAAAUAAGCUUUUAAAGUUAUAUAUAUUAUCAAAUAAAUGAAAUAAGAUUAUAUAAUAAAUCAAGAGUAUUUUAGAUAAUUGAAUUUUUUUGGAAAAAAAUUCGCUAAGAGUUUUAAAAUUUGAAUUUUUAAUAGUGAACAUAAAAUAAUUUAUUUAAUCCUCAAAAGGUCUAUUCAAAAUUCAACUACGUAACACAAAAAUUUUUAAUAAGUUUUUUGGAUUAGUUAAGCAUUUUUUAUUUUUUAUUUUUGAAAAGAAAUAUUUUUUUCAUUAAGUAAAUAAUACUAAACAUGCAUUAAAGUGUUAGGACCAGAAGCCAUAUAAAUAAAAUCAUGAAAUUAUAUGUUGUUAGAUGGAUAUUUUUCAAAUUUGCUUUAGUUUUUCUUUUCUUUCCUACUAGGAAAUUGAAAUGAUGGCCACAACUUAAAUUGUGAAUGGAUUAAUGGGGGAAUAUUGAAACCCAUUUAAUUUGGAUCGUGCGAAAGGAAAAAAAAAAUUAAUUUUGAAAUUGUUGUAGAGAACUGUACAAUGACUUGCCGUCGACAGCUUGUGUAACCGGAUUACAACCGGUUAGUUAAAACAUUUUACAUGCCUAUUUAAACGCCACGUGCUGCUCUUAUAUGGGUCUAUUAGUCAUGUCAUUGCUGUUACUUACAACUGUUGUAACUGUAACUUAACGGGACCCUAGGUUUUGCCUCUGUUUUGGACACGGCUAUGAUACAGGGACUUUGAGUCCCUGUAUCAUUGAGGAGGUCAAUUUAUGGACCCUUUGUUGUUUGGCUGCCACAAACAACUUUUAUGACUGGCAGCAACCGGUUUUUCAGCCGGUUGCUGCCAUUAAUAUGUAUUUUUUUAUUUAAAUAAAUUAAAAUAAAAAAUAUUUAAAACGAAUAAUAUUUAAAAAAUAAUAAUAAUAAGAAGUAGAAAAUAACAAGUAAAGUAAAAAUGAAAAAAAUAUUUUUUAUUAUAAACAUUUUUAAAAAUAAAAUAAAAUGUGUUAAUAAAAAGACAAAAGUUUUAUUCAUCUUCUAUGAAAUCUAUCUAAUGUUUAACAUUUUAAGUUUCAUAUUUUAUGUUUUAUGUUUCAUGUACUGAUUUUUCAAAUACCCUAUGAUUUUUCUUUUUUGUCCCUGUUUCAUGUUUACGUUCUAUGUUUCAUGUUUGUUGUUUUAUGUUUCAUGUUCACUGUUACGGAGAUACUCAUAUUUUAUGUUCGUUAUUGCAUAUUUUAAGUGAUCUAUUUCACGUUGGUUGUGCAAUGUUUCAUGUAAUAAUUUUUCAAAUACCUCGAAAUUUUUCUUUUUUGCCCCCGUUUCAUGUUUACGUUCUAUGUUUCAUAUUUGUUGUUCUAUGUUUCAUGUUUUAUGUUUCAUGUUCACUGUUACGGAGGUACUCAUAUUUUAUGUUCGUUGUUGCAUAUUUUAAGUGAUAUGUUUCAUGUUGGUUGUGCAAUGUUUCAUGUACUGAUUUUUCAAAUACCCCGAAAUUUUUCUUUUUUGCCCCCGUUUCAUGUUUACGUUCUAUGUUUCAUGUUUGCUGUUCUAUGUUUCAUGUUCACUGUUACGGAUGUACUCAUAUUUUAUGUUCGUUGUUGCAUAUUUUAAGUGAUCUGUUUCAUGUUGGUUGUGCAAUGUUUCAUAUACUGAUUUUUCAAAUACCUUGAAAUUUUUCUUUUUUGCCCCCGUUUCAUGUUUACGUUCUCUGUUUCAUGUUUGCUAUUCUAUGUUUCAUGUUUUAUGUUUCAUGUUCACUGUUACGGAGGUACUCAUAUUUUAUGUUCGUUAUUGCAUAUUUUAAGUGAUCUAUUUCACGUUGGUUGUGCAAUGUUUCAUGUAGUGAUUUUUCAAAUACCCCGAAAUUUUUCUUUUUUGCCCACGUUUCAUGUUUACGUUCUAUGUUUCAUGUUUGUUGUUCUAUGUUUCAUGUUCACUGUUACGGAGGUACUCAUAUUUUAUGUUCAUUGUUGCAUAUUUUAAGUAAUCUAUUUCGUGUUGGUUGUACAAUGUUUCAUGUACUGAUUUUUCAAAUACCCCGAAAUUUUUUUUUUUUGGCCCCCGUUUCAUGUUUACGUUCUAUGUUUCAUGUUUGCUGUUCUAUGUUUCAUGUUCACUGUUACAGAGGUACUCAUAUUUUAUAUUCGUUGUUGCAUAUUUUAAGUAACGUGUUUCAUAUUUAUUGUUCAAUGUUUUAUGUAAUAAUUUUUAAAUACCUUAAAGUUUUUCUAUUUUGCCCCCGUUUCAUGUUUAUGGCUCAUGUUUUAUGUUUCAAGUGCAGAGUUUCAUAUUUGAUGUUUAUGUUCAUUGUUACGGAGGUACUCAUUAUUAUAUAUUUUAAGUAAUGUGUUUUAAAUUUACUAUUCAAUAUUUUAGAUAAUUAUUUUCCAAACACCCGAAAAUUUUUAAUCCACCAUUUUAUAAAGUGACUUUAACAUAAGCAUUAGAAGAAUAUUAAGGUAGUGUUUACUUUCUGGAGUGGGAAUGUGGGGUGUGGAUUCCUCCCACUCCAGUGUUUACUUACCUUAAAAAAGGGGGGAGUGGGAGUGGGAAUCCGUGGGUCCCACCUAAUUUUGGAGUGAGGAGUGGGAUUCCCACUCCCAUAGGGAGAGGUGGGAGUGGGAAUCCACUCCCCCCUCUUCCCAUUUUAUCCUUAUAAAAAUAAAUAAAUAAAUAAUAUUUAAUAAAAUAAAUAAUAUCAUAUUUAAUAAAAUAAAUAAUAUCAUAUUUAAUAAAAUAAAUAAUAUCAUAUUUAUUAAAAAAAUAAUUAUAUCAUAAUUAUUUUAUUAAAUUUAAUAAAAUAAAAAUAAAUAAAUAAAUAUUAUAUUUAAAUUAAGAAUAUUAGUAAUUAUUAUUAAUUUAUAAAUAUAAUAAAAUAUUUAUUUUAUUUUCCAAAUAUAUUUUUUAUUAAUUUUUUAAUUACAAAUUAUAAUUCUGUACAUAAGGAUAAAAUUGUAAUUUAAAAUAAUUUACUCCCAAUCCAAGACAAAGUAAACAAAUAAUUAAGAUUCUGAUUGACAAUCCAUACUUUUAUUUAGUCUAAGUAAACACCUUACUCUCACUCCCACUCCACACUCCUAAUCCAAGGAUUCCCACUCCUCAGGAUUCCCACUCCAAUCCAAAAAGUAAACGCAGCAAGGGAUUUAACAACACUCAUUGUACGAAUACUAUUUAUUUAGUCUUAAAUCUAACCGUUUCACUUGAAUUUCGUGCACCGAUUUUAAUCUUUCAAUAGUCAUACCUUAUACUACAAGUGUUCGUUUUAGACAUUCAAUAAUAUUAUUUUGUAAAUAUUUUUCUUCUAAUUUUUUAUAAAUAUAAUCACUUUCGAAGUAUUUGUAUUAUGAAUAAAGGUAACCAACAAAAUAAUAAUAUUCCAAUCCGAAUUUGCUUUUAAGUGUUUUAAAUCUUUCGUUUGGUCGGAGAACUAUCAAAGCCUCUUAGUGUGUUAUAUUUAAUUUUAAUCUUUGAAAUAUAGCACUCGCUUUUUAUUAAAGAAAAGUACAAUUGAAUAUAUAAAUAUUUGAUUUUUGGUUGUUAAUUAUUAUAUCAAUAAUCCUAAUUGUUUUAAUUUUUGUAAUUAUGAUUGAAAUUCUAGUUAAGCAAUGUAUGCCUUCAAUUUGUUGAUUAAGGCUUGAAAAAGUAGUAAACCCAAUUAAUGACUUUCAACUAAGUUAUAGUGGAAAUUAAAAUUUUUCACAUUUGAGUGAAAUUUGUGAAAGUGAACCAUUAAAGUGAAGAAAUAAGUGUGCUAAAGCAAAAUAUGACUUAACUAUUAAGUUUGAUUAAAAAAAAACUAAAAUGAGUAAAAUACUAGUGGUUGCAAUAAGUGGCCUCACAAAUAAAUUCGGAAGAGCUCUUAUAUUCCACUGGCGCUUUUUAUAGCCAAAAUCUCCACUAUAAAUAACCUUGCAACCAUUUUUAAUUCUAUUAAUUCCCACACAAAUUUAUAGGCUUAUUUUCCCAUCCGCUAAAUCAAUUUAAUCAAUUUAUUUUUUUUAGUAAUUAUAGGGAACACAAUUUAAUGAAAAUAAAUCAAAUUAACUAUUCCUAUAUCAAACAUAAUAGUUUCUACAUAUUAUAAAAAUCCACCAAAAUCUAGUACAUUACACUAAGUGCAUCAUACAAUCUUAUUACAAGUAUCAUCUCCGGAAAAAAGUAGAUUGAUAUAUUGCAUAAAUUUACGGCAAAUAAAAAGAGGAAGAAAGGUAAGUAGUUUUAAAGUAAAAGCUCAGCACAACUUAUUAACAACGUAUUUAUCUUCUUCAAAGGCACUAAGAAAUUCAUCCACUGCCCAAGUUUUUCCAACUGUCGUCAUGGCAACACCAUCCAUGCUUAUAAAAACAACAGCAAGUUUUGCAAAAGUUAUCGAAUCCAGUCCAAGGAGAGCUCCAAAGAAAAGCACAAAUAGAGAAAUGGGUUUGCUGAGUUAUUGGAAACCUUUACCCCUGGAGAAAACAGAGCAAUUUUCCAUUUAAUGAUUGUAUUCAACUGUUCAUUAGAUACUUAAAUCAUCAUAAUCGCCAACAACAACCUAUGCGCCACAAAAUUAACAACACACACCAAAUUUGUGCUUUUUGGAUAUGCCACAACAACCUAUGCGCCACAAAAUUAACAAUACACACCAAAUUAACUGCAAAUAAAAGCCAAAUCAUUGACCCCUUUUUUUUUCCAAAAAAAAGGAGUCGCAUAAAGGCAGGAAAAUAAUUUUAAAUGAAUUUAACAUAGCAACUACUUUCAUUACUGGGAUCAAGAGAAAAUCAUUACAUUGUAAGACUGCAAACUUGAAAGCUUUCUAUUGAAGAGACACGGACAUGCUGCAUAUGAUGCACAAUCUCUGCCUCAAAUUACCAUGAAUGGUUCUAGAAAAGAAACCUCAAACUAUGGUUAAGGUUUUAGCUACUGUUCAGACCACAAACCUACAAUAAUUAGUAUCUAAUGCUUCCCCAAAAAAACUAAGAAAAGUACCAAAAAAUGCUGCUGCAUACUCUGAAUCAAAGUUUGCUUCUAUUUCUCUAUAUUUGCCGUUGAAAAUCUUAAUUAUAAUGCUUGUACCGUCAACAUCUACUCAAUAAAGAACAAUAAAGAAGUAAAAACAAAGAACCCAUCACUUUCCAAAUCCAAAAAUUUUCUCUCACUUUCUCGCCAACCAAGCACCCCUUUUCUUUCUCUCAAAACCUCGUCUUCCCACUCAAACUCACUCAAUUUCAACUCAAAUUCCACCAAAAUUUACCUUUAAGUUGAAGAUGAGGUAGCUAAUUCGCCGUCUUUCUCGCGUCGUCGACUCCUCGUAGUACAGUCUCCGCGCUCGAACUUGAAGACAGUAGCAGCAGCUCAAACUUGAAUAAUAUCGGCAGCAGCAGCUCGAAAAUCCCUAGUUCGAUUACCACCACCUACUUAGCAAAAAUAAAAGCUGGUGACAAUUCCUCACAAAAUGAAAAAGUAAAACCCACAUCCAAUUUCACCAAACAUAAGUAAACCCAGAAAAGAUUUAAAGAAAUUAAGAAAGAAAAAUUGUUCACCAAAAUAAAAGAAAAUUAAAAUCUUGGAAAUAUAAGAAUAAUGAAAUCAUAUGCACAAGAUAAAUAAUAAUUACUCAAAAUUUACCCAAAUAUAAGAAUAAUACCAGUGAGCCAAUGUCGAUCCUCAGAUCUCGUUAACAUAUAUGCUCAGAUCUCGUUAUAGGAGCAACUUGAGAGUGAGAGAGAGAGAGAGAGAGAGCAGCAGCAACAGCACCACCACCACCACCAAUCGAGACGGAGCACAAACGCAGCAGUAGCAACAUCACUAGUCGAGAGAAGCAGAGGCACAACAGCAGUCCAUUUUGGUUGAAGACUGACAUGGAGAGAGAGAGCUGUGACGAACUGUGGUUGAAGAACUGUGACGGAGAGAGAGAGAGAAAGAGAGUUGUGAAUUUCGAUCGGGAUGAGGAGAUAUGGCUUGGGUUUUUUAUGUACUGUAGCUACCCCUUUAACCGGUUGCCUUAUUUUUUUCUACUUUUAUUCAUUUUUUCUCUUUUUUUUUUUCAAAUUAAAACCACAACCGUUGGAUUCAAACAAGCUGAAUCCAACGAGUCAAAGGCAGCCCUUGCACCAUACAUGGAUUUUAUGCCCUGCAUGGUAGCCGUGUCCCUCUGUUUUUCUUAGCGGUCUGUCACCCCAUGAUUGUGUCGAGGGCAAAAAGUCAAUAGAUAGCUGCACAAAAACUCUAUUGUUCUGACUAAUUUAAGCUUUUAAUGAAACUAUAUUCUCUCAUAUUUCUAACAAACGGACCAUUAUUUCAAAGCUGCAUUUAGGACUCGUUUGGAAUUAUUUUCAAGAGGUUUAAAAGUACUUUUAAAAAUUUAAAAAUUAUUUUUAGUGUUUAGUAAAAAAAUCAAAAUCACUUUUAUCAAAAUCAACUCUUCCUACAGUUGAUUUUGAAAAGUAGAUAAGGAGUAGUUUUUAAAUUUUGAUUUUGAGAAUCAAUUUUAUCAUUUAAUAAAAUUCCAUAAAUAUCCUUAAAAUUAUUACCUAAACCCAAAAUUAUCCUUAUUCAAAUUGAAAAAAAAAAUAUUUUAAUUAUAAUUCAUCAAUAUAAAUUUAUUAAUAUCAAUUUAUUGGUCGAAUUAUUAUUAAAUUUGUUUCACUAUAUUAUUAAUUUAAUUAUCAAUUAUUUUAAGAUAAAAAAUAAAAAGUAAAAUCAAUAUAUUAUAAAUUUUAUUUUUAGUAAAAUUAUUAUAAUACACAAUUAAAAAUAUUGUGUGUGUGUGUGUGUGUGUGUUUAUAUGUAUAAGUAAAAUUUAUCUUAUAUUAUGUAUAUUUUAGUCAUUUAUUUUCUCUCAGUAGUUUAACAGUAAAAUUUACCAAAUGUCCAUAAUUACUUUCAAAAUUCACAAUACUUCUUAAAAUAAAUUUUACCAAACACUUAAUUAAUUCUCUUCACAGCUAAUUAUUUCUACAGCACAGCCAACAACAAUUAUUUCAAAAGUUACCGCAUUCCCAAACUGACCCUUAAAAUAUUGAACCUUUCAAGGGUAUGGGAAGAGAUGUAACUUUGUACUCGAGGCGUCAGUGGACUUGAGACUAAAUGUGUAAAUAUAUUUUAUACAAACUAAGCAAUUGUAACACUUUGAAGUUGUCAUAUGGGAAUUGCAUAAUAAGAUUGUCCCAUUGGAACCAUUGUGAUGCUCAUGUAAAUCAAUUAAAGGUUCGUGGAGGAAUAACUACAUAUGCUAAACUAAGGUAAAAAAUCUCCAUAUACAUAAAUAAUAGUUAAUUAAUUAACAAAUCACUUAGGGUGUGUUUGACACACUAUAUUGUAUUAUGUUGUAUUUCAUUAUUUUAAUAUUGGUGUAUUGUAUUAUGUUGCAUUGCAUUAGCACUGUAUUAUAACAAUGUUGUACAAUGUUUGGUGCUAUUCUAUACUGUAUUGAUUUUUUUGUAAUUAAUUUAAAUUAAAUAUUACAUUAUAUUAAUAUUUUAUAUUAUAUUAAUAUAUUUAAAUUGUAUUAAUCUUUUAUAUUAUUAUUAGUUAUAAUAAAUUAUAUAUUUAUUAAUUUAUAUUAAUAAUUGUAAUGUAAAAAUAAAAAAUAAAAAUAUUAUAUAAUAUUGCAUUAAAUUAAAAAGUUAUUAUUAUUAUUAUUAUUAUUAUUAUUAAGCAAAAGCAAAAGCAAAAGAAGAGAGAGAAAAAAAAAAAAAAGCAAGCUAAUGCGGUAGUUGCUACAUUACCACACUCCCUUUAACUCAUUCUCAUGUUCUUCCAAACAUAACCUUAAUAUUAAUUUAAUGAGAAUAGAAUUUUAAUACCCCAUAAUACAAUGCACCAAACUUAUCCUUAGAUAUUUUUCUGUCAAAUAAAACGUAAAAAUGUCGAUAAUUAGUAUAUGAAUGACACAUUCCAUAUAGUAUCAUGGAAGGCCAAGAGGCAACGUUGAAUCACUUUUCUUUUGUAGUAUUAAUGAACUAUCAAUUGUACUCAUAGAGUAUUCCCCUAUUAUUUUAUUGUUUGCAGUCACUUAAGAGUCACUUGAUUCUUUACCCACCGAACAAAAAGAGCAGAAUUGUACAUGGAAUCCGAUGGAAAUGUGAUAAGGAAGGCUGCAGUAUUUAAAGAUUGAGGAUAUGGCUAUGCAGACACUUUCAAUAUUAAGGACAAAACAAAAGAAGAAAAUGGUAAACCUUAAUAAUUAAUUGGUAUAUAUUUUUGUGUCUGAGUUCUUAAAAAUAUAAAGCAACCACAGUUGAGAAAUUGAAUAGUUUGCCAAAGAGAAUGACUAAUCUCAAUUUAUUUAUUUGUUUAACUAAAAGAGCAUGAGGAAGAAAUCAAGGUUAAAAAUGUUGAUUCUUGGCUUGUCAAAAGAGUAAGAAUUAAUGUCGAUACUUUCCUUGUCAAAAAAGAAAGAAUUUAAGAAGUGAAUUUAAGACGUGUGAAAAAUAGUACACUUUUCAAGUCAUAUAUACAUACAUGUAAGGUUUAGAGGAAGAUCCAUGAGUACCUCCGAUAUACUGGGUACCCUUACCUAAUAGAUCAACUUCGCCAAAAUGAGUUCUGUUUCCAUUGAGACUGGGGAAGCUCCGUUAUUGGACAGCACUGGCGAGAUCAGUCAGUCGCAAAUGGACCCAAAGUUUUUCAAAGCUGCAGCUGAUGGCAAUGUUGAACCCUUCAAAGAUAUGGCAAGAGAGAAAAUUGAGAGCUUGUUAACAGCAAAGACCAGAAACACAAUCCUGCAUAUCAACAUCAUAUCCAAAGAAAGAGAAAACGUGUCAACGGAGUUCGUAGAAGAAAUACUUGAGAAAUGCCCAUCGCUGCUACUACAAGUUAAUGCCAAAGGCGAUACUCCACUUCACGUAGCGGCAAAAUUCGGCCAUUCUGGUAUAGUGACGUUUCUUGUCGAAAGAGCAAAAUUACCUCAACAUGAAAAUGAAGAGCUAGAGAGCGGGGUAGGAGCUGCCAGGCAGAUGAUUAAGAUGACAAAUAAUGAGAAGAAUACAGCACUCCACGAGGCAGUGUGUCACAAAAACGUCGAUGUGGUGAAAAUACUGACGAAAGAAGACCCUGAUUAUCGAUAUUCUGCAAAUAAUGACGGCAAAACGCCACUCUACAUGGCUGCUGAGUCUCGGUCUUCUGAUAUGGUGCUUGCCUUAUUGGAAAACAGCACAUCAGUGUCUCAUGAAGGCCCCAACGGAAAGACGGCUUUACAUGCUGCGGCAAUGAAAUUUGAUCUCGGUAAGUUUAGUUAUAUCUUUCUAUUAAUAGAUUCUUUCAUAAUGUUUAAGUAAAUACACCCUUUUAAUUCAUUAAUAAAUUAUUAAUUGCCAUAAAUUUAAUCAGGAUAAAUUGUCGGAUAUAAAUUAGCAUUUUAAAAUACUAUAAUAUCCCACAUUAAGGAGAAGUAAGAGCAGUUGAAUUUGGUUUGAAUUAAUUAUUUGGUUGAAUUGCUUACAAAUUAGAAGUGAAUAAUUCAAUUUUAUUUAUGAUUGAAUCAAAUUGUGAGACUCAUACUGACUAAUUUAAAUUAAAUAAAAAAAAGUAGAUGACGAGUUCAAAUUUGAGUUAGAAAAAAGUUAUAUAGUUUUGAUACAUGUGAAGCCUUUAAGGUGGGUUUUAUAGUUCUAUUGUUUUAAAUAAUGUUCUUUACUGCUGUCUCAUCUUUCUUCACCAAUUUUUUUUUUUUUUACUAUUCUAAACUGUUAUACUUGAGUGCAUGUAACAACCUUCCCCAAAUUUCAAAGGUGAAUCUAACUAUGGUUCACAUAUAAACUUAGAUAUCUUUUCACAAUGGAUAACUCAAUUUCUGACCAUCAAUCUAACUACGGCUCACAUAUAAACUUCAACGGCUGAUUGGCGACAAAUCGGCCACUGUUUGAUGGUCAGAAAUUGAAGUGACUGCCAUAAAGGACAAAUCCCAGGUGACGACAUGACCGAAAUCCGGUGAAAACUCGCCGACUUGAGUCGUCCCGUGACUUAACACGGGUUCGUUGGGUGGUCAUAGGCCGUUUUCCGGCAACAAUGAUGAUGGGGGAAUGACCCGCGUCGUCUAGGAGUUCGGUUGAUACCCUCCAUCGCCGGAGAUGUGGUCGGAAUCAGAAGCAGCGAUUCAGGCUUCGUUAACGGGUUGACCCAAGCCGUUUCCUUUCUCUUCUAACCCGAUCGUGCACCUUUUCUCUCUCACAACUCACUUAAUCCAAUUAAUGACUCAAGUACCCUUAUGAGAAUUAAUUUUCUGAUUAAUGAUCAAAAUACCCUUAAUUUAUAAAGAAAUUAAGCGUUGUUCUGAAGGAAUUAAUUUUUCUACUGUGAAAUCUUCCAAAAAAAACUAGUCUUUAGAAUUGUAAAUGUAUUGAAAAUUUUAAUUAUUAUUUUAUUUAUCUUCUGUAUUCUCAGUUGAUACUGCAUUACGAAAACUACUUGAGAAAAAGGAGAAUCUGAUCAAAGAAACAGAUCAGUAUGGGUGGACUCCAAUUCAUUAUGCUGCAUAUCAUGGGAUGUACUGGAUAAAUAGAUUUUAUGGAAAUUACGGGACGGUAAAUUUGCUAUUAGAAACUGAUCAAUCCGCUUCGAACAUUGCUGACAAAGAUCGAAAGAUGACAGCUCUUCAUUUGGCAGCGGGCCAAGGGAAUGCCGAAAUAGUUGAUGCAAUUAUUUCCAAAAAUCCAGAAUGUUACGAGCUGGUCGAUAACAGGGGAUGGAAUUUUCUCCAUUAUGCUGUUGUUAGUUUUCUUGUUGAAGAACUGACAAUCUUCUUGAAAAUAAUCCUUUAGCGAGGAGUCUUAUAAAUGAGGGGGAUGCCAUGGGAAACACUCCCCUCCAUGUGCUUGCUGCUGUCCGUCGAAAUGAAUUCUAUGACGUUAUGAUAAGGAACACUCAAGUCAACUAUGACGCUGUCAACAAACAAAAUGUUAGUGUUGAACACAUUUUAGAUUAUGGCUAUCCUGAGCUCAAGGUAAUUAUUUAAUUUGUUCUUUCAACUAAAUUAUUAAAUUUAAUUUUUUUACGCAAUUAAUUAAUAUUCAAAUGUAAAUUAAUUACAGGAAGAAAUCCAAAAAUUAUCCAAAGAUGUUGGCGGAGGACAAUAUUCAAAAGGUGUUAUACGCAUAAGAGAACCAAAAGACCUUGCAGUGCAAAAGUAUGUUACUAAAGAAAAUUACAAGGAUACGAGAGCAUCGCAUUUGGUAGUGGCUGCACUCAUAGCAACAGUAGCCUUCGCAGCAGCUUUCACCAUUCCUGGCGGUUAUAGAAGCGAAAAUGGAACUGCAAUCCUGAGGAGAAAUACAGCUUUUCAAGCAUUUAUAGUAGCAGAUUCCAUUGCCAUGGUCUUUUCUCUUUCUGCCGUCUUUACUCACUUCUGCUUGUCUCUUCUAAUUGAAGAAACUAAAGAUUUCAAUGAGGCUCUGUUUGGUGCUUCAGUUUGGUUCACCAUAUUUUCCAUGGGAGCAAUGGUGAUUGCAUUCGUUACGGGAACGUAUGCAAUGUUAGUACCUUCUUUAGGCCUUGCUAUUAUCACUUGUUUAAUUGGCUUGAGCUUUUUCUUGCUUGUGAUUUUGAUCAUCAGAUUGUCUAUUACGGAGUAGGACAAAAGUAAUUGAUUGUAGUGAGUCACCAUCUUUGUUUAUCAAUAAAAUGAUUGAUUUUCAUUUUAACAUAAACAUUAACUAAUUUACUCAAUCUUUGCUAAUAAUGAAUUAUUAUUUUAAUUGUACAUUGAUCACUGAUGUUUUAAUGAAAAUCAAAUUUGAGAAACAGGCAGGUCUACUUUGCUGUUAAUAAUUAGAUUGAAUUGGUGAGAGAAAGUCAAAAUCAAAUUUAAUAUUUCAAAUUGUUUGUACUUUCUUAUGUUGAUUGAAUAAAAUCUUGAUUACUUUGUCAAAAAAAAAAUUGAAAAAUUUUAUCUCUUUGUAUAAUGCGUCAUUAGAAAUCUUUAAUUAGAUAUGAUUAAAGAAAACCUAUGAUGCGUGUUUAAGGGUGGUGUCUAUAUAUAUAUAUAUAUAUAUAUAAUAUGUUUGUUUUAAUAGGUUAAUAUAUUGUCAUCAGAAUUUUAUUAAUAUUUACAAUAAAAAAUUUAUCAAAACUAUUCUUAAUAAGUCUAGUAUGACAUAGUUUGAAUUUCUACCCUCACAUAAUAUUAUAGGGAUGUUUGCUCUACUCAUAUUAAUGGAGAAGAAAUUUACUCCUAUCCAAUUUAAUUAGAAGGGAAACCGGGUCCAAUAAUAAUUAGGACUCAAAGGUUGUACUAAUGGGCUAAGAAAAUGAGUACUUAUAUAAGUAAAUUAAAAUUUACCAUUCAAUAGAGAUAAUGACACAUCAUUUUAAAGUCAAAUCCUACGUCACCAAAUGAGUUGAAUUAAGACCGAGAAAGACCAAAAGGGAGGGACGUUACUUUGGAGGAAUUAUUGCAACCAUUGAAAACUAACAAUGGUUGAGGGGAAAAAAUUGAUUUGGGUUGGCUAAGGUAGAUUCUUUUUAAGAAGCACUAACUAGAAAAAGAAUUUUAAUAUAUUUACAUAGAUGGCAGCUAGUUUUGUCCGUAAAUUCUUUUUUAAAUAUCUUUAAUAAAUUUUAACAAGCAACAAGGUAUUCAAUAUGUGAGAGAUUUGAGAUGAAUUAGAUUGAAACUAAAAAACAGAGUCUCUUUGACAGUACAUUAAUAGUGCAUUUAUUAACUAAGAAUCCUAAUAGUCAAGAGUUAUUAUGGGUUGGAAUCAAAAUGUGGAAGAAUAAAUUUUCUACUUCAACUACAAGAAUCGAGAUCGAAAUCAACAGUAUUUCAAAUUUGAUGUGUUUAUUUUGUCUUAAAAUCAAAAUAGAUGGUUGUAAGUUACCAAAAUGGAGUAAAAAGAAAGUUUUAAUUUUCAAUAAAGAUAAACAAGUUUUACUCUUUGACAGUACAUUAAUAGUGCAUUUAUUAACUAAGAAUCCUAAUAGUCAAGAGUUAUUAUGGGUUGGAAUCAAAAUGUAGAAGAAUAAAUUUUCUACUUCAACUACAAGAAUCGAGAUCGAAAUCAACUGUAUUUCAAAUUUGAUGUGUUUAUUUUGUGUUAAAAUCAAAAUAGAUGGUUGUAAGUUACCAAAAUGGAGUAAAAAGCAAGUUUUAAUUUUCAAUAAAGAUAAACAAGUUUUACUCUUUAUUCUCAAUUCUCCAUUCUUAUUCCCACCUCUUCUAUCCAAAUGAAAUUCCUACUCAUUCUCAAAUAUAUGCAACUCACUCAAAAUUUAUUUAUAUUUCUUUGUAUUUUUAGCAAGUAAAUAUUAUUAACAAUUCUCAUUCCUCAUUUUUUAAAUAUAAAAAAUAAACACAUCAACGAAAUCAUGUGGUUGUCCUGAAAUUGAUUUAAGAACCCACAUUGAGAAUUUGUUUCCUUCUAACUUUAUUUUGACUUUCAGAAGACACGACUCCACUCCCACAUUAAACCAAUGGCAAGUGGAUGGUUGCUGGCUGUGAGGAAGCCACUUUGGAUUCGGUGAUUGUCACCCUUAUGAGUUAUGACCACAAAAAAGGAAAGUGGAUGAAAAAGAAAAUUACUCAUUUUUUUUUUAAAAAAAGGAAUUUUGAUUGUAGACUCUGUAGUCUCUACUCAUUGUGAGUUAGAUUCUCUUGCUACUACUUACUAGACAUGUCGCUUGUAACUGUUAGUCGCAUCAGGGGGCCUAUCUCCCCAACAAAUAACCAAAACGCACAACAAAAGAAAAGAAACAGAGAGGGGAUUUGUGAAAUACUGAAAAUUACGGUCAUAAUAAAUUUUAAUUAAUAUAUGUGUCACAACUACUAUAAACAAUAAAAGAUAAAUUAAGAAUUUUUAUUAUUUAAUGAUUUUUUAUCAUUUUAAUUUUGACUAAUAGACGAACUUAGUGGCAGUUUAUUUAUUUUUUACUUAAUAACUUAAUUGACUUAAUUUUAAUUAGUUAAGCCAUUAAGUCUGUUUGUUUUUUAAAUUUAAUGAAGAUUUUUAGCAAUUAAGUUAUUAAGCUAAUUUUUUUAGCUUUUUAAUUAAUCUAAAAAAUUUGAAUGCUAUCAUUAAAAGAUAUUUUCUAAAAUAUCCCUAUUUAAUUAAUUAAUUUUCAUCCUUAGCUAAAUAAAAUUUAAUAAUUAGCAUUAUUACUCAUUUGUAUAUAACUUGUGAUAAUAUAUAGUGGUAGCCUAUUAUUAUUUUUUAUUUUUAUUUUGUUCAAAUUAGCAUUAUUUAUCUUCAUAAUUUUUUAUGAAUAUUUUUCAUAUAAAAACAUCACAAACUAUAAUAAAAUUGAUUAACAUAUAUGAUAUAAAAUAUUAAAGAGUUGAACUCAAUUGAAUAUGAUUUAUGUUAUGAUAAUUUAUUACCUUAUUUAUUUUCUUUGAUAUGUUUAUUAUUUGUUUAACAUUAUAAUUUGUAAGGGCAUAAAUGUAAAAAUAUUAGUUUUCAGAUUUUUUCAGUCAAAAAAACAAACAACUUAAUAUUUAUUUCUAGCUAUUCAGACAAAAAAAAUAAACAUAUAAUUCAAAUUUAGACAUUCAGUUCUAUUCAGAAUUCAUACUAAUUUAGGUUUAUUCAGAUUUUAGACAAAAAAAUAAACGCCACCUUAAUGAUUUUGAUAAAUUAAUGAGAUAUUUCUUUUUUUUAAAAAAACAUUUAUACAACUUUGUAUUCUCAUUCAUAUUUUAAAUGAACAAUUUGUUAAAAUUAUAAAUAUAAUUAUUAUUAAUAAAAUAUCACUCCAUUGUUAGUCUACUAUCUUUUGUUCACCUCUUAAGGGUAUAUUUAAAAUAAAGUGAGUUAGUUUGGGUACGUUGUUUUAUAUUUUAUUUUUUAAAAUAGGGCUCAGGCAGCUCUUACCAUUGCAGCUAGACCUUGGCUGUACCCUUGGUAUAUUGGUAUAUUUAUGGGGUAUAUUUUAUAUACAAACUGAAUUGUGAAUGCCAAUGCGGGAUUUUACUGCCUUGCUGCCAAAGUUGCUUAUUUAUUCUGGCUGCAUGAUUCGUGAAGUUUUUUUUUUAAUUUAUUUAUUUAACUUCAAUUAUUUUCUCAGCUUUAUUUGAAACACAACUAGAAAAGAAUAUCUACCUGUUUUUUAUUUUUCAGUUCUUGAGGUAACUUAAUGUGUAAAUGCUUCUACUUUGAAGAGUAACUAAGUAAGGAUAAUUUACUUGAAUUUCCUGUCCAUUUUAGUGCGAGAAACUAUGGUUUGGGAAAGCACACAUACCUCGUUUAGCUCUAAUCAAGGGGUUACCAAAGUUGGCCGCAUAUUCGUUGUCUGUAAUGGAUGGCAAACGUGUGAGUGCUUCUCCCAUCUCUCUUUUCAUUCGCUCACUUUUUAUAUACACGUGCGCACGAGCUUUCACUAACUAUUCUGUUCUUCAUUUGUAUGAUUCUGGUAGACUCAUAUCACUAAAGAAGACCUUUGUGAUCAUGUUUGGGAGCUUCAUUUUAAUUAGGUAUGUAAUUUUAGUAUGGUGCUUGUUAUACAUUAUUAAGAGAGUCUGCUACUCCACUGUUCCUGAUGGCCACAGGGUUGGUGCCUUGGUGGUACAAGACCCCUGCUUGUAUGCGUCUAGAAUGAACUACUGCUGGGUUUGCCAAAUACUUUCUAAAUAUAGAAUAACUAUCCAAUGAGAAAGCUCGAUCAAACUCAAAGACAUGAAUAAUCACAUAUUUUAAUGUUGUGUUCUCUUUGCAUCCUAAGAACUCAUCUUCGGCUUUGUUUAGGCAAUAUUUAUUUGAAUUUUAGUUCGACCCAUAAUAUUUUUGGUCCAACAGUGUUAACUUAGUUUUUCAUUUUUGAAAUGUAAAGAAAAUAUAUGAAAUUUUCUCAAAUUAUCAGUGUAAUUAGAUUUCUCAUUAAAAGUUAAUAAUAAACAAAAGUAAUUAAAAACACGGUCAGCUGUUAAUACUUAUGUAACUUACACUGAUCCCAAUAUAUAUACGGCGGACAUGUUCGGCCGUUAGGCAAACAGUUUUUGUUUCCUCUCAAUUAGUUGGGAAAAACUAUAAACGAAAGAGCGAGACAGAGAAUAUUGAAGCAAAACCAUCCAUCCAAUUACACUACCAAACAAGAGUGAAGAGCCUUUAUUGUUAAAAUGUGAAUUGCUUAAAUAAAAACCUUAGUUUGCAUGAAUUUUAUGUGUGUGUGUGUGUAUAUAUAUGUAUAAUUCUUCUUUAGUACGGGUGUGGUUCAAUAAAGUUAGUGCAUAACGUUAUUAAACCGCACAACGUAAGAGCAUGUUCGCAUUAAAACAAAUGAAGGCAUCCGCGCCUGAAAAUGAUUACGUGUGUGUGUGUGAGUGUAUGUAUGUAUAUAUCUUUUAAUUUAUUCAACUUAUAAGGAUAUAAUAGUGAGCUAUCACAGACAAUUACACAAAUAUUUAGACGAAUGUACAGAUAAACGAAUAAUUGAUUUCUCAUGCCGACGUAUUAGGAAAAAUAUCAGUAUACUAAAGUAUCACGUAAUGAUUUAUACACAUCUUUUUAACAUGUACACAAUCAAUUCAGAUGUCGCUAAGGGAUUUUUGUUCUUGCUAGGUAAAUUAUAAAUUUACUCCCAGAAGAUUGAUUAAAUACAUAUAAUUUAGGUUCAAAAUACAACCAGCAAUGUAACUGAUCAACAUUAGAAAAUGAUUCAUGGUCUCCUAUUUGCCAAAUCUUACCCACGCAGGUACCAAAUCUGAAAGAUGAACACAUCAGCAACAGAAAACACAACCACCCCAUAGGGUGGAAUAAAAUAAAUAAAUAAAUAAAUAAACCUGAAAGUAUACAUACAACUUGAUCUAGACAUUGUAUUAAAGAUGUUCCCAGUAGAGCUUGAGCAUGUUGGAUGCAUGAUAAUGGAGAUGCUCUUUAAUAGAGUCUCGGAUGCAUUGUGAUCUUCUUAUCAGAUUAUCUAUAGAUUGAUCUCCAAGUCUGUUAUGGACUAGUUGUUGUACUAUUAUGUUGUUGUUGGUGUGAAAUUAUAUCCCUGUGAGAAAAAAAAAAAAAAAAAAAAUUUCUAGCACAUUUGUAUUCACCCGUUGGUAUUAAUGACAUUAAUGCUUUUUACACAAGUAAGAGGGGGGCAAGAGAGAUCUGCUAGAAAGAAUAAUAUAUUUACAUGACGAGUCUAGCUACGUUGUGUCGGACGAUGCCUUACAUGACACAUAUGUAAUAGACACCUGAACUCUAUAAUUCUCGUAUUGGAAGCAAAUCUCCUUUAAAUUUAUAAUAUAUUAUAAACACAACUAACAAAAUUUUAUACAAUCCAUUUAGCAACACAUGAACACAACAUGAAAAAAUAGAUUUAGAUUAUUAAAUUUGACACAAUUAUUAAAUAGGUUGUGUUAUUCUAUUUCAUAAAAUUUGACCCAUCUACUCAAUUAAUGAAAUGAUUACUACGAAGGAUAAACAUUUAUGUGCUAUUCUAUUUCAUAAAAUUCUAGAUGGAUUUAAAACUUGAAUGGUGUAAAUAUGUAAUAUUUCAAUAGAUAUGUAUAUUUUUAUGAUAUCGAUAUAUAAUAUUAUUUAAAUAUAUAAAAAUUGUAAAAUUUUUAUCAAAUAGGGGCAAAAAUGAUUGAUAUAAAUCAUGUUAAAUGAGUAUUAAUUAAAUGGAUUAUUAAGUAAGUCAUGACACAAUUAUUAAUUAAUGAGUUACGUUGUGUCAAUUGUUUAUUUUGCAUAUCAAACUUGAAAUUUUAAUAUUUAAUACAAUUAUUAAAUAAAUAUCUAAAUUACUCUAAUGAUAUUUUAAAUUUCACAUGGCAACGAAAACCACUUUGUCAUCGGUUUUGCCACCUCUAAAUUAUCACAAUAAAUAACCAAGUCAUGGACUUGCUGUUUUGCCAAGCAAUCACUCAGUAUCUUGCCACGUAUUUGAGUCAGAGGUCAAACCCCCGAUUUUCGUCCUUCAAUUGAAGGAUGAUUUUGUUUUGGAGCUCGGCGUGGCAAGAAUGCAUUAUCGGACCAUUAUAAACUAACAAAGUUGAAUAAUAAAUCAAGUGAUAAUCGAUAAAAUCGAGUAAAAUAAUAAGUCAAAAAGUACUAGUUUUUUAACCUACAGGCCUGUAGUUCAAUAAUAUCUACGAGAGAAUGAGUUUGAGCCACGUAAAAUUUAUUAUAUUUAAAAAAUAGUAAAUUUGUCGAACAGUAUUUUUCUACAUACAAUAAAUAAUUUUUUUUAAAAUUAAAUAUGGGCAUUUUAGCUUUAACAUAUUUUUAUAUUUUCAUGUUAUUUGGAGCGUAUUUAUUGCAAUUACCUCGUUUUCGCGGCUUCGGGUGAUUCGCUUGCUCUGUCUACUACCACACAGAAUGGAACUGCGAGAAAGAGAAGAACAGGAAAACGAUGUCGUUUUACCGAAGAAGAAGAAGACGAAGAUGAAACUGAUAAAGGAGAGAAAGCGAGAGGAAAGAAAAGAAAAACUCGAAGAAGAAGAAACUGAAGAAUUAUUGCAGGACCCACUGGAGGCUUUUGGUAGAGACAUAAUGUUGAUGAUACUUCAAAACCUAAAAGCACACAGCGUAGCACUGACUCUCCUUGUAUCCCGUGCUUGGAACGGCGUCGCUUCAAGCGACACGCUUUGGACUCCCAAGGUUCAUUUCCUUUCCUAUUCUUUCUUUUUUUUCCCCAAUCUUGUUGCCUCGUACCUGAAUUUAGGUUUGUUUCUUUUGUUUUAAAUUUAAUUAAUUAAUUUAGUGCUUUCUUCGGAGAACAUGAGAAUUGGGUUUUUUUAGUUUCACAAUUGGGUUUUUGUUUUAAGUGUUUUUGGUUGUUUGAAAUAAUCAUAUCAUGAAUACAAUUGAAUUUGAAUUUAAGCUUUUCAUGUCAUCAUCGAGUUUUAUGUUCCUAGUUUACAGGAAUUUGUAUUCAGCGCUGAGCUGGGGUUUUUGUUAAUCUUUUAGAAAGACAAGAAUAUAAAAUUAAUUAAAUCUUCACCUUAAAUUGCUAUACAUGCAUGUGUGGUAGAUGAUUAUGAAGAGAUGAGCACAGCUAAGCUCAGUACUGGAUGUAAAUCCAGCUUACAGGAUUUCUUGUCCGUCAGGAGCAUUAUAUGAAUACUGGACUUAUUAUUUGACUCAAUUUACUACUCGACUUGGCUUUCUUGACCAACUUGAAUUCGUCUGAGUAUUCUCGAUUUAAACUGAAUAUUAUUUGUCUAGUAUCUAUUUGUCUUUGUUCACCCCUUAAGGGUAUAUCUAUGUAAAGUGACUUAGUUGGGGUAUAUUGUUGGUAUAUUUUAUUUUUUUAAAUCCUGGGCCCUAGGAAGCCCUUUCUUAUCAUUGAAACUAGACAUUGGCUAAAUUAUUGGUUUAUUUAAAGGAUUGAGGUAUAUUUUUAUAUAAAACCAAACUGAAUUUAGGGGUGGUAAAAUCCUCCACGGGUUUGGGGCCCCAUGGAGCCCCACCCCAAAUGGGGAAAUUUUUUAAUAAUUUUUGGAGAAUGGGGUGGGGAGUGGGGGACACGUAAUCCCCAAAUUGUUAACGGGGUGGGGUUUGGUAUUGCACUCCCCACCCUACCCCCACCCCAAUUCCUAUUAUAUAUAAAUAUGUUUUUAAUUCUUAUUUAAUAAUUUGUAUUUUAUCAACUAUAAUGUCAAUUAAUAAUUUUUUUUAAUUUUUAUGUAAUAUAAAUAGAAUAUGAAUAAAAGAAAAUUCUACAAUAUUUUUCAAUUUUAAAACAUUAAUAUAUUUUAUUUCUCUUUUAAGGUACUGCUUUCUUUAAAUAUUUUUCACUUUUAAUAUCAUUUUAAGAUAUUGUUUCAAAUUUUUAGAGAUUUUUUUUAAAAAUUAAAUACUUUAUAAUAUUGUGAUGAUUUUAUCUUAAGUCUCUAAUUUUUAAUUUAUUGAAAUCAUAUUUUUAUAUCUACUAUAAAAUAUGUAAAUGGGGAAUGGGGUGGGGAUGGGGGAAUCAUUCCCCACGUGGGGAUUCCCCAUCCCCAACCCACUAAAUUUAUUGGGGAAUGAGGUGGGGAAUGGAGGCAAAAAUUUUUAAUGGGGUGGAGAAUGGGGUAGGCAUCCCCACCCCCACCCCGCCCCAUUGCCAUCCCUAACUGAAUUGUGAAUGCCGUUUUUACUGCCUUAUGGCCUAAGUUGCUUAUUCGUUCUGAUUGCAUGAUGUGAAGAAUUUUUUUUUUUUUAACUUCAAUUAUUUUCUCUGCUUUAUUUGAAACCUAAUCGGAAGAGAAUAUCUACCUUUUUUUAUUUUUUUCAGUUCUCCAGGUAACUUAAUGGGUCAUGCUUCUACUUUGAAGAGUAACUGAGUAAGGAUAAUUUACUUGAGUUUCCUGUCUAUUUUAGUGCGAGGAACUGUGGUUGGGGAAAGCGCACAUACCUCGUUCAGCUGUAGUCCAGGGGUUACCAAAGCUGGCCGCAUAUUCGUUGUCUGUCACAGAUGGCAAACGUGUGAGUGCUGAUCAAUCUCCCUUUGUUCUCCUGUCUCUCUUUUGAAUCAGUCACUUUCCAUAUGCACGUUUGACCAAGCUAUCACCAACUAUUCUGUUCUUUUUUAAAAAAAAAUUUCUUAGACUCAUAUCAUGACAGAAGACCUUUGUGAUCAUGUUUGGGAGUUUCAUUUUAACAAGGUAUGUAAUUUUAUUGCAGUGCUUCUCAUACGUUAUUAAUUAUUAGUAAGGUCUGGUGAGUGGUGACUCGCCUCUUGAUUUCAGUCUGGCCUUGACGUGGUGCCAAAAUUACU
rnacentral:lncRNA from 1 species